AAGAGCGUAAGCCUCGUAAGGAAGGUAGCUGCAAAGGACACUUCAAGUAACUCAAAGAUAAGCACUCAAGCUUCUCCAAUCGUACGAUGGAAGGUGGUACUUUUUUUAUGGCCGUCCCAUCAACAAAAAGAGUGACCAAUGAUGCCAUUUUUCCCAAGUGCUUAGACAAGCUUCGGAAUCUUGAACAACCAUCGAGAACAAGAGUUUUGACAGAUUUCGACUUGUAGAAACUCCUUGGGAGAGCCUUAAGCGUUUUACAGUCUUUCAAAUUCACCAACACAAGACUCUUGAGAUCUCCGAUGGACUUGUGAACUUCAGCCAACCUCUUACAGUCUUUGAGUAUCAAUUUCUCAAGAUUUGGGAGUUUCGAAAAGUCUGGAGAUUGUGUUAGAUCGUGGGAGUGGCUGAGAUUCAGAAUCUUCAACUUAUUAAGCAACUGUUAGGCAAAACCAUAUUCAAAUACAAAUUUAAAAUCCAAAAAGAAGAUAAAAAUAAUUCCUAAUUUGGUUCAGGUUACGCAUUGUACUUACCCCAGAAUACUCACAAAGAACUUGUUUGAGGCUGCUGUACCGCAUGUCGAUAGCGACUAUGUUUGGUUGACACAGUUCUAUUGGUAUGAACUCCAAUGGGAAUCCAUGCCAGCAAAGCCAUCUUAAUUUUUUGGAAAGACAUUGGUAUCCCCCAGCGAGCCGAACGUAGUUUAGUUGGAGCAAUCUCAGUCUCUUCAUAUUUCUAAACGCCCCAGUACUGAAACUAGUCUCUUCAAGACUUGGCAAAUUCAAAGCCAAACCGUCAAUUUUUUCAGUUCCCUGCUAUCAGAAAAAAUAGACUCCAAAUAAGAAAAGGCUUUGCAUGAAAAAAAUUUAGAUUACUUACAUAUGCUUACACGUUUAACAUAAAGUUUGAUUGGGAAGGUACUUACAGAUUUGUCUAUCAAUACAUCAUUUACAUCUUCAGGAAGCCACAAUCUACUCCGUUCUCCAGGGAAAUCGGGAUUUUCUGCAUGCACGAUAUCUCUGCCCAUAUCCCGAAGCAAAUCAUGCAUCAUAAUCUUGUUUUCUCUAUUAAUAGUUACAAGGCACCGGUCAAGGAGGACCUCGAUUCCUGUUGUUGCAUAAAAGCCACAACCAUCCAAGAUUUGCAUGACAUCGUUCUUGUCCAUUCCAAUAAAAAAACAAGCUAUAUCGAGGAAUAUCCGCCUCUUGUAAUUAUCAUUUAGCCCGUCGUAACUUAUUUUCAGUUGUGCCUGAAUUUCUCCACGAGGAAUCAUUUUCAAUUCAUCCAAUAUACUUCUCCAUUCAUCUACACUUCGUUUGAAAAGAGUAGAUCCUAAAACUUCAAGAGCCAGCGGCAAUCCUCCACAGUAAUUGACAACUUCUCUUGCGAGCACAAGAUAUUGACUAGGACAACAACUACUUCUGAACGCAUGCCAACUUAGGAGCUCAAGAGCUUCUUCCCAGUCCAUUCCUUUCGCCCGAUAUAUCUCAUCAACUGCAAAUUCUUUUAGCACACGUUCGUUUCUAGUUGUGAUGAUGAUUCUGCUCCCCGGGCCAAAGGAGUGGCAAUUUCCAGCUAAUUCACGUAGCUGCUUCACAUCGUCUACAUCAUCAAUUAUGACAAGUACCUUUAAGUGUUGAAAUCUUUCCCCUACCAAGGCGGUCCCUGCAGCAACACUGCUUACCUUUGUCUUGGUUUGCAAGAUAUCAGAAAGAAGUUGUUUUUGCAAUUUUUCUAGUUUCUUUUCCCGCACUUUUUCAAGGAAACAUUUACCUUCAAACCUUUCACAAAAUUCGUUAUAAAUGGCUUUAGCAAUCGUUGUUUUACCUAUUCCACCCAUGCCCAAAAUUCCAAUCAUGCGAACAUCUUCCGAAUCUUCGAUGUGUAAAUAAUUACUGAUAUCUUGCACUCGAGAAUCUAGUCCGACUUGGUAGGGCGCUACGUCUAAGUAUGUGUUGUUUAGCUUCCUAGUGACUUCCUCAGUAAUCAUCCUGAUAAACUUUGCUUCAUGCCUGGCAUUAGUCAAGUUGAGAAGCAAAACGAAGAUUGUUAUACAACCACAAGACGAAAUUGAACUAAUACACAAAAUUACUUAUCAUGACUACAGAUUUUAGUUAAGACAAUUUUCUUUGAGAUGUUGUGUUUAAACUUAGCAAACAUCAAUUAAAUUUAAAUUUAAAAAAGAAACACAAACAAACAAAAACAGCCUCCCUUCCCUACGCAGCCAUUCGCCGGCGGCUUCCCUGCAGUGAUUAGUGUAGCCUCAACAGUUUAAGCUUUAUUGUAUGAUUUUAUUAAUAGAGGACUAAGGAAAAUAAUACAUGAUAUUGACAAGCAAAAGUACGUUAAGGCCUUAAUUCAUAAAAGAAGGAACUAGUAAGUACCCGUCCAAAGUGUUUCUGAGAUCCCAGCCAGACAAAUUCGAAGCUUCAGUAAGAGCAGUUCUCCACCUCUCUUCCUUCCACCUCUCUACCUUAUUUUCAUCUAUAAGUUCCAGAAACAAUUUUCCAAAACUGUCAGUCUGUUUCCUGACAUGCGAAGGAUCAACGUCAUAGAAUAUCGGCAAAACCAAUUGCCCCAGCGUUUUUCUACACUCCAUGAUCUUAACCAGCUCCUCGAGGCACCAGCCGGAGUUCGCAUACUGUCUAGAGAAGACGAUGAUAGAGAUCUUAGAACCUUGGAUUGCUCGUACAAAUUUGGUUUUUAAAUCUUCUCCCUUUUUUAGUUCUUCGUCGUCAAUAAAAGCGUUGAUUCCGGCCCUUGUCGAUGCUUCAUAAAGGUGGCCCGUGAAGUUUUUACGUGUGUCUUCGCCUCUGAAGCUUAUGAACACAUCGUAAAGCCAACCUUUUGAGGAAGGGGACGAGGACAUUUGCUCGAAAGACAAGGCCGAGGGAGCAAAAGAGGAAGAUGAGGACAUCAAAGACGACCGGAAUUGCGAUGGGCGAAGUGGUAGGAUACGAACACCAGUACCAUGAUUAACAGCUCUUCUUAUAAUUAAUAAACCCCGCCACAAAUAUAAGCGGUGCAGUUGACUGAAGAGGGCUGAUUCGGUAUGGGAUCCCAAAUUCCAAACGGAAAAAUUUCGGGACGAGAUUCUGAAACCCACCGAACCGAAAUUUCGGGAUUUCCGAAAAAUUUUCGGGAUUUCGGUACAGUUUGGUAUUUCCCAAAUCUCCUACGCGGAUUGUCGAUUUGAAACCUCUGAUUGUUGUAUCGGCUCUCCGUGGUUGGCUGCAAGUCCCGAUUUCACAGGGAGACUUCGAGGCGGAGGCGAAGGAGCUAGGGUCUGCUAGCUUCGAGGAGGAAAAAAACGAGUUAGAGAAGAACCAUAUGAUUAAAAACUCCAAAUUUCAAACUAAAUGUAACACGAAAUUGAAAACCCCCAGAUCCAAAACCCCAUAAUUCAAAUGCCCAAAUUAAAAACGAAUUGAAGCCAGACUUUACCACAUCAAGAUUACCUGAUGAAGACAAGAAGGUUACCUUAAUGAAGAGAGAAGUGGAAGGAAGCAGAGGUGGCUGUAUUGAUCAUCGAAUGCAGAGGAAGUUGUCAAAUGCAAAAAGAAAAAUGGAGGACUGGAUGUAGUGUGAAGGUAAGGGGGAGAGAGCGAAAGAGUGGAGGUCGAGAGAGAGAGAGAGUUAAGGAGUGAAGGUUGGGUUUGGGCGGAGUAAAGAACGCAUCAAUCAUCGAUAUCUGUAAGCAAUGACACAUGCCUUGUCACAAAAAAUUAAUUAAAAAACACAACCAAAAUAUCUGGAACAUGAAAGACAAAAAGAAUAGAAAAGAAAAGGCAGAGAAACAAAUGCUGAGAUUGCACGAAAGAGAGAGGGCGCCUAUCCAUCACAAAAAAAUAAUUAAAAAAUACUCAUCACACACAACAAUGCAAACCUUUAGCAUAUUAUUAUAUUUCGUAGUCUGUCGUUUUGAAUGGAUAAUGGCAAAUUGCAAUGAUUCAUAGUUGAUACUUACCCUUUCUCUCUAACCAAUUCUUCAUCAUUUUUUGUCCUUUUGUUUGUCCAACAACCCAUUACUUUAUUCCUUUCACCGUACAAAGCAGACAAUACGAACCGAAUCCGAACCUGAUGACAAACGCGAAGCCCGGAAGGACAAAACAUACUUUUUACUGUAGCUACUGUCCGUCCAAACCGAGUUAGGAUUCUCUUCUUUCCUUUUUUCAUCCUCUUCCCUUACAUUCUUUAUUUUUUUUUUUUUUUUGUAAAAAAUUAAUAUAAGAGAUUAACGUGUUGUUAGGGAAAGGAAAAAAAGAUGGAAGAGAGUCUUAGGUGCAGUUUGAGAUUGAAGUGAUUAAAAAAAAAAGUUGGGAUGAAAAAAGGUUGAUAGGGGUUUUGAAUUUUGGUAAACAUUUCAAAACAGUUUUAUUUUAAAGAUUCACAUGAAAAAAAAGUUAAAAAGUGGAAGCUGCAUUUUGCAGCUUAAAGAAGCCUCUUAUUAUACAGUACCAAGUUAAUGAAUUUUUUCAAUUUGCCAAUACUGCCCCCUCCUUUCUCCUUUCUCCUUCUCCUGAUUCCUACACUCUGCACUCUCUCUCUUUCUCUCUCGCAAAACACUCCGCACGCCCCUCUUCCCACCUCUUCCUCCUCCUCCUCCUCCUUUCUCUCCGUCGGUCUCAGCGCCACACCGCCGUCGCCUUCCAGGUACCAGGUACUCGAUUUGCUUUCAAUUUUUGUUGUAAUUAAUUAAUUUAAUUUUUAGGUUGGGGUUUGGCUGCUCUCUGAUGAUGAACCCAUUUUUUGGGGUUUUCUGAAACAAGGUUUUGUGUGGCAACCAACGAACGAGCUCGAUCUCAUUGAUUAGGUAAACAUAACUGUCAAGCUACUGCCAUUUUCACCGAUGCUCAUAUCGAGCAGAAGAAAGUGUCCAAUGCCAUUUGGCUUUUGAUCUCUCUGCUCAGUACGACGCCAUUCCCACUCCAGUCAAGUUGAUUCGCUGAAAUGUCUCAGGUAUGAUUUUUCACCCAGGCCUUGAAAAGUUUCUUUUCAAUUCUUCCAAACUUUGAAUAUUUUUUUUCCUGCGUUGUAUGGUUCGAAAAUGAACUUGUGUGGUUGUUGAUUGAAAUGGGAAUCACAAUUUAUCUUUGUUUUGGGACUCUCUGCAUUUCCAGUUCCGCUUUCCGCAUUUGUGGGUACUAUGCAUAGUUGGCCUCCGAGUUGUUUGAUUAAAUGCCUCAAAGAAGUAUAUGGGAAAUUGGGAAUCAUAUUGGACUACUGCAACCUGCAAAGGUUCUAAUAAAAGGACCUUCAAGUUAGGUCAGGUGACGCACUCAACUGCUUCAGUGAUUGGUAAUACUUUCUUCUUGUGUGUGCUGCCCAUGUUAUUCAUUUUGGUUUGUAUAUUGCAUUAUGUUGAAUAAAUAAGCAAUACAUAAGCAACUGGUUGUACUUAAGGACAAGAAAAGCAUUUAUCAGUUGAGAAGAUGAUGAUGAAUUGCUGGACAACAAUUCAAUUGAUGUUAAUUUAUGAUUUCCUUGUAGCUUUUAUUUAGCAUGAGUUUGACUAUGACUGCAAACUAUAUUUAUAAUUGAAUGGCCUUUGCCUGAAACAGUUAGCAGACUCACUGAUGAAGUGAAGACUUGGAAACUGAGACGCAUAGAAUAAGUGAGACAAAUUCAGGAACUCCUCAUCCAGCUGAAUAUGUCAGUGCAAGGAGUCCAGCUGUUUCUGGUAGUAGGAGCUGAAAAGGUUCAUAAUGCAGUAGGAAGUCUGGAAGUGUUCCGUUGAUAUGCAGUGUUUUAAAUAUAGUUAUGCCAGAACGGAUUGCGCCUUAUAUGCAAUGAAAUGUGUUCUGAAAAUUGUUGGUGGUGUUGGUGUAAACCAUUUUUAUUUAUUUUUAAACAGAUGUUGCACUUUUGAGUAAAUAGGGGACAGUCAUCGAGCAAAUUCCACUUGUAUUCUGUAUAUGCAGAUGUAAUGAAAAUUUUUGUGAAAAUCAGUUAUCGUUGUAAAGAUUUUGUGUUUCGGAUUUUGAAUAAUCUAGUAUUGUAAUGAAGUAGUUUAUCAUACUAAUUAAUAUUUAAGAUAAAGUUUAUAAAUAUUUUACUUUUACAAAUAAAGUAUUGUUGUAAACAUUCCUAGUUUAAGUAUGAUUGUGUAAAUCCUAGAUAAGAUUUGAUUCUAGUUAUCCUUUCCUAUUACAACUUGUAUUACUUAGAGAAGAAGGAAUAUCUUCUCUCCCUUUACUACUAUAAAUAAAGGCACAAUGUAGGAGGGAUAACAACACACACAUUCCCCUACAAUUCUACAAACACACAUCUCUCUCCUCUCUCUCUCUGCCGCCGGCCCUAGUCCCUCUGUCAGAUAAAAUAGACCACAACACGUUAUCAGCACGCUCUUCACGCUGUGCUUAGAAGAAUUUAAAGAGAAUUUAUUCGUCUACAAUCAGGGGAGUAUUACGUUUCAAUUAUUUUUAAUUGAUUAAAUCUUGAUUUUAUUGAAUUCAUAUAUUGUUAUUGAUUCAAUUUAUUUUUCUUCUUAUGUUGAACGUGAUACAAGCUUGAAGAUGAAAGCCGAAAUUGAAGAAAUAAUUUUUUCUGCAUCAAACCAAUUCAUCCAUAUCAUCACGCAAUCAGGUUCUUUCCAAACAACGGCUUUUAACUCGAUAUUUUGCAAGCCCUGAUAGCAUGAACAUUCACCAUGAUGCAUGACCCAACUUUACGUUUAACGUAUUUUAGAUUCUACAUAAAUUGUGUAUGCUUCAUCAUCAAAAUUGCUACAAUUAUGUGAAUUUGAUAUUUGUCAUGAAUUGAAUCCUACAUAUGUACAUGCAUUGAAACUAUUAUUUGCAUAUGCAUCAACGUAAAUAUGUGAUUCAUUAAAAUUAUACAUGCAUAUAAUAUAAUUGAAUACAAAAAAAAAAAAAAAAAAAAAACGAAAAUUUUUUUUUUUAGGGCUGCACACAGCAGCCCAUUCCCCUCUUCUCACCCCGUGGGCCUGUAAUCCCACCCGAGGGUUCUUGGCCUAUAUUUUUAGGCCCCGAGAUUUUAUUAUUUAAUUUUUUUUUUAAAUAAUAUGGGUUUUUAUAUUUUCACCCACAUUUUAAUUUGGUCCCGAAGACCAAAAAUAAAUUAAUUCACUUAUCAUUAUACAAUAUUUCUGCAUAUAUUCUUUGCAUAUUUGUUUGCAUAUAUAUAUUUGUGUUUGCCUGCAGGAAUAUAUGAACCUGAAGUUCAUAAUUACUUUGAAACCCGAAGUUUCUUAUACACAUGCCUUGUUUGAAAACCCGAAGUUUUCACUUAAAUAUAUCACCCAUGAAAACCCGAAGUUUUUCAUGCAAAAUUAAACCAAUACAUGUCUAUUAGAACCUGUAUGUUCUACUCCUAUGUGAAUGGAUUGAUUUUUCUCCAUUACACUAACCACAUCUUGUCCAUCUAUUUUGUGAUAGGAACAUGUCGAACUUGAACAAACUCGACUUCACCGCUUUGGAGGUUUCUGGAAGGAACUACCUCAAGUGGGUUCAAGAUGUGAAGCUCCACCUCACUGCAAAGAACUUACGUCCUGCUAUUGAAGAAGCAACAGAUAAACCUGUUGGCGAGGCUGAAAAAGCCACUGCUAUGAUCUUCAUCCGAAGACAUAUCCAUGACGCUCUACAAACUGAGUACCUUGCUGAGGAGGAUCCACGUGCAUUAUGGGUCGCUUUGGCUGAUCGUUUCGAUCACCAAAAGGACAUAUUCUUGCCUGAAGCAAGACACGACUGGCAACACUUGCGCUUCCAAGACUUUAAGUCUGUGAAUGAAUAUAAUUCUGAAGUUUGUCGAAUCCGAUCACUUCUCAAGUUUUGCAAUGAAACUUUGACUGAAGAGGAUCUCCUGGAGAAGACCUACUCGACCUUCUCUGCUUCUAAUAUUGUCCUGCAGCAACAAUAUAGAGCUCAGAAGUUCACUAAGUUCUCGGAUUUGAUCUCUGUUUUACUUCUUGCUGAAAAGCAGAACCAGCUGUUGAUGAAGAAUCAUCAAGCUCGACCUACUGGGGCUACUGCUGUGCCUGAAGCACAUUAUAGCACUAAUCAGCACCCAAAACGCCAAAAGAGACGUGGUAAGGGCGGCCAGAAGCCAUCCCACCAAGGUCAACAGAGCCAAGGCCCAUCCAAGGGAGGAAACAAAGCCCAGAAGCGCCCAAACCUCGCUCCCAAGGCCCCGAACUUCAAGAAUAAGGGCAAAGCACCUGCCACAAUGAAUGACGAUAUGUGCUAUCUGAAGGAAUUAUUUUGUAAAACAUGUUCAUUUGAGCAACAUCAUAUAGCAUGCAAUUAACAAUUAAAGGCGGAAUCAUGCUUACAUGCACUCAAAACAAAAACAUUUUACCCAUGAAAUUCAAAGCCUAGUAGAUUGGUGAACCAAUAAUCAACUCAAAAAUAAGUGAGUUGAAAUUAAUACCUUUGUAGAUUCCUCUUUGCAUAAGCAAAGGCUAAUCACCCAAAGAGAUAGGGGCCUUCAUUCCUUGCUUCUUAGAUCCAUGGAUUUGUAUGGAAGAAUAGGUUCUCCAAGUUCCCAAAAUUGAGAACCUCUAAGUCUCUACACCAAGGAGAGAUUGGAUGAUGAAAUGAGUUGACCUUGGAGUAGUAGGAUUGCUAGAUGUACCCUCCAAGGUGUUGGCCUCUUUUAGAGAGAAAUGGAGAGACAAUUCUCACCCAUUUUUCCCUAAAAUAAACCCAUUUUCACUUAAUGAAUAUUUAGUUAUAAAGUCAUUUAUAUAGUCACUUCUUUAAGUGACCUAAAUAACCAAACAACCCUAAUUCAUCACACUAUGGCCGGCCAUUUAGGGGAUUUUGGGCUUUUGGGCUUUAAUGAAUCUUCAUUCAUUAAAUUGUCAUACAACUUAAGUUAAUGGGCUUGACGUUCGAAGCCCAUUGGGCCUUAAGGUCCAAAACUAUCCCGAAGUCUUUAACGAACUUAUUCGUUUGAUUAAUUAACAUAUUAAUUAAUCCUUGCCAUAAAUAAAUGAUUAAACCAUUUAAUCAUUCUUACUCAUUUCCGUUUUAAUCUCCAAUCUCCACCUUUCACGGUGUGCGAUCCAUUAGGUUCCUUUUAGCGAGGUAGUGGGCGAUUAAAAACCAUUUUACAUCGAUUGUGAAUUGAAACUAUUUUCAAUUCUCCUUUAGUGAUUACACACGUUUAGGGCUUCCACAAACCAUGAGUGACACCUAGCCGUAUGUCAUGGUUACCCAAGCUAAUCAGAAGAGGUGGAGAACCUAUUCAGUCUGGGAUUACAAAUGCAAUACGGUCCUUCUCUAAUCUAAUACUCUUGACCACAUUGUUUGGUUUGAUAGUUUAUUUUCUCAUGUCUACUAUCCAAUGUGUGUCUUGUGCUUAUAUGAUUACCUUGAAUGUGAUUAGGAACGCAUUCCCAAAUCUCAUUCAUACUCUGGCCAGAGAUUCAAAUCAUAUCAGAGAGUAUUCUCCUUCAAACGGUUUGAAGGUUAGAGAUCCCUUGUUGCGCAUUCACUUGUCUCCAUAGCUAAGCGGCUUGACCCCAACGAUGCCGUGGACACCCUCCUGGUGGGAUGACUUUGACAUAAUCAAAGAUCAAGGUCUUAACCACAAGACAACUAUGAUGAUGCCUCAGGUCAAAGGACUACUUUGCAUUAUCCCAACCAUGAGUUCUCAUGUGACAUGGAAUAUGAAGAACUCUUCGUUGAUCGCGUUCAGUGAACUCAUUCUCUAUUGAGCACCUACCGUACUUGUCUUGAUGUCACACACACCAAUGACUAGAGACUAAUCACUCUCCCUGAGAGAAGACAUAGUACGUACCGAUCUUGACGGACUGUCAAUGCCCAAUUGGCAAUCCUAUGAUCAGGAACGUUUAGGAUGUGUCUACGAAAGAAUGGUCUCAAGAAUCUAACUUCAUUAGAUUACAUUCUCCCAAUCACAUAUUCCUUGGACUUUAUUGUUUAAGCAUAUAACAUUUAUAUGAGACGGCUCAAACAAUAAUGUAUGCCCUUUAUAUGUUAAACUGGAUUAGUUUAACAUGUGAAAUGUCCGUAAAGUAUCAUCACAUGAUUGGCUUUAGGGCACAUUUCCAACAAUCUCCCACUUGCACUAGAGCCAAUCAGCUUGAUCAUCAAUGAUGAUAUCUCUUCUGUAGUCAUUUCAUAAAUGGCUGAAUAGUAGGCCUAGACAGUGGAUAUCUAUAUGUGUUAUCCAUAGAAGCAACCUUGAGAAUACCGACGUCACCAUUAUACAUGAUUCUCAAUCAUGUGGUUCAGUCUCUCAUUUGUGUUCGGAUCUUGAUGAGACCUUGAUUCCCAGGCUUGAGCUAUCGCCCCAUUAGUGUCAUACACUUUCUGGUUGGAACCGAAUAGAGAGUUCAUAAAUGAACUUUCCCAUCCAAACAACAUUGUUGUAAACUUCUAUAUGGCAAUAUAUCUUGCAUUCAUAAUGGAACACACUAAAGUCAUUACUUUAAUGUUUCCAUCCAAAUAUCUCUUUAGUCAUAAUAAAGAGAUAUUCGUUUAUCUCUUCAUUCAUAAUGAAGAAACAUCCAAUGAUGGAUUAGAUUCAUAAUCUAAUACAUUUACGCUUCCAUUACGUUACUUUGAUUCUUCCUCGAUCUUUGAGGAAUUUAUCCUUUAGUAUUUCUUAAAUACUUAAGGACUCACUUGACAGUUGCCAUGGUUCUGAUCCUGGGCUUGCACUGAUAUCAUCUUAUACCGUUCUAGGUACAACUCAUAUCAAUGUUUUUCAUACAAUAUGAAAUACAUAAAUCACCUUUGUGCAUAUGCAUAAAGGAUUUUAUUUACGCAUUAUUUCUUUGGGAGUCAAAGGGGUACAUUCCCUUUGAGAAGGGCAACUUGCUAGUCUCACUAGAAUCGUCCUUUCUUAUUGAAGUUUAUCAUCAUAUGAGAAACUUCCUAGCAUCCAUUGUCUAUUAUUAGGCAUUGAUAUAAUCCAAUUAUAUCAUGAAAUAUAUCAUUAUAGAUUUCCAUCCCAUGUAUAUAGACUAUAUCUCCCAUAUACAUUCUAUCGUUUAUAGAAUGCUUAAAGUCAUAACUUUAACGAAGAAGUAUUCUUUUCAUUUCCAAAAUUAAUAUAUCAUAUAUAUUUAAAUUUUAGGAACAUGAUUAACUCCCACUAAUCUUUUGUAAAACUAGUAAACAAAAGAUUCAUUUAUAUCUUUAUGAGAAAUCAAACGAUUUGAACCUUUUCUCAUAAAAUGCAAAUAGCUCCCACUAACUUGCUAAGAUCCAUGAUGGAUGGAUCUCUACAACUUACAUGUCUUGUGAUUUAUAGUUUUAGACAUAUAUUAUCAAGACUAUCUUAAUAAUGGUUUCGGAAACCCAUAUUAUGUCCAAACAUUGAAUCACCAUUUAGUUGUAGUUAGCAAUCUUCGAAUUAAUUGAAACCAAGACUAUCUCAAAGAUGGUUUCUUCAAAGUCAACCAUUCUCUUUGAUUGUAGUCACCUUAAGCUACCAAUUAGCUAUGAAGGUUUCAUUAUUUCGAGUCAAAUGGUACUUUACCAUUUCCUUGAGUAUAUAUCGUAUAUGCACUCAAUGUAGUUAUAAGGAUUUUCAUUCUUAUUUCUUUCGAAUUAAGAGGGUGCAACUCUAUGACAUAGUCAUAAAGUUCAAAACCAUUCAACUGAGACGGUUUAUAAAUCCUUAUCGACUACCUUGGAGCUUGUGGUAUAGGAACUAGGUUGUUAUAUUUGUUGAUUACUUUCUUGUCUCUCAAAGAACCCAUUCUUUGAGUUCUAUCUCUCGUUCAUUUGCUUUUAGGCAAAUCACAUUGUAGAAUUACAAUGAACUACCCAACAAAAACAACAUUUGUUAGUUGGUUUAUAGAAGCGAUAUCCAAAAGUUAUUUUAAGGAUAUCCUACAAGAUUAUUAUCAAACAAAUAUUGCUUGUUAGCACACAAUCCCAAAUCUUUAACAUGCUUAAGAUUUGUCUUUCUUUCCAACUACAUCUUAUGGAGUCAUGAAAAUAUUGGAAGAUCUUCUCAUUGACAAUCAUAUUGUUUUAGAAGUAUAUAUCCUAUAUAUGGGUAAUAGAUAACAUCUAACGAACUAAAUCUUAUUCAAGUUCGUUCUUCUCCUAAUGGAGAAAUACAUUAUCUUAUGAUGCUAUUUCCUUGAUAUCUUUCAAGGAAACUUAUCUAAAGUGUUACCUUUCCUUGGAUCAAAUCUAAGGAGGUAAAUACUUUAGAUGUCUUACUCAUCAACUUACAUUUCUUGAAUUCUUUGAAACAUUUUUCAAAGUAUUCGGACUUGUGUUUAUUCAAAAUAAACUAUAGUCCAACCGAGAGUGAUCUUCGGUGAAUGUUAUCCAACAUGAGUAGUAUUAUGUUUGUGGACAAGUGCCACUAACAUUUAAGUGAAUUAACCUCAACAACUUUGUGAUUCUUUCUUCUUUCCAAAAGAAUAAAGAUUCGAACAUUUCGCCUCUAUACAAUUUUAACAAGAAGGUAUUGGAUCCGGAUCUAACGAUCCAAAGCGUCCAUUUAUGACCAACUCGUAAUUUAUGUUUUAGAGGUAUCACAACUUUAGUUGGGAUUAGUCACUACCCUGCAACCUUUUGGGUUUUAAGCAUCAUUAUUUUCUAAACAGUUAACACCACCAUAUUAUCUCUACUAUAAAGAUAAUUAAUUAGAUUACCAUAAUCUAAUCAUUGAUUAAUAAAGAACAUUGUUUUGUCAAACAAAACAUUUAUCCAUUUCACAUAGUGACGGAAUUUAGUUCCUUAAAAUUGGAAUAUAAAGACAAUCUAUGUUUUUCCAAUUUCUUUGGUGGUUCAUAUGAGGAAGUAAGUACCAUCUGCUUUCGCAGAGAUCUACAUUUGAUUCACGCUUCGAAUGUGAAGUACUUUCUCUUCUCUCAUUAAUCUUCUACUUCUUAUUAGCCACACUUUUACAACGAUUGUAAAACAUAGUCACUAAUACGGAAUCAAGCAUUCAAGUAGAAGAACCAACUGUUUUGAACUUUUCAAGAACAAUUUACAACACCUUCGAAAAGUGUGUUCUUGACACUUGCAAGACAUUUCUUGCAAAUACCCCUUCCAAUGUCCAUCCUUUCAUAAAGAAAGUUUGUUCCCUUGGAGUUAUUUAUCUUCUUUAUUUGACUUUCACCUUUGACUACAUUAGUCAUGGUCCCUAAACUCUCACUAUCUCUCUUGAAACCUUUUUCAAUUGUGUUAUACACAUCAAACAAUUUUGGAGAGCAUGUGGUUUAUUGUUCACUAUAUAGUUUACAAUAAACUUAGUGAACGAUUAGGAUAGGGAAACAAAGGUGAAGUCCUUGCCUAGUUUCCGUCUCGUUAAGUGGUUUAUCACUUCAACACUUAAUGAUUCAAAAUCAUCAUAAGUCCAUGUUAAUGGACUAUUUUUGUCAACCAACCAUUAUGUUCUAAACAUAAUUACAAACCUUCAAGAGUUGUACAAGGCAACUCUCAUUUCUUCAUACAACAAUUUGUAAGUGAAGAAACAUGGCACAUAAAGUGUUCAUGCCUUUGUGCUUUCUUCUCAAGUUCUUUGUUCAUUUAACAAAGAAACAAGCACUAAGUGUUUGCAUUGACUAAGAGUUGUUCAAAGCAACUCCUAUUUCUUCAUACAACAAAUUGUAAUUGAAGAAUUAUGACAUUAAAAGUGUUGUCCUCUUUAUGAUAGACCUUUUCUAACAUAUUCUUCUAAUGAUACAUUAUCAAUAGUAAGAUUGUGAGGAUGAGACUACUUUGGUACUUUUACAAGCCAUUAAAGACAAUCUAUGGUUUUGUAGUACCAAGUCCGUAAACUAAACGUUCGGUUUUGUCAAGUGUUGGAUAGCGUUUGCAAAUAUAUUGGUAAUCAAAUACAUAACGAAUAUAAAUUGAUUGAUUUUAAGCCAUUUGAUUUGGGUCUUUAAAUCAAAUAGCACCACCCACUAUUUUUGGCAAAUUCCAUAUCCCUCAUAGGAAUUCGAGAGUUUUGGAUGAUGAAACUCCUAGUAGGUUAUGGGAGGCUCACUAUUACCAAGCCCACCUCACGAUGAUACGAUAUAUGGCUAGCAACAAUAAUAAUGAGAGAGUACGCUUACUCAUUUGCAACUCAUGCAAGUACCCAUCUUAUUUGGCCUCUAGAGAAUGUAACCUCACAAUGAUAUGAUAUUGGUUCCAUUGCACUUAGUUAAGUUCUUCCCACCAUGCUUAGUGUGUGAAGGGGUUCAAGAAUAGCCUCACGAUGAUACGAUAUAUAGCUAUCCUCGUUGCCUACACUCACCUCAUCAUAUGUAUAUGGAUUCCUCCUGAGUAUAAGCAUGCACUGUGUACUCCCCCAUGAUAGGGUGAAGCCGGUGUACAAGUCAUAAACGAUUGGAUCCCACCACGGUGGAAGGCCACGAAGAGAUAUUCUAAACAUCUCUCGCUUAUCAACUUAAUAUUGGUUUGGUUGAGGGUUUUAGGUCUCAUCACAUAUAAACAUACAUUUUAAUCUCUAUUAAAACUAUUUUGGUCCUAUUACAACUAUUGUUCCAUCUCAUUGUUUUAGUUGUACAUAAUACUCCCACUAUGCUUUUAAAACGGUUUUUAAAGCAAGAGUAUAUGAUACUACUAACAUAAACUUUGCAUUCAUUUGAUGGACUACAUAGUUGUCUUAGGGCCUAAGGAUGAUUAUGAACCUUUGUUUAGAUUCAACACGAGCCUUGUGUUGAACCUCGGUCUAGGAAUGAAGAUUGAUUUUAGUUACGCGUUUAAUCACAUUAAGGCGUGUUGUCUUAUGGGCGUUGGACCCAACUACUUCAUUUUCAUGCAUAUCGUAUUAAAGCAAGAAAGAAGUACUUCAAAGUAAAGGUGAGCUUAUGCUCAUUACAACAUUUGCAUAUAACAAAUUACUUUAAAGUAAAGAAGAGCUUAAGCCCUUUUACAACAUUUGAUCAAAUCAAAUUACAACCAAAAUCUAAUCUACACAUUCCCAUGGUUCAAACAAAUUUGAAACGCCUUUCACAUAGCUCAAUUAUAUUAGGCUUAGGUUCAUAAUCACCCUUUAAUUAAUUAACACUUUUACUAAUUAAUGAAUGCAACAUUUUCAUUUGGUUUUUGUAUCCAUAAAAUUGAUUUAAAUGGAGCUAAACAAAAUGAAAAUCCAAUUCUCAUUUAAAGAGACAAAACAAUUUUGUUCUCAUCCUAUUUGGGCCAUCAUGCAAUUAACCUCAACUUUUGGGCCAUAUUGCAAUAACAAAAACUUUUGGGGUCACUUUGUAUAAUACACAAAAGUCACAACUUCAUGUAAAUACAACUAGAACCCAAACUUUUAAUAAUGCAAAAACAUCAUUAAAGGAUCAAAACAAUUUUUCCUUUAGCGUUUUUGGACCUAAACGUAAAAACGUAAACUUUUGGGCCAAAGUGCAAAUACACAAAAGUAUCAAAACUUUAUGUAAUUGCAUAAAAGCCCCAAAAGUACUCCCUUUGAGGGAGUGGCCUGUUUUAGGGAAAGAUAAGGUGGGAGUGUGUGUUGAUUUGUGAGUUUUGUCAAAAACAAUCAUGCAAGUAUAUGUAAGAUAAGUUUUUGAAAUAAUUCAAUCACAAUUAUUUCAAUCAUCAUUUAUACAAAUAUCUAACACUUUAAAUACAUAAUAAAUCAUUUAAAAACAUAUCACAUAUACUUUAUGAAAUAAUUCAAAACUUUGAAUCAAUACACCAAACCUUUUUGUUCUUGGCAAGAACAUCAAGAACAAUGAAGAACAUCCAUGAAAAACCCAAAUUUUCCAUGAACUUUUUCCACCCAAAAACAUUCCAAAACCAUUCUUACUUAAGGGAAAUAACAUCUAACCAAACUAGGGUACUUAGGGGUUCCAAAGAACACAUUAAAACACUUUUAACAAGUCAAACAAGAACCCAAAAAUUCACCCUUUGAUUUUGGCCGAAUUUUCCCAAAAGCAUGGCACCAAAUUUUAGCUCCAAUAUUCAUGCUCAUAUGAACGACAUCUACAACAUUUGAGAUAGCAAAUUUUCCAACAAAAUUUACUUUCAAAGAAGCAAGAAUAAAGCUUGUAACAAUUACAACUUUUAGAUCAUUAACUUAUGAACUACAAAACACAAAAGGAUUCACCAACUACUAGACCUAGGCUCUGAUACCACUUGAAGGAAUUAUUUUGUAAAACAUGUUCAUUUGAGCAACAUCAUAUAGCAUGCAAUUAACAAUUAAAGGCGGAAUCAUGCUUACAUGCACUCAAAAACAAAACAUUUACCCAUGAAAUUCAAAGCCUAGUAGAUUGGUGAACCAAUAAUCAACUCAAAAAUAAGUGAGUUGAAAUUAAUACCUUUGUAGAUUCCUCUUUGCAUAAGCAAAGGCUAAUCACCCAAAGAGAUAGGGGCCUUCAUUCCUUGCUUCUUAGAUCCAUGGAUUUGUAUGGAAGAAUAGGUUCUCCAAGUUCCCAAAAUUGAGAACCUCUAAGUCUCUACACCAAGGAGAGAUUGGAUGAUGAAUGAGUGACCUUGGAGUAGUAGGAUUGCUAGAUGUACCCUCCAAGGUGUUGGCCUCUUUAGAGAGAAAUGGAGAGACAAUUCUCACCCAUUUUUCCCUAAAAUAAACCCAUUUUUCACUUAAUGAAUAUUUAGUUAUAAAGUCAUUUAUAUAGUCACUUCUUUAAGUGACCUAAAUAACCAAACAACCCUAAUUCAUCACACUAUGGCCGGCCAUUUAGGGGAUUUUGGGCUUUUGGGCUUUAAUGAAUCUUCAUUCAUUAAAUUGUCAUACAACUUAAGUUAAUGGGCUUGACGUUCGAAGCCCAUUGGGCCUUAAGGUCCAAAACUAUCCCGAAGUCUUUAACGAACUUAUUCGUUUGAUUAAUUAACAUAUUAAUUAAUCCUUGCCAUAAAUAAAUGAUUAAACCAUUUAAUCAUUCUUACUCAUUUCCGUUUAAUCUCCAAUCUCCACCUUUCACGGUGUGCGAUCCAUUAGGUUCCUUUUAGCGAGGUAGUGGGCGAUUAAAACCAUUUUACAUCGAUUGUGAAUUGAAACUAUUUUCAAUUCUCCCUUUAGUGAUUACACACGUUUAGGGCUUCCACAAACCAUGAGUGACACCUAGCCGUAUGUCAUGGUUACCCAAGCUAAUCAGAAGAGGUGGAGAACCUAUUCAGUCUGGGAUUACAAAUGCAAUACGGUCCUUCUCUAAUCUAAUACUCUUGACCACAUUGUUUGGUUUGAUAGUUUAUUUUCUCAUGUCUACUAUCCAAUGUGUGUCUUGUGCUUAUAUGAUUACCUUGAAUGUGAUUAGGAACGCAUUCCCAAAUCUCAUUCAUACUCUGGCCAGAGAUUCAAAUCAUAUCAGAGAGUAUUCUCCUUCAAACGGUUUGAAGGUUAGAGAUCCCUUGUUGCGCAUUCACUUGUCUCCAUAGCUAAGCGGCUUGACCCCAACGAUGCCGUGGACACCCUCCUGGUGGGAUGACUUUGACAUAAUCAAAGAUCAAGGUCUUAACCACAAGACAACUAUGAUGCCUCAGGUCAAAUGACUACUUUGCAUUAUCCCAACCAUGAGUUCUCAUGUGACAUGGAAUAUGAGAACUCUUCGUUGAUCGCGUUCAGUGAACUCAUUCUCUAUUGAGCACCUACCGUACUUGUCUUGAUGUCACACACACCAAUGACUAGAGACUAAUCACUCUCCCUGAGAGAAGACAUAGUACGUACCGAUCUUGACGGACUGUCAAUGCCCAAUUGGCAAUCCUAUGAUCAGGAACGUUUAGGAUGUGUCUACGAAAGAAUGGUCUCAAGAAUCUAACUUCAUUAGAUUACAUUCUCCCAAUCACAUAUUCCUUGGACUUUAUUGUUUAAGCAUAUAACAUUUAUAUGAGACGGCUCAAACAAUAAUGUAUGCCCUUUAUAUGUUAAACUGGAUUAGUUUAACAUGUGAAAUGUCCGUAAAGUAUCAUCACAUGAUUGGCUUUAGGGCACAUUUCCAACACUAUCGUUGUGGUUCCAAGGACCAUUGGUCCCGUAUUUGCCGUGCUCCCAAGAAGGUUGUGGAUGCAUAUCAUUCUCGUCGUACGAAGUUUGAAUCAAACUUCCUGCAAGUGGACGAACCGGAGACUACAAAGAUGGAGGUUUCUGAUUUUCAGGAGGAUACCACUCCUAUGGAAGAUUAGAAUCUUAGACAUAGACUUAUUUUUCAGUUAAAAUAAGACAAUUGGGGCCGAAUUCCACCUUGUGGCCGAACCCCACCUUGUUUUUUGGUUGAUUUUGAACAAUUUUCCUUUAUGUUUUGGAUUAUUAGUUGGCGAUUUAUUUUGGAUAUUAAGUUUUUAAUCCUUGAAUAAAUGAAAUUAUUUUGAAUUGAUACUUGUUUUUAUAAACUUUUAUGCAUGUGACCGAUUCAAAUUAAUUUUUCAUUCUAGGUAUGACUAGUGGGAAAGUUAGUUGUCUGGCAGAUAGUGCAACCACGCAUACUGUUUUGCGUGAACGCAUCUAUUUCACUAACUUCGUACCUAAGAAUGCACCUCUGACAACCCUCUCAGGCCCAUCCAACCUGAUCGAAGGAUACGGUAAGGCACAUAUAAUGUUGUCCAAUGGUACAAUCUUGACCAUUGCUGAGGCACUCUAUUCUCCACGUUCCGGAAGAACGUUACUAAGUUUCAAGGACAUUAGAGAUAACAAUUACCACGCUGAAACCCACGUAGAAAACGGAGUUGAAUUUCUGUGCGUAACUUCCUACGAAUAUGGCCAGAAGCGUAUUCUAGAGAAGAUGGAGCGUAACCCGAGUGGUCUGUAUACUACGACCAUACGCCCCAUAGAAUGCCACUAUGUGGCCGGCCCUACCACAGGGACCGCGCACGAAAUUACACUUUGGCAUGAUCGUUUGGGACAUCCUGGACGAAUAGCGAUGCGCCGUAUCCUCAAAACUUCACACGGGCAUCCACUAACCCGAAGCUUAGGUUCGAUCCAUGAAAUUGCAUGCCAAACAUGUUCUAUGGGAAAGCUUAUUACUAAGCCUUCUUAUGACAAGAUUCGUUCGAAUCCUCCCAUUUUUCUACAACGGAUUCAGGGGGACAUUUGUGGACCGAUUCAACCUCCCUGCGGACCAUUUAGAUAUUUUAUGGUUUUGGUUGACGCUUCUACACGUUGGUCACACGUGUGCUUGUUGUCCACAAGGAACGCUGCAUUCUCCAAACUGUUGGCUCAGGUUAUCAAGCUCAGGGCUCACCACCCUGAUUAUCCGAUCAAAUCUAUUCGAUUGGAUAAUGCUGGAGAAUUCACAUCUAAAACUUUUGAUGACUAUUGCAUGUCGGUUGGGGUUGAAGUUGAACAUCCUGUACCCCAUGUUCACACCCAGAACGGCCUGGCAGAGGCUUUCAUUAAGCGUUUACAAAUGAUUGCUCGAUCGUUGGUCAUACGUACCAAGCUCCCGAUCGCUGCUUGGGGCCAUGCAAUAUUGCACGCAGCAAAGUUGGUCCGCCUGAGGCCUGUUGCGACACAACCAUUUAGUGCCCUUCAGUUGGUCACCGGAUGCGAACCCGACAUAUCGCAUCUGCGCGUUUUUUGUUAUGCGGUCUAUGUGCCGAUCUCGCCGCCCUUACGUACAAAAAUGGGGCCUCAGCGAAGGAUGGGAAUCUAUGUCGGAUAUGAUUCUCCUUCGAUUAUUCGUUACUUAGAACCUUUGACAGGCGAUCUGUUUACCGCUCGUUUCGCGGAUUGUCACUUCUAUGAGACAGUCUUCCCGUCGUUAGGGGGAGAUAAGAACAUCAACGUUCCUAAUGAAUGACGCGAAUUAUCGUGGACGACUCCCACUUUGUCUCAUUUAGAUCCCCGCACCGCUCAGUCUGAAGCUGAAGUGCAGCGCAUAUUAGAUCUCCUGAGCAUAGCUCAGAGCAUGCCAGAUGCUUUCACCGAUCUAGCGCGCGUGACAAGAUCACAUAUUCCAGCUGCGAAUACGCCUGCAAAGAUGGAUGUACCAAAUGUACGACGGACUACCCUCCUGGAAGCCCGGGACGCCAAUUCUGGCGAUCCACGUACAUUAGCGGCUAGCCAAUCAUCUGCCCCUACACAAAAGCGUGGCAGACCCCUUGGUUCAAAGGAUUCACACCCCCGGAAGAGGAAAACCACGACACAAGGUCCUAAAGAGCCUACCGUGAAUCCGACUAUCGCUUACUCAUUUUACCCAACUCAUGAGGAAAUUCUAGAUUAUGGAAGCGUCCUUGAAGAGACGAAUCCUCCUCCCGAGAAUCAUGAGAUUUCGGUCUAUUAUGCUAGCUUAGAUGAUGUGUGGCGUAGAAAUGAGAUGAUUGUCGACGAUGCAUUAGCAUUUGCAGUAGCUACUGAGAUCAUGUUGAGCGAUGACAUUGAACCGCGUUCCGUUGAUGAAUGUCGACGUAGAGCUGAUUGGUCAAACUGGAAACAAGCAAUCCAAGUCGAACUUGAUUCACUUGCGAAACGUAAGGUGUUUGGACCUGUAGUUCCUACUCCUCCACAUGUGAAGCCCGUUGGCUACAAGUGGGUUUUCGUUCGGAAGCGUAAUGAGAAGAACGAAAUUGUGCGUUACAAAGCUCGUCUUGUAGCACAAGGUUUCUCACAACGCCCCGGGAUUGACUAUGACGAAACUUACUCACCCGUUAUGGAUGUGAUUACUUUUCGAUACCUUAUCAGUUUGGUAGUUUCCGAAAAACUGGAUAUGCAGCUGAUGGACGUAGUAACCGCGUAUCUCUAUGGGGAUCUUGAUACGGAAAUUUAUAUGAAAGUUCCCGAAGGACUUACAUUGACUGGUUCAAAUAUUUCCAAACCCCGGAACACGCUCUCAAUUCGGCUGAGGCGUUCACUAUACGGUUUGAAACAAUCCGGAAGAAUGUGGUAUAACCGUUUAAGUGAGUAUUUGACUAGUCAGGGAUAUGUGAAUAACGAACUAUGCCCUUGUGUGUUCAUUAAGAAGUCACAUUCCGGAUUUGCGAUUGUUGCAGUAAUAUGUCGAUGACAUGAAUCUCAUCGGAACUCCUGAAGAGCUCGCGAGAACUGUUUCGCACCUGAAGUCGGAAUUUGAGAUGAAAGAUCUAGGUAAGACUCGAUACUGUCUCGGUCUCGAGAUAGAGCAUUGUUCGGAUGGAAUCUUAGUACAUCAAUCGAACUACACCCAGAAGGUGUUACGCCGUUUUAAUGAGGAUAAAGCGAAGCCUUCGAGUACUCCUAUGGUCGUUCGUACGCUAGAUGCAAAGCGAGAUCCCUUCCGUCCGAAGGAGGAUGAUGAAGAGAUUUUGGAGCCUGAAGUUCCUUAUCUAAGUGCGAUAGGCGCUUUAUUGUACUUAGCUCAAUGCACUAGACCCGACAUCUCCUUCGCUGUUAAUCUUUUGGCAAGAUACAGCAAUGCACCAACACGCAGACAUUGGACUGGCGUGAAAGACAUCUUCCGUUACCUUAAGGGUACUACGGAUUUGGGCUUAUUCUAUCCCUACGAAUCCUCGAGUGAUGCCGCACCCUAUGCUCAUCGGGUUGAUUCUCGCCUUGUUGGUUAUGCCGACGCUGGAUACUUAUCUGAUCCGCACAAGGCGCGUUCUCAAACGGGUUAUGUCUUUACCGUUGGAGGCACCGCAAUAUCUUGGAGGUCAACUAAACAGACCUUAGUUGCCACUUCGUCUAACCAUGCUGAAAUUCUCGCCUUACAUGAAGCAACUCGGGAAUGCUUUUGAUUGAGAGCAGUAGUGGGCCAUAUUCGAAGCUCCUGUGAUCUUCAUCCCGCCGUUAAUGCCCCGACGACGAUUUUUGAAGACAACGCAGCUUGCAUCGAACAGCUCAAGAAGGGUUACAUCAAAGGAGACAACACCACACAUAUUGCGCCGAAGUUCUUCUUUACACAUCAACAACAAGAGCAUCAGAAGAUUGAAGUCACGCAAAUCCGAUCACAAGAUAAUCUGGCCGACCUCUUCACCAAAUCACUACCGAAGGCGACGUUUCAAAAGCUUGUUCAUGGAAUUGGUAUGCAUAAACUUUCUGAGUUGUAACUUUGCUAUUUCUCUUUGGAAUUAUGUCAAACUCAGGGGGAGUAUCUUCUAGAUACUUGCUUGAUCUUAAUGUACUCUUUUUCCCUACGAUUAGGAGCAUUUUUUCCCACUGGGUUUUUUGCUACCUAACUAGGUUUUAACGAGGAGGCACCCACCUUGGGCUGGUCAUAUCCCUGAUGACGUCCUGUAGACGUUUCUUUUGACUUUGCAUUUCUCACGCAUUUUUCCUUAAACUAUGGAUUUUGUCCCUACUUGGGUUUUUGCCAUAGCCUUAGGGUUUUUUUAGUGAGACUUACUACUUAUGCAAGUUCCUACCUUAUUGAGAAUAAGCGUUGUUCCUUGGAAUCAGUGCCAACGAGUCGACUUCCUCAACUUCUGCAUGAUGCUGAAUCUACCUUGAGUAUUUACCCACUCAAGGGGGAGUGUUGUAAACAUUCCUAGUUUAAGUAUGAUUGUCUAAAUCCUAGAUAAGAUUUGAUUCUAGUUAUCCUUUCCUAUUACAACUUGUAUUACUUGGAGAAGAAGGAAUAUCUUCUCUCCCUUUACUACUAUAAAUAAAGGCAUAAUGUAGGAGGGAUAACAACACACACAUUCCCCUACAAUUCUACAAACACACAUCUCUCUCCUCUCUCUCUCUGCCGCCGGCCCUAGUCCCUCUGUCAGAUAAAAUAGACCACAACAAGUAUAUUUAGUAAUUCACCUUUAUUGGUUAAGAAAAUUAAAUUAAUGGCACAUCUAGUAAUAUACCUUUUUUUGUCAUUUUACACCGUCACAGCUGUUUUACAUAAAAGUUUACCAAAUACUAUCAUACUGUUUUUUUUUUCCAAAAGAACUUUUACAAAAAAAGUUUAUCAAACACUAUGCUGCUUUAUUUCACAACUGUUUUUUUUUUCACAGCACAGCAGAAGCAGUUUUUUUUCAAAGCACAGCAAUACCAAACCAGCCCUUAGUUGGGUUUGUUUGCUUUUUUUUUUCCCUGGCUUUUCAUUUCUCUUCUUGCUCUCGCUUUCUUCUUUGUCCUUCUGUGUCGUUCUCAGAAGUAAUUUCGUUUUGCUCUUCAUUUUUUUUUUCCGCUGCUUCCAAAUUUUUGUUCAAUUAUUGUGGUAUUUUUGUGUGUUGUUGUCAGGUUUUUCAUCAGUGAAAAAAAAAAGGCAGCACUUUAGGUUUCUUUCAUUGUGAUAUUAGUUGUUUGGAGUAACUUGUUUUUAAACUAAUUUGCGGUUUUGCCUUGGUUUGGGGUUCUGAUUGGUGCUAAGAGGGUUAGUGACAGAGUUUAUAUGUUUUUUUGCCCAUUUUUAUCCUGUUUAGGACUUUUUGGUGCUAGGAUUUUUGAGCUUUGUUAUUUACCCUUUUGUUUUUUUUAGUUGCUUGAUUUGUUUUGCUGGUUGCAUUUGCAAAGAGAGAACAACAUCUUAGAUAGUUUCUGUGCUUAUGAAACAUUUGAGGGUAAGAUUCACAUGGUUAUUUAAAUCUAUGGGUUUUGUUUCUUCAAUUUUAAAAUGGAGAAAGCUUAACAUGAAAGAGAGAAACUUAUUUACAUUUUAACGGUUAAGAAUAAUUAUCUGGAGCUUUCAUUUUUAUUUGGUUUAAUUUCAAUUCAUGUACAUAUUCCCUAUAAUUUAUUUUCCGUUUUGUAUGAGUGUCUACGUAUUAUAAAUAAAAGAACUGUACGGAGUUGUUUCUCUGAAGUUUUACUUCGUGUGACAUUUUACCUAGAAAAUGAAUAUUAUUUUAAGAAAGGAUUGUAUAACAAGUAACAACCCAUAAAAUGUGGCAUUAUGUGUGAGUGGGCUCCUAUACCUCAAUGGCUAUGUGACAUGAUUUCCGCGCGUUUCUUUUUCAUUGUGCGUGCUUUUCUUUAUUUGUUUAUUGAGUUUUCUUUGAUUCAUUUGAUCUACCUAGAAGUAUCUAGCCAAUUUCCCUCUUAAACUAUCACAAACCUAAGCCCCCACUGCUGCCCCGUUUACCACAUUUCACAUAAUUUUCCAUUGAAAAUAUCUCCAUUCCGGUCAUUGUAUGUUUAUUAAUUCUUCAUUCAUCAAUGUUAUUUGUUACUUUUCAAGAUAUACGUUUGUUGUCUUUCCUUUCUCAAUGUUAUUUGUUACUUGUCAAGAGAAAUGUGGGUAAACAACUAAACAUGCUGGUAGAAAUGAACUGCUUUUUGUUUUUUCAAAAAAACAAGCUGGUUGCAAAGUCACGAAGUUUCAUCCUUCCGCAAGCUAGGAAGACCUACAAAGGCAUUUCAACCUCUCUAGCCACCAUUAUGUGAUUCACCAACAUCAGGAAUCGAACAAUAAUUUCAUCGCAAGUUUCCAAGAAAUGGAGGGAGAGAAAAAAUGGAGUUCGUCUUAUGUAACAAUAGUUUCCAAGCAAUUGUAUCAGAAAUCUGUAAUUUCCUUAUAGACUACGUGCGUUUCAUCGUGUCACAACUAGAUGUGAAGCACGUUUUCGGUCAUUCUAAUCUUACAACUAUACAAUAGUUCCUAAAUGUAAUCAAACUGUCAAAUGCUUGGUUAGGGAAGGAAGAGAUUACUAAAGCAGGUCAUCGAAAGCCGGAGGAGGGAAAAUAUCACCAGUAAUAGGACUUGAACUUGAUUAAAGCUCAUUGAAGAGACAGAUCAUGGCAUCUGCUCCAUGUUUGAUAAUCCCCACACAAGACGGGAAGCAAAACCGGUAAAACCUAAGCAUUGAUUAGUCGAGAUCCACAAAAAUCUGCAACAAGUCCAGAAGGUUGAUCAGAAUAGAAUGAAAACCAAAAGCAUUCAGAGUUGUAGUUUAGAUGGCACCAACUAUUUCAGCACAAUUCGCAAAUGUUUUAUCCAAAAGAGACUAACCUCCAUAUCUGGCAAAGGGUCGUAUGACUUUUUCUCUCUUAUGUUAAACACAGUAAUGCCCGUGAUCCUCUGAACUCCAAGUUUAGUGGCAAUCAGGUUCUGCAUUAGAAAACAGCUACUCUAAGAAACUACUCAAAUAGAUGAAAGUAUGAAGGGCAAAUAUUUUUCACGGUAAUAAUCUCAAUGUUAUAUUGCCGAAAGAUGACUGGUUACAUUUAGGUUGCGGGGUUCAGAGAGCAUCAUCUCCAUUGUGAUUAUCAUUUACCAAAGAUGUUUCAACUGAAUCUAUAACACUAUGUUUGGAUGAGGGAAAUAAACUUGGAAUUUGGAUAAAAGUCAGAAUUUAUAAAUUGAUAUGCACCAAUUACCUUGUUUGGAUUCAUAAAACAUAGAAAUUUAGAAUUUCGCGUGCCAGAUUGAAAUUUGUGGAACCAAACGCCUCAACCCUCGGCAAAACCUGUUUGUGAUUUCAAAUUCAUAAAUCAUGGUUCCUAAUUUAUCUUUCAUCAUGUUAAGUAAUCUAACUCAUGCGGUCUCAAAGUUCAGAGAGUAUACAGGAUCUGUUAAAAUAUUGAGGUCACUAUAAGCAAUCGAAAAUGAAAAAAGGCACCGACGAAACCUACAAGAAGGGCUUGAACAGGAUAUCACCAUGAUAGCAUCUAAAAUCGUAUGUUGAGUAGACUUUGGGGCAUACUUGUCAAAAACAAAAUUUGAAAGAUGAUUUAAAGCAUUACCACAGUUUGAAGACCAUUAAUCACAACAACAUUCUCCUCACGUGAAUCAUCUUGUGAUAAACAAACUUCGAAAGGGCCGAGUUCCUUAUCUGUCUCAUUUGCUAAAUUCAAGUGUAGCUGCACGAUGUUUUUACUUGCUCAGUUCCAAAUCAUUGUAUUAGUCAGUGACUAAUAAUAAUUCCUUCACCCAGCCUUUAUUUCCUUUAGAAUUGCUUAUAAUUGCAUCCUUCAGCCUUUUAUUUCGUAUAAAAUUCUCUAUAAUUGUGGUCACUUAGACUUAUUUAUCUUGAAGUUCUCUGUAGUUGCUUACAAUAAAAUAAAUAACUACAAUAUUUUAAAGACAAUAUGACAUAGUUUCCAAGUACAUUAUGACAAUAUUUAAAAGACAAUAUGACAUAUUUUAAACACAAUAUGACAUAUUUUAAAGACAAUAUGACAUAUUUUAAAGACAAUAAGACAAUAUGACAAUAUGACAAUAUUGAGGUCAUAUUUUAAAGACAAUAUGACAAUAUGACAUAGUUUCCAAGUACAAUAUGACAAUAUUUAAAAGACAAAUAUUUUAGUAUUUGUUUUACAAAGUACGGUAUUUUAUAAAUAAUUAUAUAUAUAUAUAUAUCAAAUAUAUAUCAAAUUUCAGGUCCCUCUGUGAGGUGAAGCACAUUGCCUAGGCGGGGCUACCAUGAACCACUUCGCCUAUGCCUUUGCCUUUUAAAACAUUGCCCCAAACCCACAGAAGUGUUUAGGCCAAACGUUGCAUCUCUUUCAGACAUCCUGCGCUUCCUCGGCAACAGGCCAUCGACUCCAUAAUAAACAUCACAACUUUCCAAAGAUCCGGAAUCAGGUGGGUGUGAAGAAUUACAUAGCUUGGUGUUAUCAUCUUGAGGACCCAUAUCAUCUGGACCAGACCAAGGCUCUCCGUACAUAUUGCGCCUUCGCUGCUCUUCGGCUGGAGGGCGGAGUUCUAGCUCUCGGAGCAACAGACCAGCAGCAUCUGCACCUCUAGGCCGGGGCAUAUUCUGUAUAGCCAAUCAGAAAAAAUAUUGUCAAACAUGACCAUUUUUCAGCGAGUAACUUUCAACAAGAGAAAAGAAUAUGUUAAAGAUUAAGAAGUUCAACAGUCAAUAGAAAACCUGAAUAUGUGGAACUAGUGCUGGUUCAACAGCCGUUGCUUCAGGAUCAAUGCCUGAUAACGUUUCACCAGAUGCCUGCCAUGGCUCUGGUACCAAAGCAGAUGGAUUUAACAACCUGGCUUGCUUGUCUAGAACCAUUGCCCUAACUUCUUGUGCAUUUGUACCUUCAAGUAGCCUGCACUUUAACCUGUCGAGACACUGCAUCAAAACAGAUAUAAUUUUAUGAGUCCUUUUUCUAGGUGAUUUUUUUUCUUGGUAAUCUUUUGCUUGGCAAGUAGAACUGUUAACAUCUCUUGCUUGUACUGUCAAUUGGCUUUAACAGCAAAAGUCUUUUUUCUUUUUCUUUUAAAUUCCAGAUGAGCAUGUUCGACACUACCAGGCCAUUCAUAUAAGAAAAAAUUAUGUGUCAUGAAUUCAUUUAAAUUCAGCAUAUUUCACUACUUAAAGGUCGUACCCAGUGCACAAGGCUCCCGCUUUACGUAAGGUCUGGGAGAGGUGAAUGUCGGCUAGCCUUACCCCCAUUUUAUGGAGAGGCUGCUCCCAAGUCUCGAACCCGAGACCUACCGCUCAUGGGCGAAGGCACUUGCCAUCGCACCAAGUGCGACCUCUUAUAUUUCACUACUUGCACAAACAAAAUAUAUUACAUCAUAUGUCUGAAAUUUUUUAUCAAUAUUCUAGAGGCGCGCACAUGAGUAAUUAUGAACAAAACAUCUCCGAGAUUGUGUAAUAAACUGUUAAUGCAUCAAGAUUUAUAACACUGUAAAAUGCAGCAAAUAAUUUCACUAAAAUGACACCUUUGGUCCUAAUUGUCAUGAAAAAAUUAUUAUGUACAAGAAAAUUUAUAAGCAUCUUGAAAAACCUGCGUCAUAGCUAAAAACUUACAGGACCAAAUCGUUGUCUGCGUUGAGCAGAAGGAAGAGAAUGAAAAUUUGCAUCCAGUACCGCAAUGACACUGUUCAGAGAAACUGCAACGAACAAACAAAAAAACACAAUCAGAAGGUUGUGCACAUCAUUUACAAAGAAAUUUUGCAUGAAACGCAUAUAUAAAAAAUUGGAGACCUAUAAUUUGUUUCCUAAUUUUUCAAGAAAUACUUUGCUAUUCAUCAGUCACACGACAAUACCACCAAAAAGAAUCCAAAGUUAUUACCAAUGCCAUCCUCUGCAGCACUCCGCGUACAGCCAACAACAUCCGACCAAUCAACCCCAACGAAAAGACUCCGCCAAAACCUGCCAUGGUGACCAUCACUCUAUUGAAACUUGAACAUCCACAAAAAAUCAUUUCAGGGAUUCAAGGUUCAUCAAGGUGGAAGAAGUACCUUUCGGCAAUGGCCCGUUCCCAGGUUGACGAGUUUACCUUCACUUGGCUGCUUGGAACAGCAGGAGGAAGAACACGUAUUAUUUUUAAAACUGUACGGUCCUUACCACUAUCAUGCCAAACAGAAGCUGAACAGCAGCUUGUCGAUGAGAAGGCAGGGGUAGCAAUUGCAGAUCCAACGUUAAUCUGGUAGUUAUCAACAGGUGCAAAGUUCGGACCAGAGAAGAUGUGGACCCCACCCCGGAGGAAAGCAACAGCAAUCUCACCACCAUGAGCAGAAUAGACUAUUCGAGCAAGUGUUCUAACAUCACUUGGCAGGUCAAAAGGAUCAAAACUGACUCGUUUUACUUUCUCUAUGCCAGAAUCAGGAGUCUUCCUUGCAUCAGUGGUUGCUGUUGUCGCUGCUGCUUGGUGACUUUUAAAAUCAUUAGUUGGUUGUAUGCUUGUGUCCACUUUGGAUAGCCAAACAGUUUGCAUUGGUGCCUGCCCACCAAAACUGGAAGUAGGAUUUCCAAAGAUUUGGUGAACAAGAGGCUGACGUGAUGAUUCCCAGCUUUGUACUCUCCAUCCUGUAAUUGAUGGACCCUCAUCUGGAUCAUAAGGAGACAUGUAUUGUCCUGCACUCAUGAUUCAAUUCAUGCAACUACUAUAGUUCAGACGUAUUUCUAAGAAAACUUAGUUUCUAAUCAGGAAAAAAAAGGGUUGUCGUUACCUAACAGGCCAGAUAGAAUAGAACUCUAAAUAGUACAACAGAAUCAAAGGUAAGGUAAAGAUACCAACAAAAAAAAAACAGUAAACAGAAGGCAGAAAAGAUGGCAAGGAGAUCCAUUCAAAAGGUCUUGCAAUAAUAAAGCUGAAAAAGUACUUUUCAAAAGGUGAGAAAAUGCAUAAGACUACCACUCAACAAGAACACAGAAGUAUGGAAACAAAGAUUGUACGAAAACGAGAAAUAAUGACACACUGGUUUAUGUUGUUCAAAAUUAAAACUAACAAACCAAUUUUCUGAGAAAUUUUUAGGGAAAAAGUACAUCUGGAUUAGAAAAGAUUAACAAAUAAACAAAUAAAUGCAUGCUUCGUUACACCAACAACUUGCAAUUGAAUUCCAAACACAAAGAAUAGAGAAAAAAAAUAAAGGUUUUCAAGGAAGAAGACAAUUAGUACCCUCAACUACGACAACAGCUAUGACAGAACCACCACGGGUUGGAUCAAAGGCAACCGCAGUAACUCCAGAUCCCCUUGUAGUGGUAGUUGCAGAUUGAGAUGCAGCCUCGGGACUCACAUAUGCUGAAAAAUUAGAAACUGGAGAGGAAUGAAGUGGUACAGUAUCACUGAAAUCUGGAUCUGUCUGCUUUCCCCCUUGCUUUGCUUCAACUAAUAGAUAAUCUUGCCAGCUAAACAAAUAUGUAGCCAAAGGGGAAAAACCUGCCCAAUUGGGUGGAUUCAUUGAAGGUGGGACCCCAUCAGUUGUGCUAAUCUUUGGAGUUGCAUGAAAUCCAUUUCCUAGGCCAGGAGCGACCUCCCAAACAACAACCGUAGAUGGGUUUACAAUUGGAACGCCUGCGACAUGCAUGGCACCACUGUCUGUUAUGAUAGCAUCAGCUGCCAUGAUCCCACUAGUCCCAGCACCCAAGAGUCCCUUGCUUGUUUGAAACCACUUUGGUGCAGCACUAGUCGGAUUAGGAGGAUACUGGGACCAAUGAAGCUGAACAGAGCCUGAAGAGAAAACAGAACAGACGCACAGAAAACUGGGCCACCGAGCUGAAACAAAUAACAAAAUAUUGCAUCAGAUACCAAUCGAACACCAGCAGAAAUAAAAUGGAAAAUAAGAUAGCUAGAAAUUAAGAGACAUUGCAAUGAAGGAAAAAAAAAAACCUGAAUUUUGAGACUGCUGUGAAAGAGAUUUUUCUUCAAAGGUUGACUUUUCAUAAAAAAAAAAGAUUUAAAAAAUCAUUAACCAUCAACAUCAUCUGAAAAAGGAUACUGCAGUCACACCAGCAGAAAUAAAAUGCGAUCUACAUAUAAACAAUAAGCAAUCUAAUAUGUUACAUUUCAAAGAACAAAGUACAUUCAGAUGGGCAGAACAAGAAACACAAACAUAUCCUUUAAAUCAGAUGAGUAGCAUACAACAAAAUUGCUUACUGGGGACACUCUGGACAGCCACUUUGUAACAACUGCAAUAUCCUGCUGCCAUUCAUGCUCUUGUUGCCAGCGGCUGGUAUCGUGUACGAGAUUAGCUGGCCCCUAAGCAGAUAGAUCAAAUAUAGAUCAAAUAUAAACAUUUCAUCAUAUUAUAAAAUAAAAUAGAAAGCAAAAAUUGGCCAAGAUUAUUGCAAUUUAGGUUAAUGGAAAGGCCACAUCAAAAGCUUGCAAGGGGAAAAGGUUAUCUGCAUAAGAAGAAAUCAGUACAACAAGUCUAGCUUACUUGAGAAGGCCGAGUCCAGAUUGUUACUCUCCCAUGGAAAUUGGCAAUUAGUAAGGCACGAGGGCAAGAAGUAGGAGACCAUUCAAUAAACUGAACAGAAUCACGAGGAGAAUCUGCAAAAUGUAUUCAAAACUAUCAUGGUUCACAGAAUUAGAACCAACAUUUAGGAAAGCAAAAGCAAAAGCAAAACAUCAAAGGUCUUCCUAACCAAGCAUCGAAUGAAAAAGACAUGCAAAAAUAUAUGCCAACUGUCAGGAGACUUCUUCCAAUAUUUAGGGAAUUGCAUCCAAAUGAGAUGGGAUUUGAACACUUAAUGAGCUAGCAGGUAAUAACUAUUGGACUGCGGAUGCUAAAAAACAACUUCGUAUGCAAGAGUUGCUUGGAAAGAAAAAGAAAUUUGACACAUUGUAGAUGUUCAUAGCAAAAGCAUAUUGGCAUUAAGCAAGUCCAAAGAGAAUUAUAAAGCCUUCAUAGUUAAUUAUCAAGCUAUUCACUGAAUAAGUUGCAGUGAAGAAAACUUAGGCAAAGAAUCUGAAGAACCAAAGGCCCAUAUAAAAGCAAAUAAAUCAUCUAAAUACCUGCAUUGACAUUGAACACUGCACGCUCAGUUGGUCGCUCUGGGAUCACGAUAUGUAUGGGAAUCCCAAAAGGUACAUUUGCAUUUGAACUACAGAGAAGGCCAUAACAAAAAGAAUUGUCAUGACUCAUAAUUGUACACAAAUGUAACUAAUUAAUAAGAGAUGAAAUAAAAUAUAGGCCAAACUUAAGCACGCUUAGUGCCCACCAACCAGGCUUCCUACUUUUUACUAGUGAUUCCUUGAUGAUCCAUUUGGACCCUAUAUGAAUAUGCUCUAUUUCUAAAAGUAAGCUGUAACUACAAUUCUUAAAAACUUCUUUUUAUGGAAGUACAAUUCUUAAACAUUCUAGAAAGAUUCAUCCUUUUCUUUGCAUCACGCAUAUUAUCACACCAGAACAAAUCCCACAUUUCAUGACGCAAAACUCUCAUGGUCAGAAAAAAAGUGAGCAUAAACAAGCAAUACAAACCUUGGAAUACUUGCACACGUUUCUGAUGCACAAGCGAUGGCAUUCAGCUUCCCGCACCAUGCAACAGCACUGGAGAAACAACAAAAAGACUACACAUAAAGCCAAAUCAUCUGUACGUAACUUAAAACAUAAAUGUACGAUGGCCAGGGCAAUUUAGCAGUGUCAUGGUAUUAAGGAAGUAAUAUCUAUUCCAACUAGCUUUCCUUUAUGCUUCUCAUUUCCAGAGUUCUAGUAACCUUGACCAUAACAAAGCUGAUAGCUCGUACACCUCUCAGACUAAGGCAGGUAAUUCUCAUUUCCAGCUUUAUUCACAUCAUGGAAAGUUAUUGAUUGGCAACGGUUCAUAGGGCAAUGGCGUAACUAAAUCAAUAAAGACCUAAAAUUUCGAAACUACCCGCCAUAGAAUCCCCCAAUAUCAAUCCUUCUCUCUCCACAUUUCAAAUUCAACAACUUUUCUCUCCUUCCCAUCUCGUUAUACACUAUAUAAUCACACUUUCUUGCUUCAUUUCACAAUAUUUUGAAUUUUUCUCCGUGAACACAAAACUACAGAGCUCACACCAGUACAAAUAUUCUCAUUUUAUUCACAGUCCCGCUUCGAAACCAAAAUUUAAAGACAAUUCACCCAGAUGCCCCCCACCCCCAACAAAAAGAAGCAUAAUUCAAUGAACAAAACUCAAAAUUUAACAGACUGGAGCUCGAAUUUCAAAAUUCACCUAAAAUUGCGACAAAGCUCGGGGACGCGCAUCUUGUGCUGCAAAUUGGACCUGGGCUGCUUGAGCCUGAUACAGAAGACGGCGGCGGGGUUGACUGCGUCAUCCUCCAUGGGAUCGUCUGGCUCGUCGACCGGCUCUUCCUCUUCGUCUUCUCCUCCUCCUCCAAUGCUCUCAAUACUCCCCGUUUCGGGCUUGUCGGUCUCAGGGGAAUGAGCCACAGGCUCGUCGUCGGAGCCCUUCACUUGACUCAUUACCCCAAAACCCUAAAAAAUUACAUAAACAACAAAUCACAAUUGUGAAUUACUAACCGUCAUUAAAAUUGUUAGUAGCAGAUUAGAACAGAGUCAAAUCUAAAGCAUAAUUUUGAGCUGCCAAUAUCAUUGGCUGCUCUUCAGAAGUUUGGCAGGCCAUAGGGUGCUCAGAAAGGGUUCCUGGCAAGAAAGAAGCGAAUAGAAGCAAAUAGCUGGGUGACAAGUCCCGGAGAAUGACGGGAGGAGGCAUGCGCUGACGCUUACGGUUGGCGACUACAUGAGAAGCAGAGGGCUUCUCUGAACAUAUUAUAACCUUAAAUGCGUUAAUAAGUUGAAUUAAACCACCACAGAAAUAAGAAAGUUCAAACAGAGAGAACAUAUUAAAAACAGAUCAAGGUAAGCAAAAAAAUACAGACUGUAUCUGCAAACUAGCUGAUUAAACCAGAAAGUUUCCUAGCUUACGUAGUCGUCGUCGUCGUCAUCAUCAAGGUUGUCAUCAUCCUCAUCAUUAGCAUCACCGUCUUGGUCCUCCUCCUCCUCAUCAUCAUCCUCAUCAUCGUCUUGGUCCUCCUCAACAUCAUCGUCAUCGUCAUCGUCAUCGUCAUCGUCAUCAUCCUCAUCAAUAUCCUCAUCAAAAUCAUCAUCUUCGGUAGAAAUUUCUUCUAGGGCCCGUUCGUAAGGGAUGUAACGGUAAACAAACGUACCUUCUCUAGUCAUAUGUUUGUCGCAUCUUAAACGUACCCCUAUUUUCUUGACCACAGUAUUUGGACAAUGUGCAAUAGCAUGGACCAAAACCGAAUCGCCUUCUUCCAAAUUGAACUCAGUUUCCGACCACGAUAAAUUUCCCAGCCAAGGACAUCUUCAAUGGAACCAAGCUCUCCUAUUUCGACACAAAAACUAGUACGCUUGGUGCGAUUAAUAACAUAAACAUAAGACUUCCACAUAUCAUCAAACGAGAUGGCGUCAUCAUGAGGAACACAAGCCACACACACAGCCAACGCUUUUGCAUUACAACCAAUUUCCUUAGGCACUUCAAAAGAGACUUGGGUACCCUCGUUGACAUGGUUGAACCAAGUGGGAAUUUGUCUUCCUACAAGAUCCAUCCAUCCACCUCCUCCUGUCCAUCCCUAUACCAUGUUGAAUAAGAUUUGUGUGAGUAAUACAUACACAACACGCAUAUUUGCGAGGGAGGAGUGUGUGUGUGUGUGGAAGAGAGAGAGAGAGAGAACCUGUAGCGUGCUAUCCUUAAGAAGGUAAUCUGUGACUUUGUUGUGUAUUGGCAUAUCAAUUCCGUGGCCCGAGUUUAACACGCUUUCCACGCCUGGAAACUCAAUGAGUUUGGGGGAACCGAUAUUCACGUAUGUCGACAUGCCUGAAAAAUCUGGCAUUCUUUCUAAUGCAGAGCAGUCGUCCAUCCCCAGGUGCUCCAAACGUUUUGGUAAAUCUGUGAUCUCGACAAGGUUUCUGCAACCAUUCAAGAAUAAUGUAUGAAGCUUGGAGAGGCCACUGAGGCUUGGAAGGCUCCAAAAAUUAUUGUCACCUAGAUAUAAGCUGCAUAAACUAGGUAGACUACUCCCAAUAUCAUUAGGCACUUCCUCUAAAUUGUUGCCCGCCAAACUUAAGCUUGUUAAAGAGCGUAAGCCUCGUAAGGAAGGUAGCGGCAAAAGACACUUCAAGUAACUCAAAGAUAAGCGCUCGAGCUUCCCCAGUCGUACGAUGGAAGGUGGUACUUUUUUUAUGGCCGUCCCAUCUGCAUAAAGAGUGACCAAUGACGUCAUUUUCCCCAAGUGCUCAGACAAACUUCGGAAUCUUGAACAACCAUUGAGAACAAGAGUUUUGACAGAUUUCAACUUGUAGAAACUCCUCGGGAGAGCCUUAAGCGUUUCACAGCCUUCCAAAUUCACCAACACAAGACUCUUGAGAUCUCCGAUGGACUUGUGAACUUCAGCCAACCUCUUACAGUCUUUGAGUAUCAAUUUCUCAAGAUUUGGGAAUUUCGAAAAGUCUGGCGAUUGUGUUAGAUCGUGGGAGUGGCUGAGAUUCAGAAUCUUCAACUUACCAAGCAACUGUUAAGAAAAAUCAAAUUUAAAUUCACAAAGAAGAUACAGAUAGCAUAAAAAUAAUUCCUAAUUUGGUUCAGGUUACGCAUUGUACUUACCCCAGAAUACUCACAAAGAACUUGUUUGAGGCUGCUGUACCGCAUGUCAAUAGCGACUAUGUUUGGUUGACACAGUUCUAUUGGUAUGAACUCCAAUGGGAAUCCAUGCCAGCACAACCAUCUUAGAUUUUUGGAAAGACAUUGGUAUCCCCCAGCGAGCCGAACGUAAUUUAGUUGGAGCAACCUCAGUCUCAUAUUUCUAAAAGCCUCAGUACUGAAACUAGUCUCUUCAAGACUCGGCAAAUUCAAAGCCAGACCUUCAAUUUUUUCAGUUCCCUACUAUCCGAAAAAACAGACUCCAAAUAAGAAAAGGCUUUGCAAGAAAAAAAGUUAGAUUACUAACUUACAUAUGCUUACACGUUUAACAUAAAGUUCAAUUGGGAAAGUACUUACAGAUUUGUCUAUCAAUACAUCAUUUACAUCUUCAGGACGCCACAAUCUACUCCGUUCUCCAGGGAAAUUGGGAUUUUCUGCAUGCACGAUAUCUCUGCCCAUAUCCCGAAGCAAAUCAUGCAUCAUAAUCUUGUUUUUUCUACCAAUAGUUACAAGGCACAGGUCAAGGAGGACCUCGAUUCCUGUUGUUGCAUAAAGGCCACAACCAUCCAAGAUUUGCAUGACAUCGUUCUUGUCCAUUCCAAUAAAAAAACAAGCUAUAUCAAGGAAUAUUCGCCUCUUGUAAUUAUCAUUUAGGCCGUCGUAGCUUAUUUUCAAUUGUGCCUGAAUUUCUCCACGAGGAAUCAUUUUCAAUUCAUCCAAUAUACUUCUCCAGUCAUGUUCACUUCGUUUGAAAAGAGUAGAUCCUAAAACUUCAAGAGCCAGCGGUAGUCCUCCACAGUAAUUGACAACUUCUCUUGCGAGCACAAGAUAUUGACUAGGACAACAACUACUUCUGAAAGCAUGCCAACUUAGGAGCUCAAGAGCUUCUUCUUGAUCCAUUCCUUUCUCCCGAUAUAUCUCAUCAACUUCAAAUUCUUUUAGCACACGUUCGUUUCUAGUUGUGAUGAUGAUUCUACUCCCAGGGCGAAAAGAGUGGCAAUUUCCCACUAAUUCGCGUAGCUGCUUCACAUCGUCUACAUCAUCUACUAUGACAAGUACCUUUAAGAGUCGAAAUCUUUCCCUUACCAAGGCGGUCCCUGCAGCAACACUGCUUACCUCUUUCUUGGUCAUUUGCAAGAUAUCAUAAAGAAGAUGUUUUUGCAAUUUUUCUAGUUUCUUUUCCCUCACUUUUUCAAGGAAACAUUUACCUUCAAACCUUUCACAAAAUUCGUUAUAAAUGGCUUUAGCAAUCGUUGUUUUACCUAUUCCACCCAUGCCCAAAAUUCCAACCACCCGAACAUCAUCUGAAUCUCCGAUGCAUAAAUAAUUACUGAUAUCUUGCACUCGAGAAUCUAGUCCGACUUGAUAGGGCGCUACGUCUAAAUAUGUGUUGUUUAGCUUCCUAUUGACUUCCUCAAUAAUCUUCUUGAUAAACUUUGCUUCAAUCCUGGCAUUAGUCAAGUUGAGAAGCAAAACGAAGAUUGUUAUACAACUACAAGACGAAAUUGAACUAAUACACAAAAUUACUUAUCAUGACUAGAGAUUUAAUCAAGACAAUUUUAUUUAAGGUGUUGUGUUUAAACUUAGCAAACAUCAAUUAAAUUUAAAAAAGAAACACAAACAAACAGAAACGCCUCCCUUCCCUACGCAGCCAUUCACCGGCGGUUCCCUGCUGAGAUUAGUGUAGCCUUAACAGUUUAAGCUUUAUCGUAUGAUUUUAUUAACAGAGGACUAAGAAAAAUAAUACAUGAUAUUGAUAAGCAAAGGUACGUUAAAGCCUUAAUUCAUAAAAGAAGAAACUAGUAAUUACCCGCCCAAGGUGUUUCUGAGAUCCCAGCCAGACAAAUUCGAAGCUUCAGUGAGAGCAGUUCUCCACCUCUCUUCCUUCCACCUCUCUACCUUCUUUUCAUCUAUAUGUUCCAGAAACAAUUGUCCAAAACUGUCAGUCUGUUUCCUGACAUGCGAAGGAUCAACGUCAUAGAAUAUCGGCAAAACUAUUUGCCCCAGCGUUCUUCUACAUUCCAUGAUCUUAACCAGCUCCUCGAGGCACCAGCUGGAGUUCGCAUACCGUAUAGAGAAGACGAUGAUAGAGAUCUUAGAACCUUGGAUUGCUCGCUCAAAUUCGGUUGUUAAUUCUUCUCCCUUUUUUAGUUCUUCUUCGUCAAUAAAAGCGUUGAUUCCGGCCCUUGUCAAUGCUUCAUAAAGGUGGCCCGUGAAGUUUUUACGUGUGUCUUCGCCUCUGAAGCUUAUGAACACAUCGUAGAGCCAACCUUUUGAGAAAGCGGACGAGGACGAGGCUUUAUCGGGGACGGAGAUAUCCAUUUGGCGAAAGACAAGGCCGAGGGAGCAAAAGAGGAAGAUGAGGGCAUCAAAGACGACCGGAAUUGCGAUGGGCGACGUGGUAGGACAUUAACACCAGCACCAUGAUUCACAGCUUCCCCAAGCUCGACCAGUUGUCCAUUGCCUUCAUUUUCUGGCGGAACUAUUUUCUUCUUCUUAUAAUUAAUAAACCCGCCACAAAUAUACACGGUGCAGUUGACUGAAGACUUGAGAGUUGUGGUUCUACACCCCAAAUUCUACGAGGUGCCUUUUGUUUAAUCCAACUUUCAACUUUGGUAGCGAGUGCCAAACGCAUAUUUACAGGGCUCUCACUUUCAAUAUUGUUAAUAUAAAGGAAAAAUAUAUAAUUAUAUACAAUUUGGUAUAAAAUUAUCAAGGUUAUUGAACCUACAAUCUUUAUCUAUUUAUAUACAAUUUGUUAUAAAGCAAUCAAAGUUGUUGAACCUACCGCCUAUGUAUAUUUAUAUACAAUUUGGUAUAAAAUAAACAAAGUAGUUGUGGAAAAUGGCAUCAAGGACGCGUUUCUUUUUCAUUGUGCGUGCUUUUCAUUAUUUGUUUAUUGAGUUCUCUUUUAUUCAUUUGAUCUACCUAGAAGUAGCUUGGCAAUUUCCCUCUUAAACUAUCACAAACCUACCGAAGUCCCACUCCGGCCCCGUUUACCACAUUUCACAUAAUUUUCCAUUGAAAAUGUCUCCAUUCCGGUCGUAGUGUGUUUGUUAUCUUCCAUCGUCAAUUUUAUUUGUUACUUUUUAAGAUGUACGUUUGUUGUCUUUCCUUUCUCAAUGUUACUUAUUACUUGUCAAGAGAAAUGUGGGUAAACAACUAAACAUGCCGGCAGAAAUGAACCUUUUUUUUUUUUUUUUAAAGACAAGCCGGUUGCGAAAUCACGACAGUUCAUCCUUCCGGAGGCCAAGAAGACCCACAGACUUUUCAGCCUCUCUGACUAUCAUUAUGUGAUUCACUAGCAUCAGGAAUUGAAACAAUAAUUUCUUCGCAAGUUUCCAAGAAAUGGAGGGAAAGAAAAAAUGGAGUUCGUCUGAUGUAACAAUAGUUUCCAAGCAAUUGUAUCAGAAAUCUGCAAUUUCCUUAUAGACUACGUGCGUUUCAUCGCGUCACAACUAGAUGUGAAGCACGUUUUCGGUCAUUCUAAUCUUAGAACUAUACAAUAGUUCCUAAAUGUGUAAUCAAACUGUCAAAUGCUUGGUUUGGGAAGGAAGAGAUUACUGAAACAAGUCAUCGAAAGCCGGAGGAGGGUAAAUGUCACCAGUAAUAGGACUCGAACUUGAUUAAAGCUCAUUGAAGAGACAGAUCAUGGCAUCUGCUCCAUGUUUGAUAAUCCCCACACAAGACGGGAAGCAAAACCGGUAAAACCUAAGCAUUGAUUAGUCGAGAUCCACAAAAAUCUGCAACAAGUCCAGAAGGUUGAUCAGAAUAGAAUGAAAACCAAAAGCAUUCAGAGUUGUAGUUUAGAUGGCACCAACUAUUUCAGCACAAUUCGCAAAUGUUUUAUCCAAAAGAGACUAACCUCCAUAUCUGGCAAAGGGUCGUAUGACUUUUUCUCUCUUAUGUUAAACACAGUAAUGCCCGUGAUCCUCUGAACUCCAAGUUUAGUGGCAAUCAGGUUCUGCAUUAGAAAACAGCUACUCUUAAGAAACUUCUCAAAUAGAUGAAAGUAUGAAUGUAUAUUGCUGAAAGAUGACUGGUUACAUUUGGGUUGCGGGGUUUAGAGAGCAUCAUCUCCAUUGUGAUUCUCAUUUACCAAAGAUGUUUAAACUGAAUGUAUAAGGUGCUGGUGAAAUUAUUCUCCGUACCAGAUUGAAAUUUGUGGAACUAAACGCCUCAACCCUCGGCAAAACCUGUGUGUGGAUUUCAAAUUCAUAAAAUAGUUAUAUAAUAAAGAGUGAGAUGCUAAAUAUUUGGAAUUUAAAAGUAUGAAUUCAAAUAUGUAGUCCUUGGUUCCUAAUUUAUCUUUCAUCAAGUAAACUUAUGUAAUCUAACUGAUGGAUCUCAAAGUUCACAGAGUAUACAGGGUCUGUUAAAAUAUUGAGGUCACUAUAUGCAGUCGAAAAUGAAAAAAGGCACCAACGAAGCCUAUAACAAAGGCUUGGACAAGAUAUUACUAUGAUAGCAUCUAAAAUCGUAUAUAGAAGCAGACUUUGGGACAGCAUAAAAUGUUAUAAACUUGGGGCAUGCAUAUCAAAAAAUUGGAAAGCUGAUUUAAAGCAUUACCACUGUUUGAAGACCAUUAAUCACAACAACAUUCUCCUCACGUGAAUCAUCUUGUGAUAAACAAACUCCGAAAGGGCCGAGUUCCUUAUCUGUCUCAUUUGCUAAAUUCAAGUGUAGCUGCACGAAGUUUUUACUUGCUCAGUUCCAAAUCAUUGCAUUAGUCAGUGAGUUCUAUUAACUGAAGAAUGACAAGAGCAAGACGUAAAUAUGGGGAUGAAUUGUGAAGCAUGAAGUUCAACAGUCACUAGAAACCUCUAUUAGUGAAUUUCAUAGACAAUCAAGCUGCAAUAAUCUAAUGAACAAGAUAUAUAUAUAUAUAUAUAUAUAUAUAUAUAUAUAUAUAUAUAUAUAUAUAUAUGACACCAAAAAGAAUGAAAAUUACCAAAAAGGGUCUUUCCAACUUGAUGGCAGAUGGCUCCUCCACAACAUGCAACUCAAUAUCCUUUCGUGUUAUGGGCUGCACAAGAGUAUGUCAAGAAUAUAAGUUUAAUACCACUUUAAGCUCUAGCAUGUUGAACUUACCUCUCAUAAUAUAUCCAAAACUUAACAAUUAGUAAAGCAUUCUAAAGUCCCUGAAUUCCCUGCCGAGUUGAAAUAAAACUAACAAUAUUUUAAAGUUGAAAAAGUAAAAUCAAACCAUAUUUGAACUUCCCACUUUCUGAUUAGAUGGAAUUUUCAGGCGAAAAGCCAGAACAAAUAUAAACACCCUGCACAUCUAAAGUGAAACAAAAAGUAGCGGACAGCAUUCUCGAUAUAAUAUAAUGUGAUGAACACUCACAGUUCCCAUAAUUUGCUGUGUUUGUAGGCGACCAGGUUCGCCCAGAUUAGUUCGCCAUGUUAUCUGAAGUUUACCAAGAAUAUUGCUUCCCUCAACUUUCCCUUGGGUUGAACCAUGUGAUGUUAACUGAAAAAGAUAGUUAUGAAUUCCUCCACCGGAUUCGAUGAGAAUUGGUGGCUUAAAUAUCUCUCUGCCAUUAACAAAACGCAGAAGAAUAUGAAGAAAAGAAGAAAGAGGAAUAUGAAGAAAAGAAAAAUAUUCGACAGAAGAAAAUAAACCAUAUUCUACCUUGUUUGAGAAUUCUUUUCGGAAUGGUGUUCGUCAGAUUUUAGGAUUUUUGCACUCCAAUGCUGAGCGGGCUCAAACUCAACUUGUUCCAUAAAAAGAUUUGACUUUGUAUGGUUUUCGAUGCAAGCUUCUAAAAGCGUGAUUUCCUGUGAUAGAAUGCAUAAAAGGAUUUGACUUCGUAGGAUUUACAACGCAAGCUUCUAAAAGCAUGAUUCCUGUGAUAGAAUGCAUUUAUCACAGGAGGCUAAUUUGUUACAGGUUAUCAACAAUAUCAGAGCAGUUACUUAGGCUGCAGAGAAUAGAAUUAAAAUACAAGAAGAGGAAUGCUGUUUAAUGAAGCACAUACUUUGGCAUCCGUAUAACACAUACGAGACACUACGUCUAAGUUUAAUCCAGUGUGGCAUAUUCAUACAUCGUCAUGUUUCCGGUGAAAAUCAUCAAUAUGUAUCCAAAAGGCCGAACUUACAAACUUACAAUCAAUAUCUAAAUGAACCUCAACGUACCUUUAUAACAAGGACCUGAAAAAUCAAAGUCAAAUUGUUAGUCUUAGUAGGAUUAACGAAAUGCGGUUGUUUCACACAUGUGAAUUGAAAUUUUGAAUUGCACAUGCAAAUUCCACGGCGUGUGCAAGGAAAAUACCUUCGUCCUGACAGAAAGCGGAUUGGAAACAAUGAAUUUGAAGAACUGUGGUAGAUAUUUACGCUCACCAUCACCGUCAUAGUACAAUGCAGUGCAAACCAACCUACAGAGAUUACAAAACCUUAACAUAAACAAACAACAAAAUCAUAAAACACGAGUUUCGAGGACUGAGGAAGAGAGCUUACGUGUGAGCUCCGAGUUCCUUGACAUCAUGUUCAACAAUGAAGUCAUAACGGCCGCCUGCACGUAUGGAUUCAACCGGCGAAUUCGACGUGUCCAACAGCACAAGUCUCUGCCUUUCUGUUUGCAUUUCCGACUGCAAUUAGCAAAAUUAACAGAAGAUUAAAAAUUGCACUGAAUUAAUUCAACAUCGAAUAAUUAGGGAAUAAUGGAAAAUAAAGUCCAAGAAUUUGAGAUGAAAACCUUGAUUAUAAUGUCCUUGACUUCGAAAUUGGAGCUGUUAUUGAUGCUAAUAUAGCUACAAAAUGUCUCCCCUAAGUAUAUUGCUCUACAAAAUCACAACUUUAUUAACAAAUCAAGAAAUUAAAAUGUGGGUAAGGAGAGAGAGAGAGAGAGAGAGAGAGAGACCCGAAGGCUUGGGGGAGGACGAGGAGGCCAGAGAGGCCAAUGGAGUCGGAGGGGUGGUGGAGGAGGAACCGGGUGCGGUAGGUGAGAUCCGAGGAGUCAGAGGAGGCGGAGGAGGAGGGGUUCAAGGAGUCGUGGACGUCGAGGAGGCGGGGGAGUUGCGCGGCUGCCAUUGGGUCGUCGAAAACGUCCUCGCCGACGACGAGAUCGGCGGGGUCGAGAAGGAGGGGAAUGGGGUCCACCUGGGAUGAGGGCUUGCACAGCCUCAUCACCCGGAAGGCCAGGGAGUGGGGUCCACCUUGACCGCUGCUCAUCGCUGUUUCCUCGUCGUCGUCGAUUCGCCGGCGUCCGUCGCGAUUAACCGAAUUUUCGCGCUUCUGAAAUGAGCAACACUUUUUUCAACGGCUUUUGUUGUGUUAACAGUAACUCCUCGUCGUUUUAACUUUAUACCACUUGGGAAACUCCGGUGAAUAAAUAUGAUGGCGGUAAAAUGUAUUUUAACGAGAAACGUAUAUAAAUGUUUUCUUUUCUUUGAUUAAACAGUGGAGGUAUUUGAACUUGAGGCUAAAUUGUUUCAGCAUUGAAAAAUAGAAAUAUCAUUAGAUUAAGAGCUAGUUAAUAAACUCUGUAUAAUAUAUUUAAAAGAAAAUUACGUUUAGAGUAAAAGUUAGUUAAUAGAUGCGUAAGACAUAUUCAAAAUUCACUUUUAAAAUGUCACAACCUGAAAAACGAACUAUCAUUAAAAUAAGCAAUGUUUAUUUAAUACGAGACCAAGUAGUCUGAAAGAUAAAGGGUGGACAUUUAACUCUAAGAUUCACUUUAAGAAAUUGAAUAGUGAAAAUUGUUUCAAAAGUUAGGCUACUUGGUAGGCUGGACUACCGAAGACAAACCCUAGAAUAAGACUAAAAGCUUGUUUUUUUUCCUGUGUGAAAAAAAAAAUAGAGGGAGGAAAGUUUACCCUGUUCAAGGCCAUGACAUACCACAAGCUUCUUUGAUAUUGAAGGAGUAAGAGGGAUUGCCCACCAAUAGAGAAUGCCGACAACGAUAUUCGAACCUAAGUCUUGAUCUAACGAACAAAACGAUCAUUACCAACUCAACCAACCCUCGUUAACAAAGCUAGAAGCUAGAUGAUAAUCGAGCACAUCUAUGGAGUCAUAACUUAAAAUUGUUCAAAGAACUUUAAAGCGAACUUUCACUAGAUUAAAAGUUGGUUAGUAGACACGUAUAACCCACUUCCUAAGGCCAGACAAAAAUAGCUAGAAGGAGUUGAAUCCCGUAGGCUUUUCUUCCUUUCACACGCUCUAGUUUAUUUGUCCCUUAAUUUUCCACGUAACAAAAACCUUUCUACACACCCUAACACCAACUAAUAAGAAAUACACAAAAUUGUAUCAAUUGUCUCGGUGCUAUUAGGAAUGGAAAGGCGUUUGUAUUUUUAACUAACAACUAAAAUUGUAUCAAAUUAUUCAUAUGAUGCUUUAUUAAUUAUGACCAGGAAAAAAGAGAGUAAUAUGUUGAUCUGCUUCAAAAAAUUUACAACAGACAAUACAGAAACCCUACCAACCCACCUGACUUUGACACCCCCCACGCCCGGAAGAAUGGCAAAGUUCAUGCUAUUAGUACUCUACUGUUAAACUACAAAACUAGCAACCUAAAUAAUCAAACGAGCCUUUCAGUCCCGUAGGAACGAAAAUUCACGAGAGGAUUUUGCCGAGGCUACCGUCUCAACGACGUUCCCCAGCGGCAGCUAUUAACAUUUGUACAUGCGUGUCAUAAGUUAUGUUCUCACUACAGGUCAAAUGGAUCCAUCAAGGUGAUCAGGGCAAGAAUUUACAACCUGCAAAAUAGAAACCCUAUAAGAAUGAAAACUUGGCAGCAGAUGCAGAGAUAUGGAGAGCUUUCCGAAGCAUUUUUUAAAACAAGACAAAAAGUUUAACCAGUAUGCACAGCAUAUGACUCAGUCGUCAACUAUCAGCAAUACCACUCUGUCAAUGAUCAGCAAUGGUUUAUGCAUGUGUAAAAGAUUAGGAGCUCACCUAAUAAAUAGUACAGUCAGUUCAGUCAUCUAUACAACUCGAACCCAUGUUCCGCCACACAUAGGACAGCAAUAAGCCCAGCGGCUGAUCCACCAUGUCUCCCGCCCAGUUUGAUUCGGUGGAGUAGUAGCACCUGAGGAAGCAAAAGCUGAAGUCUGCCGCAAACAUCUUAUGCACUGCAUGCACACGAGUAGAAAAUAAGAUUUAAAGAAUCACAAACUAUUAAGAUGGGGAAACAAAAAGCAUGGACUUUUCAUAUCAAACCUUGUACCAAACCCCUUCUAGACCAGUCUUCCAUACGGCAGUAACAACAUCUCUCCGUGAUCCCAUUAUACCAAGAUAUGCCCCCAAACCCACUGAAGUGUUUAGGCCAAAAGCUGCAUCUCUUUCAGACAUCCUGCGCUUCCUUGGCCACAGGCCAUGGGCUCCAUAAUAAACGUCACAACUUUCCAAAGAUCCGGAAUCAGGUGGGUCUGAAGAAUUACAUAGCUUGGGGGUAUCAUCUUGAGGAUCCAUAUCAUCUGAAUCAGACCAAGGCCCACCGUACAUAUUGCGCCUAUGCCACUCUUCGGCUGGAGGGUGGAGUUCUAACUCUCGGAGUAACAGACCAGCAGCAUCUGCACCUCUAGGCCGGGGCAUAUUCUGUAUAGCCAAUCAGUUAAAAAGAUUGUAACUGUGAGAUUUCAGAUUGUAAUUGACAAUAAAAAAUUAACUAAAAUUACUGUUCAGAAUUUUAAACAACCAGUAAACAAGAAAGUUAAUCCUCUGACAGAAUAAAGUUGCAGGCAUUGACUUUAGCAGCAUUAUUAACAAGAGCAGAAUCCGUGCAACUCCCAUCAUCAUGAAUGGUAUUUUAGGAAAUACAACUAUACCUGCAUAUGAGGGCCAAGGGAUGCUUCAACAACCUCCGGAAGUACAGUAUAAUUGCCAUCAAUAUAAUGCAGCCGAACCUGAAUGUUGCUGCUUCCCACCUGAGAAACCGGCAAUGAAUGUGCCAGGCUUGCUGUUCGCCGGCAAAGAUCCAUAAGGAUGAGGAAAAGGACUUUCACCUGCAGGACAGCAACAGAGUGCAUUAUGUCAUUCUACCUUCUGCUUAUCAAUUUUCUUUGAUGAACAGAAUUAUCCAAUUAAUUGAAAUGUCCAAAAAUGAGACAUUAACAUUGAAAAUCCCAAUCACAGUUCACAAAUCAAAUGAUAUAAACCAGAUAUGGACAACUAAGGCAACAUGUAAUAUAUUGUGAGAGAUCUUGGAAGAAGAGAGCAUCGAUUUCUACCUCCUCAAAAGUGUAACCCUGACCAGCAUUUCCAGCACCCAAUCUUGACCUUCCAGCAGGUCCUUCUUCAACUCCUUUUGCUCCAGGUAUCUGACCGGGCCGAGCUACCUGACCCUCUUCCGGUCUGACCAUGGUUGUAGAUGAUUUUGCAGAAACAGAACUGACCUCAUCCGCCUUUCCAGAUGCACCAGGCUGUGGCUUUUGCAUAUUUGCAUCAGUAUUUCUCUGUGCUCCCCCAGAGAAACGGGGUAGCUGAGCUCGCCGAAAGAAAAAACAGAAAAGCAAAAGCUGGCAUAGCCUAUGAAGGAAAUGGCAAUCCCCAAUUAGCCUAACAGCAGGUGUGCCAGGAAAUGUUCCUGUAUUGAUACUUAUUGGCAUGAAGGAUGACGGUCCACUAAUGGGGUUUGGAGCUGAAUUGGAAACUCCAUCAGAGGUGCUACUAAUCUUUGCAAUUGCACCUUGAACCCAAGCUUGCAUCUGGGUGUUUCCUGUUGAUGUUGGUGUUCCACUUUGACCCCCUGAAAAACGUAGCACUACGUUGUCAAAGAAAUGCUGCAUUGCAGACAAUGCAAAAUAAGAAAUAAAUAUAUAAAUAUAAAAUUUGAAUGAUGCCCAAUUCUCCUAACAAAAUAAUCAGCAAACACCUCCUGAGUAAGUCUAACUUCCAAAUGGUUUUGGGAUUUAGAACAACCAUAUUUGGUCAAUCCUGAUGUAAACCAUUAUUUCAAUGAGAUUUUUUUUUUUUUUCAAACUUCCUUUGCAUCUGAAUCCAAUUCUAGAAAAAACAUCUUUGGUUUCCAUAAAGAGUAGAAGAAUGCAUACUGACCCUGACUGGUUGCAGGAGAAGCCGAACUUUGGGUAGGACUAGCCACCAUAUUGCGAUUGCUGCCAGCUCCAGCAUGGCUCGCCAAUGUGCGACAAAAACUUGCAUAGCGCCGCAAGCGAGUGAUGAAAUGUGAAGCUAAAUCAAGAACUGCGUCGACGUAAGCCUGUGUUAUGUGGAUAGAUUAGGCAAGUGAGAUUUGAAGAAAAAUCAUAAACAAACAAUAUCCCAGCACACGUGAGCUGACUGGAGGAAGGUUCAAACAACAAUCUCCAUAUCCAUACUUGGGAUUUAGAAGCCCAAACUAGCGCAUUACUAGUCUUUCUAUUAUUUAUUUCAUAGAAAUGUGGGCAAGGGCAUAACCCACAAUCAUGCACCUAUAUGACUGGAUUCCACAUUGUUGACUAUAUUUAAAAUACAUUUAGCAAAAACCACCAAUUAAAAUGCAAGAAACCACCAAUUGUUUGUCAAACGUGACCAUUUUGCGGCGCAUAACUUUCAAGAAGAGAAAACAUAAGUUUAAGAAGUUUAACAAUCAAAAGAAAACCUGAAUAUGUGGAACUAGUGCUGGUUCAACAGCCAUUGCUUCAGGAUCAAUGCCUGAUAACGUUUCGCCAGACGCCUGCCAUGGCUCUGGUACCAAAGCAGAUGGAUUUAUUAACGCUGAUUCUAUUCCCUUCCCAAGCAUAUCAAGCAACAACCGGGCUUGCAUGUCUAGAACCAUUGCCCUAACUUCUUGUGCAUUUGUACCUUCCAGUAGCCUGCACUUUAUCCUGUCGAGAUUCUGCACCAAAACAGAUAUAAUUUUCUGAGUCAAUCACCAAAAGUAGUCAACACAGAUGUGAAACUGAAGCUGCAACAAUAAGGAUGCGUGAACCACUUAACCCUGUCCUGAAAGGGUGAACCUAAAAAAGGAUAACAUACAUGCCAUGCAACAGCAUGAAACGUUGAUUGAAAACUUGAGUCUUUAGGCCAAAAAGUCAUGCGCAAUGCCUCAGCUUCUAAUUAUAGCCAUUUCCCAUUUUAGUCAGUUUCCCAUGCAAUCUGUCUUAAAAUAUUCUGAAACACCUUUCUUAUGACACGCCAAGAUACUUUUACAGUUACAAUCUCCAUCAUGGGAAACAGGGAGGCCAUCUAGGUGAUCUUUUGCUUGGCAAGUAGAACUGUCAACAUCUCUUACUUGUACUGUCAAUUGGCUUUAACAGCAAAAGUCUUUUUUCUUUUUCUUUUAAAUGUCAGAUAAGAAUUUUCAACACUAACACUACCAGGCCAUUCAUAUAAGAAAAAAAUUAAGGGUCAUGAAUUCAUUUAAAAUUCAGCAUAUAUCAAUACUUGCACAAACAAAAUAUAUUAAAUCAUAUCUUAAAAAUUUUAUCACAAUUCUAGAGCCGCCCACUAGAGUAAUUAUGAACAAAAUAUCUCUGAGAUUGAGUAAUAAAAUGUUAAUGCAUCAAGAUUUAUAACAUUGGAAAAUGCAGCUAAUAAUUUCACUAAAAUGACACCUUUGGUCCUAAUUGUCAUUUACGUACAUGAAAAUCUAUAAGCAUCUUGAAAAAUCUGCGCCAUAGCUAAAAACUUACAGGACCAUACUGUUGUCUGUGCUUAGUAGAAGGAAGAGAAUGAAAAUCUGCAUCCAGUACUGCAAUGACACUGUUCAGAGAAACUGCAACAAACAAAAAACCACAAUCAGAAGGUUGUGCACAUCAUUUAUGAAGAAUUUUUCUAUAAAACACAUUUAUAAAUUAUAAUGGAUUGGAGAACUAUAAUUUGUUUCCUAAAUUUUCAAGAACUACUUUGCUAUUUAUCAGUCACACAACAAUACCACCAAAAAGAAUCCAAAAUUAUUACCAAUGCCGUCCUCGGCAGCACUCUGCGUACAGCCAACAGCAUCCCACCAAUCAACCCCAACCAAAAGACUCCACCAAAACCUGCCAUGAUGACCAUCAAUCUGUCAUAACUUAAACAUCCAUAAAAACUCAUUUCAGGGAUUCAAGGUUUAUCAAGGUGGAAGAAGUACCUUUCGGCAAUGGCCCGUUCCCAGGUUGACGAGUUUGCCUUCACUUGGCUGCUUGGAACAGCAGGAGGAAGAACACGUAUUAUUUUUAAAACUGUACGGUCCUUACCACUAUCAUGCCAAACAGAAGCUGAGCAGCAGCUUGUCGACGAGAAGGCAGGGGUAGCAAUUGCAGAUCCAACAUUAAUCUGGUAGUUAUCAACAGGUGCAAAGUUCGGACCAGAGAAGAUGUGAACCCCACCCCGGAGGAAAGCAACAGCAAUCUCACCACCAUGAGCAGAAUAGACUAUUCGAGCAAGUGUUCUAACAUCACUUGGCAGGUCAAAAGGAUCAAAACUGACUCGUUUUACUUUCUCUAUGCCAGAAUCAGGAGUCUUCCUUGCAUCAGUGGUUGCUGUUGUCGCUGCUGCUUGGUGACUUUUAAAAUCAUUAGUUGGUUGUAUGCUUGUGUCCACUUUGGAUAGCCAAACAGUUUGCAUUGGUGCCUGCCCACCAAAACUGGAUGUAGGAUUUCCAAAUAUUUGGUGAAGAACAACAGGCUGAAGUGAUGAUUCCCAGCGUUGCACUCUCCAUCCUGUAAUUGAUGGACCCUCAUCUGGAUCAUAAGGAGACAUGUAUUGUCCUGCACUCAUGAUUCAAUUCAUGCAACUACUAUGGUUCAGACAUAUUUCUAAGAAAACUUAGUUUCUAAUCAGGAAAAAAAAAAAGGGUUGUCGUUACCUAACAGGCCAGAUAGAAUAAAACUCCAAAUAGUACAACAGAAUCAAAGGUAAGGUAAAGAUACCAACAAAAAAUAAACAGUAAACAGAAGGCAGAAAAGAUGGCAAGGAGGUCCAUUCAAAAGGUCCUGCAAUAAUAAAGCUGAAAAAGUACUUUUUAAAAGGUGAGAAAAUACAUAAGACUACCACUCAACAAGAACACAGAAGUAUGGAAACAAAGAUUGUACGAAAACGAGAAACAAUGACACCUGGUUUAUGUUGUUCAAAAUUACAACUCUAACAAACCAAUUUUCAGAGAAAUUUUUAGGGAAAAAGUACAUCUGGAUUAGAAAAGAUUAACAAAUAAACAAAUAAAUGCAUGCUUCGUUACACCAACAACUUGCAAUUGAAUUCCAAACACAAAGAAUAGAGAAAAAAAAGGUUUUCAAGGAAGAAGACAAUUAGUACCCUCAACUAUGACAACAGCUAUGACAGAACCACCACGGGUUGGAUCAAAGGCAACCGCAGUAACUCCAGAUCCCCAUGUAGUGGUAGUUGCAGAUUGAGAUGCAGACUCGGGACUCACAUAUGCUGAAAAAUUAAACUGGAGAGCAAUGAAGUGGUACAGUAUCACUGAAAUCUGGAUCUGUCUGCUUUCGCCCUUGCUUUGCUUCAGAUAAUAGAUAAUCUUGCCAGCUAAACAAAUAUGCAGCCAAAGGGGAAAAACCUGGCCAAUUGGGUGGAUUCAUUGAAGGUGGGACCCCAUCAGUUGUGCUAAUCUUUGGAGUUGCAUGAAAUCCAUUUCCUAGGCCAGGAGUGACCUCCCAAACAACAACCGUAGAUGGGUUUACAAUUGGAACGCCUGCGACAUGCAUGGCACCACUGUCUGUUAUGAUAGCAUCAGCUGCCAUGAUCCCACUAGGCCCAGCACCCAGAAGUCCCUUGCUUGUUUGAAACCACUUUGGUGCAGCACUAAUCUGAUUAGGAGGAUACUGGGACCAAUGAAGCUGAAUAGAGCCUGAAGAGAAAACAGAACAGACGCACAGAAAACUGGGCCACCUAGCUGAAACAAAUAACAAAAUAUUGCAUCAGAUACCACCGUUCAUACAUUCUAUAAUAAAAAAAGGGGAAUAUAAGGAAACUUGAAAUUAAGAGAGGUUGCAAUGAAGGAAAAAAACCUGAAUUUUGAGACUGCUGUGAAAGAAAUUUUUCUUCAAAAGUUGACUUUGCAUUAGAGGAUGUACUUGAUUUUGAGGAAAGCCACCUAUACUGGUUCAUAAAAAAAAAUCAAAAAAAAUAUUAACUAUCAACAUCAUCUGAAAAAAGGAUACUGCAGUCACACCAGCAGACAUCAAAUGCGAUCUUCAUAUAAACAAUAAGCAAGCUAAAAUGGUACCUUUCAAGGAACAUAAUACAUUCAGAUGGGCAGAACAAGAAGCACAAACAUAUCUUUAAAAACCAAAUGAAUAGCAGACAACAAAAUUGCUUACUGGGGACACUCCUGACAGCCACUUUGUAACAACUGCAAUAUCCUGCUGCCAUUCAUACUCUCGUUGCCAACGGCUGGCAUCGCGUACGAGAUUAGCUGGCCCCUAAACAGAUAGAUCAAAUAUAAACAUUUCAUAAUAUUUAUAAAAUAAAAUAAAAAGGAAAAUUGUCCAAGAUUAUUGCAAUUUAGCUGUUAGUGGAAAAGCCACAUCAAAAGCUUGCAAGGGGAAAAGUUAUCUACAUAAGAAGAAAUCAGUACAACAAGUCUAGCUUACUUGAGAAGGCUGAGUCCAGAUCGUUACUCUCCCAUGGAAAUUGGCAAUUAGUAAGCCACGAGGGCAAGAAGUAGGAGACCAUUCAAUAAACUGAACAGAAUCACGAGGAGAAUCUGCAAAACGUAUUCAAAACUAUCUUGGUUCACAGAAUUAUAACCAACAUUUAGGAAAGCAAAAGCAAAACAUCAAAGGUCUUCCUAAUCUAGCAUCGAAUGAAAAAGACAAGCAAAAACAUAUGCCAACUCUCAGGAGGGAAUUGUCAUCCAAAUGAGAUAGGAUUUGAACACCUAAUGAACUAGCAGGUAAUAACUAUUGACCGCGGAUGAUAAAAAACAACUUCGUAUGCAAGAGAGGAAAAGAAUUUGACAUAUGUAGAUGUUCAUAGCAAAAACAUAUUGGCAUUAAGCAAGUCCAAAGAGAAUUAUAAAGCCUUCAUAGUUAAUUAUCAAGCUAUUCACUGCAUAAGUUGCAGUGAAGAAAACUUAGGCAAAGAAUCUAAAGAACCAAAGGCUCUUAUACAACAACAACAAAGCCUUUUCCCACUAAGUGGGGUCGGCUAUCCAAAGGCUCUUAUAAAAGCAAAUAAAUCAUCUAAGUACCUGCAUUGACAUUGAACACUGCACACUCAGUUGGUCGCUCUGGGAUCACAAUAUGUAUGGGAAUCCAAAAAGGUGCAUUUGCAUUAGAACUACAGAAAAAUCCAUAACAAAAAGAAUUGUCAUAACUGUACACAAAUGUAACUAAUUAAUAGGGAGAAAAUAAAAUAAAAUAUAGGCCAAACUUAAGCAAGCUCAGUGCCCACCAACCAGGCUGCCUAGUUUUUACACUCCAGAGAUUCCUUGAUGAUCCAUUUGGACCCUAUACGAAGGGAGGGAAGAUGUUCUAUUUUUAAAAGUAACUACAAUUCUUAACAUUAUAUAAGGAUUCAUCAGUUUCUUUUCAUAGUGCUUUCUGAGGUCCAACUAAGAAAAAUAAUUGCCAGGUUCCAUAAUCACGCAUAUUAUCACAAACAAGCAAUACUAACCUUGGAAUACUUGCACAAGUUUCUGAUGCACAAGCGAUGGCAUUCAGCUUCCCACACCAUGCAACAGCACUGGAGAAACAACAAAAAGACUACACAUAAAGCCAAAUCUUCUGUACGUAACUUAAAACAUAAAUGUAAGAUGGCCAGGGCAAUUUAGCAGUAUCAUGGUAUUAAGGAAGUAAUAUCUAUUCCAACUACCUUUCCUUUAUACUUCUCAUUUCCAGAGUUCUCGUUACCUUGACCAUCACAAAGCUGAUAACUCAUACACCUCUCAGACUAAGGCAGGAAAUUAGUAUUAAAACUAACGAUUGAAUUACAAAGUGAAGAGAGGAGGUUAGUUCUCCUGAGUUGGAAGAAUGAAGCGGCCAUUAUCCAGUACAAAAAUUCUCAUGUCCACCUUUAUUCACAUCAUAGAAAGUUAUUGAUUGGCAACGGUUCACAGAGCAAUGGCGUAACUAAAUCAAUAAAGACCUAAUAUUUUGGAACCACCCGCCGUAGAAUCCCCCAAUAUCAAUCCUUCUCUCUCCACAAUUCAAAGUCAACAACUUUUCUCUCCUUCCCAUCUCGGUAUACACUACAUAACAACAAUUUCUUGUUUCAUUUCAGAAAAGUUUGAAUUUUUCUCCAUUAACACACAACUACAAAGCUCAAACCAAUACAAAUAUUCUCAUUUUAUUUGUGGUACCGCUUCGAAACCAAAAUCUAAACACAAUUCAAUCAAAUGCCCCCCACCCCCAAUAAAAAGAAGCAUAAUUCAAUGAACAAAACUCUAAACUUAACAGAUUGGAGCUCGAAUUUCAAAAUUUACCUAAAAUUGCGACAAAGCUCGGGGACGCUCAUCUUGUGCUGCAAAUUGGACCUGGGCUGCUUGAGCCUGAUGCAGAAGACGGCGGCAGGGUUGACUGCGUCUUCCUCCAUGGGAUCGUCGGGCUCGUCCACCGGCUCUUCCUCUUCGUCUUCUCCCCCUCCUCCAAUGCUCUCAAUACUCCCCGUUUCGGGCUUGUCGCUCUCAAGGGAAUGAGCCACAGGCUCGUCGUCAGAGUCCUUCACUUGACUCAUUACCCCUAAACCCUAAAAAAUUAUAUAUACAACGAAUCACAAAGCAGAGAGAGAGAAGAAUGUGAGUGGUGGAAAGUUGUAAUUGAAGGCGACAGGUAUCACUGUUUAGAGAGAGAGAGAGAGAGAGCGAGGAGAGAGAGUAGUGGGGUUGGUGUGUAUGUUUGAAAAUGUUGAGAGAGAGAAGAGAGUGGAUUGGAAGAUUGAAUUUUUGUUUUCUGUUUUGGCUUUUGAGGGCAGAGGUUUCAGGCAAUUUUGGUUCAUAUUUUUUUAGGGUUUUUGGGUGGUCGACAAAGGCAUGUGAUUCCAAAACCCAAUUUCCAGGCGUUGGUGGUGUUGGUGGUGUCGGAUUUUUAUUUUAUUUUUUGGGUGUCAACAUCUUGCCUUCUUGGAUUUUUAUUUUGGGAUGUGCUAUCCACACAUCCUAAAUUACUUUCCACACAUCCUUGUUAAUUUCUGUCCGUUAAUCUUCUUCAAUUCAUCCGAUCCGACGGUCAAAAAUUAAAAAGGUGCGUGAGAAGUAAAACGGGGUGUAUGAAUAUCACACCCCUUUAUUUUUUGAGCGUGAGUCGCGUCACUUAUAUGAUCAUACUAACAAAUAAUGAGACUCCUUUUAUUGGAGUGUGACCGGCUUAAGGUCUUGUGGAACACCAACGUACAGACAAAGUAACGAGUCUAUUUUUUCGAAUCACAUCAGUCAUACAAUGACGAACACACAAAUAAUCACGAGUUUGACGGGUAUCUCACACACCGCGUGGCGUCCAAACCAAAGACUUUCUCCAAUUCAUUGGUCCUGUGUGUGGAAUGUGUGACCAAGGGAGGAGCUAUGUAGCCUUUGAACAUUUUGGUAGUACAUAAUUUGAGGCUUGUGACAAUUAGCCCAUGCCAACCAGCUUUCGAUAUUGGGUGGGUGUUAUCAACACACUCAGGGUCCGUUUGUUUGACCGGAUUAGGGAGGACUGGACUGGACUGGACUGUAGUCCCUUGUUUGGUCUGUACCAGGAUUAGGUUUAAUGGGAUUAGGUCUGACUCGCUAGGAUUAAACCCCUCACUGGGAGUUCUAAGCGAAGCACCCCGAUCACCCCCGGACUCGUAAGACCUCUGCGCUCCUGCGCUCCUGCGCUCCUGCGAGAGAGAACCUCGCUCAACCUCGAUCCUCGCCGUGCUCCCUCCUUGCCCUGCUCCCUCAUCGUCGUCCUCCUCAUCCUCAUCUCUGCAUCCUGCUCGCCCUCAUCUGGUAAACUUCAAAUCCGACAUUAUUUCUUCGAUUUUUUUUUGCAGAUCGUGAUAUUACUGGGCUUUAUUUGAUUUAGGUGUUUUGGGUUUGAUAAAUUUUCAAUUAUAAACCUCUGCACUUGAACAAAUUAGGGUUUUGAUUUUUAGGGUCAAAUUGAGAUUAGAAUUUUCAAUCAUAGCUUGCCGUUGCUCUGGGCUUCGAUUGAUGGUUGAUACAUGCUUUUUAAGUUUGUAUAUCUUUUGAUUCUGGUUUUCUAGGGUCUGUAGGUUUUAGAUUUUAAUUUCUUAACCAGUCAAUUGUUGAUUUGGAUUAUAAGUUACAAAACAUUGUUGAGUUAUUGCAAACACAAAUGUAUACACAAACGAUCCUGGCUAUAUUACGCCAACAAUCAGGGGUUUCCCUAUCAUAUGUUGCCAGAGCGUAUUCAAACAAUCUGUUUUGUUUGGCUGUCCAAGUCGAAUUGGAGUGUGGGGAAGAUAGCUUGCUAGGUGCCAUGAUUACUUGUCAUGAUUACUGCUACUUGCAGAUCAAUCCUCUUGGCCUUCUUUCAGGCUUCUCCACUGAGCCCUGUAGUUAUCUUUCAUGCUUGAAAGUAACUGAUAGAAAGUAAAUAUGUAAUAUGUACCAUUGAUGGGAACUAUUUGUGACACUAGACUUCAUAUGGAACACUAUCCAACCUUAUUUGGUUGACAAUCACUGCUUAGUCUUAAAUUGAGCCAGUCAGGUGAGGAGUGGUUUCUUCCUUAUUCUCUCUUCUGGGUUGGCAGUGGCACGAAAUAAGAUUGCUUCUGAUUGCUCAAUAUCUGUUCCAUCUCUUUCCCAAAUGGCAGCUGCUUAGCCUCUCUCUCCAUCUGCUUCAUUAUGUUGUCCUCUUGGCCUGCAUGUUUAACGUACAAGCAGAGUACAAACAAGGGACUUUUAGAAAAGUUAACCCUUUCUUUAGCACAUUAAGGCCUUGUUUAAUUUGAUGGCAUAUUGGAUUGGACCAAAUAAACCACUAAAAAUUCAGUAUAUGUUGAUUCAAAACGCAGCAGUCAACUUUUCGAACCUUGUUCAAGUUGAAAGUUCUGUAUUAAAGUUUCUUACUUGUUCAUAAUUUUACAGUCAACAUUUUUAGAGUGAUGAUGCGUGUGUUUUCCAAAUUGUCUGACUGCUAACUCUGCAUCUUGAAUCCAAGUUUUGACUUGCGUUCUUAUUCCGGCAUUCGGACUUUUAUUUUUCUUAUUGUACAUAGUUUAUUAUUUUAUGUUGAUGUUCAAAUUGCUUGUUUGUGAUUCUAAACAUAGAAUUUAAACUUUAAUUCCCUGAAUCUGGUCAUUUGCUCUUUUUGUUGUCAUUUUAUAACUGAAAAGUAAUAUCAUACAUGCAGAGGCUUGAUUUUUUAUCGGAGAGGAUUCUUUCAUUAGCUUUUGAUGUGAUUUCAUCUCUGUUGAAACAGGGCCUGUAAGUUUUCUGAUUAGUAAGUUUUACUGAAUAAAGAUCACCAAAAUUCUGCCAACUUCAUUCGUUAGGAAGUGGAACUUUGGAUGUUGCUGGAUCACAAUUUGUUACUUGUUCAAUCCACCCUCUUAAUUGGUUUUUUUUUUCUUCUUAAUCGUAAAUCAGGGAUGGAGAAUAGUUUCUCCACAUUUUUCAUCUCUGUUGGACUCUGCAAUCUUUCAAGCAUUGGUAAUGAAUGAAAAGGUAAAUUUCAUUAUCAGAAAAAAAUGGGAAACAUAUAUAUUUUGAAACCUGAAGUUAUAAGUUGAACUAACUCCUGUUUUUCUGGCAAUUUUUCAAGUAGGAUAUCGUAGUGUGGGAAGAAGAUGCAGAUGAGUACAUACGAAAGAAUCUUCCAUCUGACAUAGUAUGGAAAGUUUAUACCACAUUUAGUGUGUGAUAUGUAAGACAUUUUAUAUAGGUAUGAGGUAUUACUACCAGUUGCAUACUAUGUGUGUAAUAUAUGCGGCGUUGUCUUAUGCUUAAGUGCUCUGCCUAAGAUGUAAAAUUGAUGGGGUCUAUUAGAAUUGAACCAUAUUCGCCUUUUGGAUUGCACGCCUGAGAAUUCUUUCUGUCCAUUUUUUUUAUCUUUCAUGUAAAAUACUUGACUUUUAGUGGAAACGAAUGCAUGCUUAUUUAUCAUGAAUGAAUACGUAAGGUAUGAGCCUUGCUCAUAUUUUGACAUAUAAUUAUCAAACACACAAGAAAAUUUUGGAACAAUGCUACUUUGAAUCAUGUAUGUUUCUUUCAUUGGCAAGAAAUUUUGGUUUUUGUAUUUUUAUUGAGUCUCACUCUCAUCCUAUAUUAUUAAUUUUAAUAAUAUCUGUAAUAAAAAAACAAUUAAAAUAGAACAAUAAUGUAGUUCUAGUCUGAGCAAACACCAAACUGGUGAACAAUAUUGUUUUCAUUAUCCUGCUUCUUAGUCCGACACUGCACCAAACGCUUCACUAAGCUAGUCCAGCUUAGUCUAGUCUAAGCCAGUCCAGCUUAGUCCUUGCAGCUAGUCCAGUCCGAGACAGUCCGGUGCAACAAACGCACCCUCAUUUUUACCUUUUAUAUAUCCCUCUUAGUUUCAAUCAUCGUAUCGAAUGAAUUGAAAAAAAAUAAAUAAACAAAAAAUAACAAGAGUGAAUAUAUUGUUUCAACUUUGCCCUUAUCUAGUGCACAAAAGUCAUAUUUAAAAAAAAAUCAAUUUAUGUCACCACACCUUUCAAGUCCAACAAUUUUGCCCACCCCUUUUAAAAUUCUUGGCUCCACCCUUCAUGUGACCUUAUGAGCAAGUCCACCGAGAGCCAUUAGGCCAGCACCUAGCAGCCUUUUGGGCUCGGCACCCAACCAAUUUGCUCCAUCCCAACCUAAUAGGCUGGCAUCCAGCCCAAGCUAGUUCAUAAGGUGACCCAAAAUGUGCUGAGCUAGAGACCAACUUAUAUGACGCCAGGUUGACAUCAUGAUCUGAAAUCUUUUUUUUUAUGCCAAGUCCCAACAGAGGUCCGUCUACAAAAGAUGGCAGAGAAUGAGAUGUUGGGCUCAACUACGACUGUUUGUCCACGACGAUAGCAGACAAUGGGCUACCGCAAUCUCUGCCACCACCUCCGACUCAUCCUCCAACCUGCUAGAAUUUCCAAUCCGAAGGUGGAGAUAACGGCAAAGGUGAAACUGGAACUAAAGGCAUGAGCUGGUGGUGGUAUAAUGGCAAAGAGGAUGGUGGCGGUGGUAAGGGAGGAGAAAGGUUGUUUCAUCAUAGAAAUUAGUGGGGAUUGGCGGCAUGGGUGGUGGGUUGGCGUGCUCUGGUAUGCUUCAUUGGAGGAGCAUUUUUUGGGAGUUCAGAAACUGUAAAGUCAGAAAUUAAUAAUAUUUUAAUAAAAUUGACUAGGCUAUUUAGUUUUAGGGGUGAAGAUGCAUUUAAUCUAUUAUUGUUCAUUGGGGUCUAUCAAUGUUCAUUGAAUGAAUUAAAUAGGCUGGAUGCUAGCGCAUUUUUUUAGGGGUGGACUUGCUAUGAAUAAAAAUUGAUCUCAAAUACACAAACUUAGAAAAGGCAAAAAAAAAUUUAGCGGAUGGUUUUCUUUUAUGGAAACUAAUGAAAAAAGCUUGAAAACUUUGAGUUUUAACAAUAACGACAAAAUAAAGGGUAAAGUGAAUAGUACCAUGUUUGAUUUUUUAGUAUAAAAAUGUGUUUUUUCGUUAAAGUGAAUAGUUUUUCGUUAAAACUCCAUUUCUUUUAAGUGACAAUAAUGAAUGUGUUGUGUAGGUAACCUACAUUUGUUAUUAAGCGAAAUAUUAAAGUGAUUAGUUAAUGUAAAAAUAAAUUUCGAAAAUAAAAAGGUCGCAUCCUACCCACCACGCAUAGAAACUUGAAUAAAAAUAUUUUCUUAAAAAAUUAGGGGGGGGAGAGAGAGAGAGGAGGAGGAGGGAGGGAGGGAGGAGUCGACAGCAAGGGGAAUCUGUCGUAUCUUUCUUGGUCUGACUGGAAAGGAGGAGACAUUGUUGUGCUGGUGAUGUGCUUCUCUGUCUAACACUACAAUUAUAUAUGCUUUAAUGUGAUUGAAUUUGUAUGCACUAAGUUUGUUUAAUCUAGGGCAUUUGAUUUUUAGGAAAUUAGAUAUUAAUCCUUGAAAAUGAUUUAGUUUAGACAAAUACCAUUUGCAAGAUUAACAAUUGAAUUAAGUCCCUGACCAACGUCAGCCGACAUAAUUCCACAUUAGUUGUCAUUUAUUUCUUUGUUAUUUUUCCAAUUAUACCCUUUUGUCAAUGUUUGUAAUGAUGACUUUUUUUUUUUAGUUAACAAUCAUAGGACGUCAUUUAUUAUAGAUUAUUUUUAGGAUGCAUAUGAUAUUUUGUAGUAGUUUGUUUUGUUCUCGUUCAAAUUUCAAACUGAUUUUAGUUCAUAUUCGAGAAAUUAGUAAUUCAUUCUCUAAAAUUAAGAGGGCUAUGUAUAUAGUAUAUUGUAAUGGCAUCACCCUUUUUUUUUUUUUAUCAUGGCGCCUAAGGUACGAAUAUUUAGGUGCAUUUGACUAUAUACUAUGAUUUAGGUGCAUUCAUGUAGGUACUAUGAUUUAGGUUCAUUUAAAUUGAUACUUUGAUUAUAUAUUUAGGUGCAUUCAACUAGAUAUUGUGAUUUAAGUAUAUUGUGGUAGGUACCAUGGUUUAGGUGCAUUUGACUUGGUAUUAUGAUUUACAUGCAUUCGACUUGGUAUUAUGAUUUACGUGCAUUCGAUUAGGUAUUAUGAUUUAAGCACAUUAGGAUAUUGUUUAAAUGCAUUCGAUUAUCUAUAAUAUAUGAUUUGGGGUAUUUUUAUUUCCUCUAUGCUUUGGAUGGUGAUAAUGAAUAAUUUGAAUUAGGUACUUGUUUAUUUCUUGUAAUGUAUCACUGAUAUUUUUUUGGACGUCUAGAUGAGCGAGGUAUGCUUAUUGUUUAUGGAAGUCAAACAAUAGUCAAUGCCAACAAAUAUGGAGCAAAAUAAAACCAAAUAUUUAAUAUGGGCAUUAUGGGAACAAAAAAAAAGCAUUAAAUAUUUAAAAACAAGAAAAUAUGAACUUUAAUAUUUAUUAUGACAUGGAAAUUUAGUCAAAUGACUAUAAUGAAUAUAUAAUCUAACAUAAGGUUUAUAUUGAAUUUCAAUCUUAAUCGAGGAUUAAAAUGGAGAGAGCCCUUUUACCAAAAAAACAAAAACAAAAACAAAGCUUGAAAGAGAUGGCAAAAGAAAAAGGCUUUGUGUUGAUGAAACAACGUCUCAAAACUUGAAAUUCCUUUUUUUAACACUAAAAUAAAUUACAACAAAGGAUCUUAAUUUCAAACAUGUCAAAUUAUGACUUAUAUAAUAAGCUCCAUCAUGAGUUGGAAUUAUAAAUUUCUAAGACAUCUAUAUAUGGUUCAAGUCAAAAAGCAACUUUUGAAACUGAUGCAAACCAAUAUUGGUUAGGGAUGUGAUAUUCACACAUAUUUUUUUACUUCUCUCACACCCUUUUAAUUUUCGGCCGUUUGAUCGGAUGAAUUGAAGAAUAUCAAAUGAAAUAAAUUAAUAAAGGGUGUGGAAGAAGUAAAAAAAUGGUGUGUGGAUAGCACACCCCUAUUGGUUAAUUGGAAGCAUGAGCCUUGACAUUGAAACUUGAAACUCAAACCCUAAACCAAUGGAUGUACGUGUAUACCUACGGACUUUUAACUAGCUCAUAAAUUAGCGAUAUUUUAUUUUUUAAAUAUUAAAAGAGAUUUCAAAUUCAAAUUAAUCUUAUCGUUGAUCAAAAAAUCAUGAUAAAAAUCAUUUAACAAUUUAGCGUGCAUGUCACGUUGUGAGCUCAUAAAUUCUUAAUAUACGUCGUAAGCACCAACAAUUACGCAUUCAAAUAAGAGAAGGUAAAACAAAAAAAUAAGUUGAAUUGUAUGGCCUAUAACAUUUCAUCUUCAUGUCUUAUCACUUUAUAUUUUGUGGUACAAAAAUCACCAGAUGCAUCAAAAUAUAUUCCAAGCUGAACGUUGAAAAAUCGAGCCCGAACAAACGGUAGCAGACAAAUCACAUGCUGGCAUAUGUUGACAAUUGCAAAACCUCAGUAUAUUGAUUUUCUGGUUAUGUUCGCAUAUUUCUGAUUAUGAUUGCAAAACCUCUACAUAUUGAUUUUCUGAUUAUGUUGGAAAAUUAGUUGCUUAGUUUAUAUUAUUUGUAAUUUUUUUGGGUCAAGAGUGUUUGUUUUAGUAUUUUUCUAUAUACAAGAGUGCUUGAAUUCAUUUUUUUUAUGUAAAAAGGGAUUAACUAGUGGUUUCACCAUGACAAUUUACCAUUUCGAGGGCUGAGAAGAAUGACAAAGAUAUUUCAACAUUAUCCUGACCACCAUCAUGUUCACAAGCGCUAGGAAUCGAACCCUGGAUGUGCUGUGUGAAAUACGAACAUGAAAUUCAUCCUCAAUCAUUGCGUCACCCCUGUGAUGGUUGUAUUUGUUGUUUUAACAAGUCAUUCUCAAUGCAGUCUUAUGAGUUAUGUACCGUUUCGAUCAGUUAAUAUUUUUCUCUUUCAUUUAAUGUAGCAUUAUUAAUAAUUUAAUAUUUUAUUAUUUCAUAGCAUAUUUUGAUUUUUUAAUAUAUACGUGUGUGUAUAUAUAUAUGUGUGUGUGUGAGGUAAUUAGAAUAAUUCGUCUUCUUUUACCGGAUGAUCCAUGGUCGUUGUGGAUGUGAUUGCCAAUCAUAACAAUUUGAAAUAUUAAUAAAUUAUGUCUCUUUUAAAUUGAAACAUACAUCACAAAAAAUACAACACAUACUUUUCAAAUGCAUGCUACGAUUUGAGUUCUUGACUUUGAAGUCGAGCACCCUUCAAUUUCUAAGAUCCUGGCAUUGGGUGGCUAGCGACCUUUAAUUCAAUAUCAAUAAUGACCACAAAAGAAUUAAGAUAAAUUAAGGAAAUAGUCUAAUGUUCAUUAUAUAUAUUUUGUGUAAGUAAUUUAUAGCUUUUCAAUAUCUUAGUAGAUAAAAUGUUGAGUUUUUAUCCAUCCGUUUCGAGUCCAAUACUCUUAUCUGCUCUAAAUUAUCAAUUAGAAUUGUUUCUAAUACUCCGACCUUCUCCCCUUAAUAAUAAUGAUUUAAAAUAUAAAAAUAUCCAAUAUAAUGUGUAUUUGAUUAGAUCGUGAUAUAUAUAUAUAUAUAUAUAUAUAUAUGUGUGUGUGUGUGUGUGUGUGUCACACAUCACCUUAGUCAAUCUUAAAAAAAAAAAGGCUUUAUAGCCAAAAUUGUCUAUGAGAUUUGUAUCACACAUCAUUUUAGUCCGUAAAAUUUGAAAUUAAUAGAAGUGGUAUCUGAGAUUGUCCACCAUUAAUCAUUUUGGUCAUUCUGUACAAAAUUAUGUUAAAUACGGAUCAAAAUGACAAAUAUACCCUCAAUUUAAUAAAUAAUGGGCCAAAAUGAUUUGACAAAAAUAAGAGUAUUUUGAUCAUUCUAUUUUUAUUUAAUGGAGAUUUUUCAAUGAAUUAUUAAAAUGAUUGAUGGUGGACAAACUCAAAUGGACCAAUUAUAUUGAUUUCAAAUCUUAAUGACCAAAGCGGGGAGUUAUGCAAAUCUCAAUAACCAUUUUAUAUGAAGUUUCAUUUGCACGCCUAAUUGUGAAAAAAUUAUGGUUCCGCGAUUAAAACAUGGACAAAUGGCGAGUUUAAUUACUAGAGCAAAAAGCUUUGCAUUUACAUUUAAAUGAUAAAUUCUUUUGGGAUCCGAUUUCCUUGAUUUCAUACGGAAAUGUAGUAGGUAAAAUAAAAUGUAUAGAUAAAACCAUCCUAUAUGAAAAAUAUAGACUAGUUGCAUUUGCUUGCAUGUGUUAAAAAUGAACGAGGCUAGAAAGAGAGAGAAUGAUUAAUUAUAAAUGGUAUUGCAUGCUGUAAAUUGCUUUAACAUAGGUGGUCGGUCAAGAACUGACAACAAAUUUUGGAAGUGGUUUUUAAUAAAUUAACCCUAAUUAAUUAGUCUAACAAAUCCAUUUCAUCUUAUUUUUUGUUUGUUUACAUAUUCUGAGCUGUUUAAUUAUUCAAAACCAUAUUUCAAGAAAAAAUUAUUUUUUCAGGGAUCAAAACAAAAUCGUUCAAAAUUUAUAUAUAGCAAAAAGGAACAAUGAACUCAUUCAACAUUACUAAAAAGAAAAUCAUUUACAAACUCAUACAAAUACAGUAAAACCUUUGUAAAGUUAUACUGUUGGGACCAAACCAAUUUAAUUGAUGUGUAGUUAAAAAUAUUAUUAAUUGUUUUAUUUAUCCUUGAUGAAUGUUGUAUUUCCUAAAUAAGAUUCCAUGGACGCUAAGUAUUUUCUUUCUUGCAUAUUUUUACACUCAUUAACAAUUAUAACGAUGCAGACGCAUGUUUUUUUAAGAUAGGACCGAGAAAAACUUUAACUUAUUACAAUAUGAAGUUUGUUUCAGUACAUAAAUAAAAUAUUAUUUAUUGACUUAUUUAUUCUUAAUGAAUGUUGUUUUUCCUAAAUAAAAUAUGUUAAACGUGUUUUUUUUAUAACGAAACAAAGAAAAAUUAGGCUAUAUCCACAAUUUGGGGCGCUAGAUUCAGCCUAUGCGCAAUGCAUUAGAUAUGCUUUUAGUAGGAAAAAGAAUUUAGAUGUAUCAAUACUAUGUAAGUUGUUCUAUGUUAUAUGUUUGUAACUUAGGGUUGGUUUGAUAUUGCUGUGCUUUGAAAAAAACUACUUCUGUUAUACUGUGAGAAUAAGCUCAUUUCUGCUGUUUCACAUUUUCAGUUUUUUUUCAUUCAAAACUUUGAAAAUCAGCUGUUUUUAAGUGUUUACCAAACACCUUUUUAAGUUCAGUUUUUUUUUAUACUUACUUUUUAUAAAAGUAUCCCAGUACCGAACCAGAACUUAGUACAAUGGUUGCGAUGUUUCCAUGAAAGGAGGAAAAAAGGAAUAAUGAUGUCAUUGUGUGCAGAGCAAAAUGGAAUAUUGAUGUCAAUUAAUUACCAGACGCAAAUUAUGAGGAGCAAAAAAAUCAGAGAGAGAGAAAAGAGAAGGUUGACAAAAAAAAAAAAAAAAAAGAGAGGGAAAAAAGAAAAUGGUCGCUUUCAAGUUUGAGCAGAAACAGUAAUGGAGAUGGGAACACAAGUACCAGUCUUCAGCUCCGUUUCCGCCCGCCCAUUAAGGUAAACGGAAUACACAAAUCACACCUAAACCUGCAUUUUAAUACCAAGAGGGACGACCACCAAAAGCUUUCUCCUUUUUCAUUUUUUUCCCUUUUGAUAUUAUAAAAGAUUGCAUCUUUUUAUAUAUAUAUUUUUUUAACUGAGAAUUUCAAGCUCUCUCUCGCUCUCCAUGGUUGCUGACAGAAACAGAUGCUAAAGGGCAUCAGGACAUCAAAACUUGAUUGGUAAUCUGCAAAUCCACGAGGUGGGUUUUUUCGAAUAUUCAAAUCUUAUUAGUUUGAACUUUUGGUGUUUGGAGGAAGUUUUUGUGAUUAUUUGGUUGUGAAAUUUAGGAUUUUGGCAACAUGGGUCGGUCCAAAUCUGAUUAGGGAGGGCUCUCUGAUCAAAAGGGAGCUAUUUUUCUGUAAAUUUGAGAGAACACAGGAGGUAGGAUUUGAUUAUUGUGGACAAGUUAAUAUGCGUUGCAGCUGCUUUGGUGCUUCGGUUGCUGAGAAGAGGAAAAGGAAAUCUGGUUCUGGUCAAUUUGGCCAUGAUCUUGAUGGUACGGACAUGGUUAAAUGUUCCCACUUUCUGGUUUUGUUAUUUUUUUUUUACCUCCGUACUGUGGCUUUUUUGUUCAUUGGAUUCUGCGGAUCAUCAUUGUUAUUGUGAUUGAUUGAUUGUUAUGUGUGUUGCAUAGAGAAUGUGCUGGAAAAUAUCAAGGCUUUCUCUUACAAUGAAUUAAGAUCUGCGACGGAUAAUUUCCAUCCGAGUAACAAGAUCGGGCGAGGCGGUUUUGGAACUGUGUACAAGGUACUCAGAUUAUGCAUUUGUCUUGUAAUAGUUAUAAUUGGGAAGUUUGCACCAAUUAUAGAGAAUUCAUGAUAUCUGUGGUUCGAAUUAUGUUAGUUGUUUUCGAUUCCAAAUUUGUUGCAAUGACUAAUGAGUUGGCUCAAAAUAUCAAGCAAUUGGGUUUGCGUUUUAAGAACACUUCAAGUUCUAUCCGUAUGUUUUUCUAACACAUAGAUGCAAUGUUUGGUCUGCUAAAAACUCUCACCUGUAGUUCAAGAUUUGAGAAAAAUAGUGAUUUUGUAUUUUCCUAGUAUUAUGAUUUUAUAGCCGACCCCACUUAGUGGGAAAAGGCUUUGUUGUUGUUGUUGUUGUUGUUAUGAUUUUGCUUUAGAUCAUGCGGUGAUUAAGAAUGUUAGCCACCAAUUUGGAUUGAAUUCUGCGACGUUUCUAGACAGUAAUUUCUAUUUCCUAGUUUCCAAGCUUUCGUUGCUGGUCUUACAUUUCAAAGGACAAACUUUAAUAAUGAUUAUGCAUUAAUCAAAAUAUGUAGAUGGUUUUUGUCCAUGACAUUUCAUAUUGUCUUAGUAGUUUAGCUGCGUUUUGCUAGGGAACCCUGACAAGUGGAAAGCAUGUUGCUGUCAAGACACUUGCUGCUCAGUCGAAGCAGGGAGUCCGUGAAUUCUUAAAUGAGAUUAACACUAUCUCAAAUGUCCGGCAUCCAAACCUUGUUGAGUUGAUUGGGUGCUGUGUUCAGGAAGCUGAUCGAGUUUUGGUCUAUGAAUAUGUUGAGAAUAAAAGCCUUGAUCAUGCAUUAUUAGGUAAAUGGAUAAAUUUUUUAGCAUGUAAAGAAAACUGUAGGUACACAAUACACAAGGAUGGACCAUAAGUCUAAUUUGUUUUCCUUUUGUUUGUAGGUCCAACGAGUAGAACCAUCAAACUGGAUUGGGAAAAAAGAUCAGCCAUUUGCUUGGGUACUGCCAGGGGUCUUACGUAUCUUCAUGAAGAACUGGUGCCACAUAUUGUACAUAGAGAUAUCAAGGCUAGUAAUUUACUUUUAGACAGAGAAUUUAACCCGAAAAUCGGAGACUUUGGGUUGGCUAAACUCUUCCCUGAUGAUAUCACUCAUAUCAGCACAAGGAUUGCGGGCACAACGUACGUUACUUUCAUAUUUCUAGUUGAUUCAGUUUCCUUGAUUGAUUCAGUUAGGAAUUUAUGUUGCAUUGUAUUUUCCAAUUUUUCCUUGCUUAAUUCACUUAGGAGAUUAUAGAGAGAGUUUAUGUAGCUGCUUAUGCUUUAGUUUCAUUUUUUCAGUGGUUAUUUGGCACCAGAAUAUGCAUUGGGAGGUCAGUUAACCCUCAAGGCCGACGUUUACAGUUUUGGGGUUCUCGUUCUUGAAAUAGUAUGUGGAAGAAGCAGUGCCAAGGGAGACUGGGGUGGGGCAGAAAAGUUUCUGCUUGAAUGGGUGCGUUGUUUAUUUCCAUUUUUCGACAAAAUUCUUGGCAUAUCAGAUUCAUUAAUUUUUUCCUUGACCAUACGCGCAAUCUUAUAUUGCGAUUUUGUACACUUUGUAGCUGUUGAGGUCAUAUGGACUUAUUUCAUUUUCCAUUUACGUUCUUUUCCACGAUCAUACUCGCAGUCUUAUUCUGCUUCCUUUUACAAUUCUUUCGUUUCUUCGAUAGGCAUGGCAGCUCCAUGAAGAAGGGAGACUAUUGGAGCUAGCUGACCCGGAGAUGGGGGAAUUUCCGGAGGAAGAAGUCCUUAGGUACAUGAAGGUGGCAUUUUUCUGCACCCAAGCAGCAGCAAACCGAAGACCAAAGAUGAGCCAGGUUCUUGACAUGCUCUCGAGAAACAUAAGACUCAACGAGAAACAACUUACAGCCCCAGGUUUCUUCAACAGUUCAGGGAGCCUGAGCGGACCUUCAGGUAAAAAGUCAUUUUCCGAAACCACUACCAGUCAGAUGAGUUCCGUCCCCGACACUAUAACUCAAGUAACACCUCGCUGAAGAACAAUGUAAUUGUGAGUCAGAGGAAGACGAAGAUGAAAUUAUCUGCAAGUCCGCAACAAAUUAUUCAACAGUUGAUAAUUUUUGUCAACCAUUUUACACGCUUUUUUUCUUCUUUUCUUUUUAGCCAUUUUGAGUAGGGAGAGGGUGGUUUGAGCAGAGUCUAUAAUUUAUUUUCAUUAAAGAAAAUGGUACGAAUACGAUUGUACAAAUAGACCCUAAACUUUAGUCCACCGGUCAUAUGGUUUCAGAUUUGAUGUUUUUUGAUAGACAUGAUUUUUGACGAAAGACUUAAAAGAUAGACAUUUCAGAUCAUUAAAAUAAAUUACUUACCUCACAAAAACAAGUGUCAAAAAUAUUGUCACGGAUCAAUUCCCAUAUAUAUACAUAAUAGAUGCUUUCGACAACAGCAAGAAUGUUGGAUGCAAUAACAAUUGAGUCGGAGGGUAUUUUUAUUUUUAUUUUUCAAAGUUGUGCUUCAUAUGGUUUUUAUCUAAGAAAGUUUUGAGAGGCGUAGUUAUAAAAGAUCCCUGCAAAAUGGAAAAGUUUUCAUGGAGAUUUCAGGGAUUCCGUGAUCACGAUCAUUCAUCGUAUAUUGUGCGAUCAAUUUUUGUUAGGUAUUAUUUACACUUAAUUUUAAAUUUUAAAAUAAUUUCUGAUCGCACGAUGUAUGAUGAAAGGUCCUGAUUACGAGAUCCCUAGGAUCCCUGAAAAAUUUCACACCAUACAGUAUACGUCAUUCAUGAAUAUUUAAACAAAUUUCGAACUUAAAUGCAAAAACGGAAACACAAUUUCUCUAACCAAUUUGGCUAAAUCCGUAAACAUCAAGCAAGAUGAUCGUAUGUAUCAUGGUUGAUGGAAUCUACUCUUUUAAUUCAAAAUUUUGUACUCCUCACAAAAAUAUGGAUGCAGUUCAUCACAACGCGUCUGCUGAUCCAAAAAAGUAAAUAUUCAUAAAAUGUGUGCAAACAACGAAAAUUCCAAAUCUCAAAUCCCAAGCACAACACAUUCAAACACGAAUGUAUAUAAAGGCCUGCACAAUUAAAACCUAAACACUAAUUAAUGGAGGCCAAAUAUUACAAUAUUCGGAUAAUAAGUAGCAAACGAGGCUGGCGAUUUGUAGCCGAUAGUUAAUUACAAUCUCCAAAAAAAAAUAUGGAAGGGUUCGAAUUAAGCAGCGAGUUCCUCGGCAGGUGCAGGAGUGGCUUGUUCGGGAGCGUUUGAAGAACCAUUGGAGGUGGCAUCCUUGGCUUCUGAAGCGGGCACCUCAGCUUCUGCAGACGCAUUAGCUUUUGGUGCUGCAUCCUUGGCCGGAACCUUCCCAUCUUUGGCAUCUUUGGCCGGAGCCUUCCCAUCUUUGGCAUCUUUGGCGUCUUUAGCUGGAGCGGGUGGGGGUGGAAUCAUGUGUGGUGGAGUUUUAUGCUUCAGCCUCACAUGUAUUUGCCGCAGCCUCGAAAGAUCAGUGGGCUUUCCAGGCUUUGGGCCUUGAAUGACUUGGAUCCCUGGUUUCUUUUCCUGAUCCUUCUUGCCUCUCCUCUUCUCAAUGUUGGGAACCUCGUGAGGAAUGAGCUCCGCGAUUGCUUUCCAACUUUGCUUGUCAGCGUUUUUAUGGAAAUUCUCUUGAUUAACCAAGAACAACUGCUCAACAUAUAAACCAACUUUUUAGCAUUAGGAACAAAAAACCACAGCCGGUAGUCAAAAAGCGGGCAUUCCAAUACUUACCUUCUCCUUUUCUCUGUUCUGGACCUUGUUGGUCUCAACGUUAAGCUUCCUUUUCUCGUAGAAUGCACGCUUGAACUCCUCAGCCUCUUCAAUAAUUUGGUUCCUCAGUUCUUUCUCCCUCUUCUCCUUCUCCUCAAGCAGGAUGGCAUUUUGACUGUACCAGAAAAGUCAAGUUAGGUCAUUAAUAUUCUAGCGGAAAAAUAACACCAUUAGCUAACUUGUAACUUUUGUGCAGAUCGACCAAUGCGUGCACAAAUCACUAAAGCAACUUACCGUUGUCAUUUUGAAUGACUACAAUCAACUUACCGUUGUCGUUUUGAACAACAAACAUGACAAAUUUGUUAUUUCAUUAUUAGUUUGUUGUAGUUCAACUGUUAUACCCAAGACUUUUUUCCUAAUGACCAUCCGAUUGGAUUUGAUGGAAAAACUGAACCACCCUUUUUCGUCAUUGAGUUGAUAAAAACUCCGAUGAAGUUUGAUUAACCUCAAAUGAAACUAAAUUUUGCAAAUAACUCACUAGCAAGUCUAGCAAAGAAAGAAAGAACUUAUUCUUCUAUGAUUAAAACAACAAUAAAGCAUUUUCCCACUAAGUGGGGUCGGCUAUAUGAAUCCUAGAACAACAUUGCGCUCGGUUCUGUGAACUCAUUCUUCUCAUUGAAAGCAAAAAAAUUUCCUUCUGGCAAUCAGAUCCAAGAAAAUCAAUAGCAAUCCUCAUUCCGAAACGCUAAAUUUGACUCGAAAAGCACUACAAUUCGGUUUAGAAGCAGCUCCAAACUACACAAACACAAUCAAUCGCUGAUCUAUGUCUUUAAGAACCGCAUAAACUUAACGAUUUGAUCAACCUUUCUCGAAAAAUCGCAACUAAAGAACUAACAACCGUACCUUUUAGUGAUCACAACUACAAGAAAUCACACAGAUCUAACAAUAGUUCAAUACAGACACCUAUAUUUAGCUCAAAAUCUAAGAUCAAACGGAUGCAGAAUUUCACAGAUCUAAAGCAGCAGCUCACAAAGCAAGCAACUAGAUUUCUCAAAAAAAGCGAAUCGGAUCCGGAUCUUACCGCCGCCACUCACGAAGAGCGGAACCUUCCUCGACAAACUCGCUAGGUUCCGGGAGCACGGGACCGUCGGAUGUGAAGACGCCAUCGUCGAUUCCGUUCUCGCCAACGCCGUAACCAUUUCCGUCGCCGUUCUCAACUGGAGCUGAAUCGAAGGGAGUGGAGUGGGAGUAGUUGGAGCCGGGACCGUCGAAUCCGAAAACAUCCGGGGAGUCAGGGGCGGCGGUGGCGGCGCCGUGGUCGGUGUAGGAGCCGUAGUCGGCGUAGCUCUCGACGACGACUUCGUCCUGGUCAAAUUGGCUGUUAGGGGCAUGAAGAUCGUCGCCGUCCACGCUGAAAGCGUCGAAGGAAGCCAUUUUUGGCGGCGGUGAUUUCUGUCUCUCUCUGUCUGAAGAGGAUUUCAGUGGAAAUAUUUUGAAAGGGAAAGAAAGAGGUUUUAAUUGGAAACUAAUGGAAGAAGCUCUAAUUUUUGGUCUUGUCAAAUUUCGCUGUAAAUUUUGACUGACGUUCGGACUACCACUUUUUUACGCUACAUAUAUAUAUAUAUAUAUAUAUAUAUAUAUAUAAUAUAUAUAUAUAUAUAUAUAUUGAUCUAUUGUUUAGUAAUACUUUUAAAAUUAUUAAAUUGCAUUUAAAAUUGACAUAAUUCUUCAUUUUGAUAUUUGACAAUAAAAUUUAACAAAAGUAGUUCUGAGUUUAUCUACCUUAAACCAUUGAGUAAUGAUAUUCAUACCAUAUUUUUGUACCACAUUUUCAUAACACGUAGCAUUUGAUGUAGACAAUCACAUCAUUUGAAUUAAUCAGAUUUUUAAAUUUAGUUCAUUAUUUAAUAAACUAAUAAUUAAGAAAAAACUAGUUAAUUAAAUAAUGAUUGUGGCAUACGAGGAUUCUUUCUCCUUUAUUUCCUUGUGUUUUGCAAAUUUUUCAAAUGAUGUGGCUGUCCACAUCAGAUACAACCUAAUAUGAUACAGAAAUGUAGUAUAAAAAUGUGGUAUGAAUAGUAUUACUCUAAACCAUUAUAUUAUGUGAAAAAUAUGUCAAAAUCUUCGUUAAAUUAUCACAUAAAACGACCAUGACCACCUUUUUAAGACUAUACUUGUCAAACCAACUCUUUCACUUAACGUGAAUAUUAACAUAUUUUUUCAUAAAAUAAUAAAAUGAUUUACAGUGGACAAACUCAGAGACUGAUUCUAUCAAUUUUCAAUAUCAAGAAUGUCAAGAACUACUUUGGCUAAAAAACCUUUUAUUAAUUGUUAACUUUCAUGUCAUAUGUGUAUCUCCCUCUCUUUUUUUCUCUCUCCUCACGUGACGGGGGCAUUUUAUGCUCAUGCCACACCCUGCACUUAUGUGAGGAUGCUACCAGAUUCAUUACAACAUCAACAAACGCGAUCCUUAAUAUUACAAUCUAGUAGUAUUUUUCUUUACUUGUAAGCGAAAGAUCUUAAGUUCGAUUCUCGCCAAAGGUAAAUUUGAACCGCAUUGUGACGCUUAGUCCACUCCCUUACCCCCUCAGAUAAUAUUGUUUGUUAAAAAAAAAUUAUCAACUAACGCAAUACUGGUAACAAAAUUUCCAUUCCGUCGACGGUAAGCGAAAACCAUAUUACAUUUAGCUCAAUUUACAUCAGUAAGCAGUUCCACCUCAAGUAACAUAUCCCAGAAGACUGACAUUUUCUUAUACUCCCAAUCUUUGCAGAGAUGGACACCGAAAGAAAACUGGCAAUCGGACUGAAAUAACCAUCGAUGCUUAGAGCGUGCCGGGACUACAUAGCCGCAACUCUGAGCAUAGCCAAAGGCAGACGUCGAAGCCUCCGUGUCCUGUUUACUUCCGGUAACUAGACAUCAAUACACUGUCAAUCCUACCUAGAUAGGCACUUUCGAAAGUCUUGGAAGAAAUGCAUCAACCACACAAAAAAGGAGUUACACGGCAUUGCCUUCCGAAAACGUGCAAGGAGGCUUAUAAGCAUUUGGUUGUGGGGGGGGAAAUCGUUACAACAAUGACUGAAAACCACAAGAAUGUUAGGACUGUAGUCACCUGACAAGCACCUCCCCGUUCUUUCAGAAGAAUCUGUAACGAAGCUGCAAGCUCAAUCUUGUCCACAAUUAAGCAGCUACGGCUCCAUGGUCCUCGCCCUUCUAUAUAAUAUGUACGGAAGACGUUAUGUCAGUAGCUAUACCAAAAUGGGAUGAAAUGGUGGUAUGAUUUUCAGGGAACUGGUGGAGCAUUUUUCGGAUAUCUAGCAGAAGAGGGCAUCCGUUGAAGAACUUGUGGAAACUCCUGCUUCAUUCGUUUAUUUGGCAUCCCUUGGAAAGACCUUUUUACCAGAAACACCAAAUUAGAAGGGAAGAAUACACAAUAUAUAUGGAGAGGGAGGGAGGGAGAGAGAGAGAGAGAGAGAGAGAGAGAGAGAGAGAGAGAGAGAGAGAGAGAGAGAGAGAGAGUAGCAACUAACAAAAUUUACAAGGAGAAAAAAGGGAAAAGGUCUCAACCUACAUAUUAUUUUGAUAUUCUGCAAAAAGUCAAUACAGAAAGCAAGAAAGUUUUGCUAAAAUUUAAAGCGACGUAUAAUUUUCAAUUAUCCUCAUAAGUUUUAGUUUGUUGGCUGGAGCUGUAAAACUAAUCAAAGCUGCAAGAGCUUUCAUGUCAUGUGCACCAAGAGCUACGAAAUAGAGCCAACUGAAUUAUUGGCUCACUUUGGGCUGCUUGAUCCAACGAAAGUUCAAACUUCAUUAAAAAAUUGGCAAACAUAAUUACACACUCGCAGCUGAUGAAUUCACACACCUUGGAGAACCCUGACGUUUCUGAGCAAAUAAAGUUGAUCUUAGACUUCCGAGCGCCUUUUCAGCGGCCUAAGGAAAAGAUUGUUUAGGUGGACAGAUAUGACAUUUCAAAAAGACUAGGCACCACAAAGGGUACUCCGAAUUGGACCGGUAGAAAAAUUACCUGCAUCUUAGCCUCAUCCCACGUCAACCCAAUCCCCUUUCCCAAGACCUCUCCAUCUAUUUCAACCUGCAACAUUAUAAUGAUAGAGAAUUAUAAAGAAAGGAAGGGGGCAGAAAGAGAAAAGAAAUAUGCUUCAAGACAAAACUCAAAUGUUAUUCAGAAUAAUGAAGCAUGUAAUCAUGGCAAAUACAAACCUGUACGUGCACUUCAUCCUUCUCAACUGAAUUAGCUGAAGGUGGAGGUCGCGGUUGAAAAACUACACCACCAAGGCCCUCUAUCAUACACUGAAAUAGGAAAAAUUAUGGAACGUCAAUAAUCAUAACAUCAUUCAGCACCUGGAAAUAAGAGAGAAAAAAAGAUAGAGAGACUAGCAAACUAUCAUGUAUUGAAUCUUACAAGUUCUUUGAGGGCAGAGACUGAAUUCAUAGAUUUUUGGAAGCCUUCAAGCCUAGGGUCUAGUGGCCUAGAAGGCUCCGAUGAAGUUGAAGAUGACAGGGACUCCUCUUUGGGAAAUGACUGGAUCCCAAAAGAAUUCGCAUUACCCACAAAACCAUUGUUGUUAGCAUUAGAAAACUUGCUCAUUUCCCCAUGAACAGGCACAGAAUCAGGCUUGACGGGAAAGGUAUAUAUCUGCAAAAAUGUUGUCCAGGAUUGUCUCACACACAAAAAAAAAAAAGGAAACUAGAGAGAUACCUCAAUAAUAUUUUCCCAUCUAUGGACAGAACCAAGCUAACACAAUAUUCCCUAGUACAGAUGCAAUAAUUUCAUAAGCAAGUUGACUUUGUUUUAGUGCAGUAGGUCCUCAGUCAGUAGUUUCAUAUUGUUCCAACAGUUAAUUGUUCAGUUAAAAACUUUCAAAAUUGAUUGACUGGCAUCUUUAACCCCUGAUGGAAAGCUGACAAAGUUUAAAAUAACCCCUCGAUCCUCCAUCCAUGGCUUUUGCUACAAAAGCACUUCAUUCAGCAGAAUAAUCAUCUAAGAUCAGCUCCAGUAUGAUUAUAUCAGAGACUUGAGAGUUUAAAAUAUUUAGCGGAAGAUAGAUCUUAAAAAUAUGUCAUAUAUUGACUUAAUUCCACAAUAUCCUUUUCCAUCGAAAGUAAGAGAUUGUAGUGUUUGUGGCUUAACAGUCAAGGACAAUGCUGCCUAGAACAUUUUGCCAUCAUUCAAUUUUUGGAAGAAAAGAAGCAAAUGGAAUAUUAGCCUUGAGGUGGGCUUCACAUGUGUCAAAAAUCAAUUAGUUGUCAAUUUGUUCCAUCACUGCUCUAAUAUCAAAUCAGUUUGUCGAGCAUAAAUUUACCGGUACAAGAACCACUUGAACAGGCAUGAAAAUAAUAUUGAGAAUGACAGAUCGCCCAAGCUAGUGGCAAUAAAUACAGCAAUAAGAAAUCUUACUGGCUAAGUUUUUUAGAGAACCCUCGGCAGCCUGGAAAUGAGCUUCCCUUCUUGUUUUACCAGUUCCUUCACCAAUUUUCUCUCCUGCAAACCAAGCCUACAAAAGGCAAAAUGGAUAAACUAAUUAAAGUGUGGCAUCCCCAACAAAGGAAUAUGCAACAUCAGAAAGUAAUAAAAACAAUUUCUGUGAUAAGUUACAUGGUACAGUUUGACCUACAUGGCAUAUGAAAUUCAUUGAUUCAAAUUAUUGGGCCCAUUUACAACUGAUUACCAACACUAAUUACACCCAUUACCAUCAAUUAGAUAUGCUCCAUUCAAUUGUACCGUAUUGCUAUGGAAUAGGGUGCACACAUAUUUACUAUUUCUGCUUUAAAAAAUUAAAAAAAAUCACCAAAACUUAGUAAGAUACUAAGAUGUGAUCAUAAAAGCAAACCAUCAUUUUAUUAUGAAAUAGAAUACAAACCAAAUGCGAUUUCCUGUCUUAGCUCCCUCUUCACUCGAAACCAAAGUUAUCAACUUGUGGACAUAAAGUCCCUAAAAUAUCAAAAAUUGAAAUUUACAUCAAAUGUCACAAACAAUACGACUUAUUACUGAAUGGUUUAAUUUUUCCAAAGACAAGUUAAGUUAUUUACACAUCCCUAACUCUGGCCAAGAAAACAUUGAACUAUGGUUAGAUACGUUCAAAACGUGAUACCCCAGAAACUAAUGUGGAAUUAUAAGGUAGUAAGCCAAAGAUCAAAAGUACCUCAACAUAAAACUGGAGUUCCGUGCUAGCAACCAAAGCUGGCCUAAACUCCACCUGUGGAACACGAGGUUUUGAUAUAUGCAAAAAAUAAAGAGUAAAUUUUCUACUGCAACACAAACAGCUCAAAAUACCUUGGCUCCACACUUCAUUGCGAUUUCCUGUAAGGCUCCAGCAGGAGUUUCUGCAUUUGAUAUAGCUCGUCCAGACUCAAAGUCCACAUCUCUAUUCAUGGAAGGGGAUCGACUCAAGGGAAUCUCCUCACCUUCAAAUUCAUGUCCCCGUUAUAUUACACCACACUCAUGAUAAUAUACAAUAAUUACAUAUAAAUAAAACAACUGUUAGUUACACAUUUUAAGAAAGACAAGAACCAUUAAAUUCCACUUGGUUAAAAGUUCAAAAAGAAGAUAAGAUAACCCAAUUGCAUAAAUAAUACUCAAUUAAUAACCUUCCAAAAAAGAAUAAUCAUUGCCAUGGUAUAGUCCAAACAUGUGAAACUCUAGGCAAAUUGUGAUAGUACACUGCUGAUGGUAAAAGUACUUUUGGAAAAUGUUCAAGCCUUUAAAGCAGCAUCUAUCAAUGAAUUUGUACCAAAAUAAAAUAAAAUAAACUGAAAAUCAUCGUAAAUUGUGCAUGUCAUAGCUCACCUGACACUGAAUGAUAGCCAGCCGAUGCAUGGUUGAAUCUCAGCCGAUCAUCUCUAUGAAAUGCCUGCAAAACAAUAAUCUUUUAGGACUAGUCUUGUCUACAAUCCAGUCACAAGCAACAUCCAUCACUCAGCAUAACAAAAUAGGAUUAAAGCCAGAUCAACAAAGUGUAAAUACCUCUUUCGGAAAUCUUUGAUUUUCUUGAAGAAUCCUAUCAGAUGGAAUAGAAUUAUCAACCUUUGAGAAAAAAGAUGAAUGAUGAGGUCGAUGCUUCUCAAUCUGCAUUGGAUCUGGAUCCAAUGGAAGUUCUUUGGGUACCGUCCGGCUCAGUUGCCGAGGGCUCAUUUCUUCCUCCACUGGAAACCAGCCUGGACGCGGUUGCACCCGUGGAACAGAGGCUUGUACUGGAGGUCUGACAGCAAAUGGGGGCUCACUCGGUGGUGGUUCUCUUGUAUCUUGGCCAUGCUGCAAAAUCAGUAGCCUCCGCCUUGUAUCAGGGUCUAACUCUGAUUCAGGUACCUCUCCCUCCUCUCUAGCCGGAGAACUAUGCAAGCUUGGUUCUGCAGCGCCAAGAUGACCCAACGGUUUAACCACUGAAGCUCCCUGAGGGAACUGUAUAUUAGGAAAAGUCAUUGGUGAUUGCUGACUUGACGGCAGUGAAGUUGUGCUAGAGGAAGGAGCCAUAGAGUACUGAAGAGAAGCAAGCCUUGGAUCUAUGUUAGUGACUACCGAAGAAGCCGUUAAAGCAGCUGAGGUUGCUUCCUACAUGCCAGAAAUAGGUCAACCAAUAAAUGAACUUUAACAAAUUCGCAUAUGCAGAUGCACAAAAACGUUCAUCCAAAGUGGAAAGUUCGCAUAUCAAUGGAAAUACUGAAUCUUUAUAUACCUUCAGUCUUCUUUCAACCUCAGCAUCUGCCAUGCCAUCAAAAGUGAGCGGGUCUCUGUUUCCAUUUAAAGCAGAAGGAUCAUCCUGAACAACCAAAAUCUAUUAGUGGAAUUAUCAUAUUGUGACAACUGUGGUGUGGAGGAGAUUUUUCGGGAGAAAUUUCAUUAAAAAAUAAAUAAAAGAACAUCAUAAAAUUGUUCCAACUAACCUCUGAAACUAGAUGAUUGCUCACAUCAGGUGAAGGGACAUCUUUAAUAUCAUCUUCAUAAAAAAAUUCAGGAAUCUUUUGUAGAAGACUGUCAUCAAAUUCUCUGUUAUCACACCAAAAGGUGAUGUCAUGCCAACAGAACACCAUUAUUUUGCUCAUAAACAGAGCAUGGCUUUACACGAAAACAGUUUAGAGACAUUAAUUCCUUACUUAAAAAAUCCACCUCUGACAUUGCAAGCAACAUUUCUUGCAACACACAGGACAGGGACUGUGUUAUUUGCCUGUAAUAUUAGGAGGUAUGAUGAGUUCAAGCUAAAGAGGAAAAUAAAUAAAUAUGCAAAAUGUGCAUUUUUGACAAUAGAUCAGUUUAAAAAGUUAAUAUCCAUAUAAAACAAAGCAAAGACUUUUACUUCAGCUUGAGGAGCAUAAUACGGAGCAAAAGCAGGAACAACAUGCACCCGAGGUUGAUCUCUCUCAUCCCACACUUUCAAGCGAUCAUCAAUUACCAAUGCCAUCUUAGGAUGGCAUAAGCUUUCUUGGAAGACAUUGAACAACGACUUUCUUGAACCUAUCAUAAUAUAUGAAAUCCAUUAAUUAAACAGAGAAAUGCAUGUGACUUCCAGUGAAAUUGUAAAACAAAAUUUAUAAACGAAAUAUAACAGUUACCAGACUUCACACAGACAAUACGAUCAAGUAAUUUAUUUGAGUUUAUCAAGUUUGAAUCAGGAUCAAGAAGCCUCCACAUUUCCAAUGCAUAAUCCCUUUCAGCCAUUGUGCAAACAUAAACCUCAAACCGCUUGCGCCCUCUUGCAGUCAGGUAGCUCCGAAGAUCUUCCCAUGCAGGUCUCAACCUCACAAGAACACUUGUAUCACGAAUCUAAGACAGAAAUCCUAUGUUACUUAGGACACCUUAUAACGAUGAGUACGGAGACUUACUACAAACAAAAGACAGAUAAUGCGAAAACAACAAAACCAUCCACACAACCGGAUCAAGCAGAUGUUGACCAAAAUAACCAAAUGAGGAAUGAUGACGAAGAUAAUAAACAAGGUAUUACAUACCUGCGGAUUAAUGCGAGUCAGUAUAAUAUUUUUCUCAUGUAAUCGUAUAAGAGGCCGAAUAAUAGGUUGAUGAUUGUCAGACAAGGCUGGAACAACCUCCGAUUGAGUUUUGACAACUCUCCCAUUAUCAACAACUUGAUCAUUUUCAGCAUAUUGCUUCAAUAUAAACUUGUCAUCUUGAUACCGCUUGAUCUCUGCAAGCAUACCAGAAAUACGUAGUGGGUCCACCUCAGUGCUUAUCUUCCUCUGUAGGGCCUCAAUUCGAUCCUCAAAAGAGCGCAUUGUAUUUGCAACAAUGAGUGUUUCAUCAAGAUCAAAUACAAUGCCCAGACAUCUAAGAUUCAGCAUGACAAGGCAAGAAUUGUAUAGUCCUGAUGCAACAUAGAAUCCCCAGAAACAUGGGAACUGUUUACCACCAUUCCUGGAUUGCAUGGCAACCAAAUGAAGCUCCUCCCCUCCUAGGGGCAUUACUGCAGUCUGAAGAAAAGCAUGACGGCUCAAGGUUUGCACAAAGUACCAUUCAUUCCAGAUAACAUAGGCAGAAAAUAAACUUACUUUUCAAUCAACGUUAACACAUAAAGUUCAAACCAUAAUAAGAAUUAGGCAACUGCAUGUUUCCAUUUUAUAAAGGACUCUACGCUGCAUUCCAACAUAUAACAAAACUGAAAACUUGGUACUGCAGAAUUCUAGAGUUUUUCCUUAAACACUCUAACAUCCAAUUAGAGCACAACAAAAACAGUUCUUCCUUAAACACUCUAACAUCCAAUUAGAGCACAACAAAAACAAAAUCAUCCAAUACUCGUAAAUGAAUAAUUCACGCAAUCAUCAUCUCUACAUGUAACAGCAUCCCGCAAGCACAUAUACAAUAAGAUCAGAAACAAGCCAUCACAAAAAAAAAAAAAACCAUAAGGUAUAUUCUCAACAUCAACGCGUUCUGUCAUUGUACUAAACUCAGUAAGUUGAGGAAUAAAGUUCAUCUUACAAUUCUAUGAAAUCAAGUCCAUAGUUUCAGUUCAAAACAGUUAAAAGUUCAAACAGCUCAUGCAAUUUGGGGCAAAAAUUUUACUGGGUUCAUCCAAAGUUUCAAACUUUACAGUGAAAUUCAAAAUUGGUCCAUGUGAAAUUGUUCAGAGUCCUCUGUAACAACAUUAUAAAGUUAAAAGGGGUUAAAUUAGAAUAUGGGUUUUCAAUUUUUAUCUGUUUUUUUCUGCAAUUUUGUUAUUUUCUUGGAGGUGGGAGUUUAAUUCAAUGGUUGUGCUGCUAUACCUUGUUCUCCUGAGUCAUGGAGGAGUGCAAAAGAAAGAGCGGCGUGUCCGGAGACGACAACGGCGACGUCUUUGACUCCAUCAUUUUGAAGCAAACUCCAUUGGAGGAGUUUAUGGUAUGAAGCACUGCCACUGGUGGACAUCUUUCACUUGGUUGAGAAAAAUAGCUUAUUCUGAUUUCCUUCAACACAUCCUGAACAUUCUUGUUGUUCUCGUUCACUGUUGGAUAUAUCUCUACUUCCCCAAGUAAAUCUUCGCCUUUAUACACGAACUUAUACAUUUUCUCACUUGCCAAACACCAAUUUUCUCAAUGCCCAAACACCAUCCAAGAAGAGAAAAAAAAAAAGAAACUCAGAAAUUUUAUUCCCUCCUUUGAUCUCUCAUCAAAGUUUCAUUCAAUAAAAACAUCAAUUUCGUUGAUUUCUUUCAACAUCGUCGUCAUCUCCAAAAAAAAUCCCAAUUUUGGUUUUAAAUCACAAAAAUUCGUAGGAAAAAAAAAAGAAAAAAAAUUAGGGUUUUAUUUUCGAGUGAAGAUCUUAGAUCCUUGAUUGAUGAUGCAGCGUUUACGAAAUGGAAUCGGAUUUUUGUUCUGAAUUGUGGUGCUAAAAGCUAGGGUAUGGUGACGAUGGAGAAGAACAAGGGAGCCGUCGCGAGGAGAAACCCUAGAUCCAGAUAGCGAAAGGUCAAAUUAGCAGUGCAAUUCAUAUGUCAGAAAAUAAUAUUAUAAAACAAAAUUAAAUAUAAUAAAACGAUACCUCCACUCUUGGGUCAUUUUCCUAAUUUAUACUUCUUUCAUGCUAUUUUUAUAAAUUUCCAAAAUUCUGCUGUAAUUCACUGAACCAAAGAUUCAAAAUCCGUUCAAAUGAAAGUUUUUAUCGUAUAAUUAUUAACAAGUCGCUUACGUUGAAUGAAAAUAUUCAUGGAUCAAGAAAGCCAGAAACAGAAAAGGAGAAUGAACGGGUCAUUAUUCUCGUGAUUGAUUUAACUUUAAGUUUUUUUUAGUUUUGAAUUCUUAAUAUAGCUCUAACAACCAUGUAAUACAGUCGAUAUCAGUUCGUAAACGCAUAAAAAUGAGAAUAAAAAAUAAUUAUGUUAUAUUCGUGCAUAACAGUUCAAAAUAACGCUGAUACUCAUUUAAGUAAACAUGUCAUAAAUUAUUUCCUACCACUUAUACUGUUACACAAUGUUGAGGUAAAUGUGACGGUGUUUAAAAGCGGGGGCUCAGGUGAAAAGUGGGUUAAUAAAGCUGGGGAAGAUAAGCAAUAUGGAAAGUUUAUGGGUGACGGGUUGACAGGUUAGAUUUUGGGUCAUAACACGUGGCAGAUGGCGGCUGGUUGACGUUAUGUACGGCUGUGGUUUAUAAGAUUCUGAAAUUUUGACUUAUCUGUAAUAUUACACAUUUGCCCUCGUGUCGUUGUGUCUGCAAAACUUUCAUUUCGAUAAACGUUUGCUUUUUCAUUACCAUGGAAGAAAAUGCUAUCGUCGAUAUUAUCGGUUUUUCGGGGGAUGGAUAUUUUAAGUGGUAUCCGAAUGGUUUUCGUCCAAAUAUCGCGAAAUUAUCGAUAAUAUCGCGAUAUUUUGGAAAUAUCGCGAAAUUUUUUUGAACGGUGCAAUCGGACUCCGAGCCGAACGUCGGAGAUGGUGUGCCUAUUCCCGAGCCGAUUUCGUCCCAAAAACCUUGCAAAAACACGAUUUUUAACAUCAAUUUCACAUAUAAACUUCAGAUUUCACGCAUGCAAGAGGUAAUCAACAUAGGGUUUAGUCGGAUCUCACUUGAAAACUUGGGUGUGCCUGAGUGUGGGUGUGAUCGGGGAAGCCGAGCUUCCUCUGCUCGUCUCCGUGCUUCCCAGAGACGGAGGAGAGGGAGGGAGAGUUCAGGAGGGUGGUGGAGAUGCUGCGCUGGCAUCGGGGUGGACGGAUUUGGGUGUGCCUGGGUAUGGGUGCGAUCGGGGAAGCCGAGCUUCCUCUGCGCGUUGCCGUGCUUCCCAGAGACGGAGGAGAGGGAGGGAGAGUUCAGGAGGAUGGUGGAGAUGCUACGCAGGCAUCGUGGUGGACGGAUUUGGGUGUGCCUGGGUGUGGGUGCGAUCGGGGAAAUAGAGUGAGAGAACGAGAGUUCGAGAGAAAGAUAGAGUUGAGAACUCUGAGAGAGUGAGGGGUCCGAGAGGGACUCGGGAAAAGAGAGAGAGAUAGGGGUGAUGGUUAGUGGGCUGCCACGUGGCAGCGUGACAGAGAGUGAAAAUCAAGAUGGAGGUCCAGAUUAGAUUAGGAUAAAGGACUCAAUUGCACAAUUUAUAUAAUUUCAGAAAAAGAGUGAAAAUAUAAAUUAAUCUGGGGGUCUAUAUUAGAUUAGGAUAAAUGACUCAAUUUCAGGGAAAAAGUGAAAAUAUAUAAUUUUAGGGAAAUAGUAGAAGUUAUUUAUUGGUUAGGCAUAUGGAAAUGCAAAAAAUUGUUUUUCUAAUGAUUCUAAUCAAUUUCAAGAAAAAUAAUGAAUUUAUAAGGGUAAGAUGAGUCUAUAAAAGUGAUAUAAUGAGUCUAUCAGAGUGUCGGUCAGUUAGACAAUUUAGAUUUUUUUAAUCAUUUUUGCCAAUUGGCUUGUUAUCGCCUUUUUUUAUUAUCAAAUUGGAUUAUUAUUCAUUAAAUUAGAUUAUUAUCAAAUUGGAUUAUUCAUUAAAUUAGAUUAUUAUCAAAUUGGAUUAUUAUUCAUCACCAUGUUUUAUAUUAGGAUUAUUUUUUUAUGAAAUUGGAUUAUUAUUCAUUAAAUUGGAUUAUUAUGAAAUUGGAUUAUUAUUCAUUAAAUUGGAUAACUACUCUUCACAAUACACUCACUCUACACAUAGAGAUGAUGAAGAUAGUGAAAAUUUUGAACCUCAUAGGAACUCUAUGUGGUACUAAGUCACUUAUGUAUCUUACCAUGCAAUGUAUAAAGUGUAAAAUAUUGUACUAAUUCAUUAUAUAUAAAUGAUUAUGGUGUGUUUAGACUUCUUUCAUUAAUUACUACAUAUUUUCUACACUCACAAUGUUUGUCAGCUCGCUAUAUAAUCAACUUGAUAAUAUUAAAUCCAUCAUGCAAUGCAUUUCUUUCCAAUUUUUUGUGAUAAACUAAUAGAUAAUUGACUAAAUAAACAUCCUACAAAGUUUCAAUAAAAAUUUCUAAGUUUUUCUUACAAUUUCCGUGGUUUCCAUGUAAUUUUUAUCGAUAUCGAUAUUUACCGAUAUUUCCAUUGAUAUUUCCGUAUUUUCGGACUACCGAUAUUUCCGAUAUUACCGAUAUUUUCUUCCUUGUUCAUUACAACCAUUUUCUAUAUACGUGUACAUACAAAACGUUUCAUGGAGUUACAAAUUUGUGACAAAUAAAAUGCACAUUAUUCAAUGUGUUAAGUUAUUGCAAAUCAAAGAAUUUAGACUUUUCAAAGAGGUUUUUUUUUUCUUUGUCACUUAAUACUACGUUCUAAUAGUAUUUCUUUUUAUUUAUAAGUGAGAGGUAUUAAGUUCGAUUCUCGGCAAAAGCAAACUUAAAUUACAUUAUUGUUAAUCCAUUGUGAGAUUAAGCCCACCCCUCCCGCUUAGUAUCGAUAAUAUUAUUUGUUAAAAAAAUCCUCUAAAAAAAAAAUCAGUUGGUGGCGAAGCCAUGAAUUUUUUAAUUUUUUUUAAGGUCAUAAAGACUUAUAAAGACAUUUUAAUCUCAACUAGCAACAUUGUGUGAUUCACCAACAUUAUAAAUCAAACUUAGGAUCAACCGUAUAAAAUACAGGUUUAGAAUUCAGCCUAAUCACGAGACCACUCCAUGAUGAUUUAAGAGUUCGAACUUUAAAGGAGAAUAAAUUGAUCUUGAUACAUUCUCUAGGAAAAAUGUGUCACGUAUUAACGUACAAUCCACAUGUACAAAAAAGUGCGUCGGUAAUGAAAUUAAUUUUGUGUAUCUAAAAAAACAUUAAUCUUUAAGUGAAAAAGUAUGAAACUCACUUUGGUUUAAAAAAAAAAAAAAAAAAAGAUUUACCAUUAGAACGCGUCGGGUUUCUUAUUGCUUUUUUAUUUCUUCCAACUUCCUGCAUAAUUGAGUUGAAGAGUUUUCUCUCCAACUUACGUUGUGCUAGGUUUUGCAAGGUUUCGUUGUUCCCGUGAUAGUUUUAUGUUAAGGAUUUUGGUGUAAUCAGACAAUGAACCAAUAAUACCAAGUAUCGUUUUACUUAUAAAAUUAAUUGUUAUUUUAAAAAAUUUAGUUGUUUGUACGGAUUUUGUAACUCUCGUUUUGCCUUUAUGGCCAUGUUGGUUUCUUUUUAAGCAUCGAAUUGAGUACUUUGAGUCUUGCUUGACCAUUUUAGAGGAGAAUUUGUUGGUGUGCCAAAAACACAGUUUAGUACACUAAAUGUAAUAAUACAAUUUGUUGAAAUUUUAUUUUUUUAAGUUUCAAACCAAUUUUAUUAUUAAACUUACUGUACAAGACCGUGUUAUCGAUACACUAAAAAACCUCUCGUACUAAAGGAUAUCCAAUGAAAUUUACCAACUUAGGUUGAAAAAUAAGUAUAAAUACUGGUAUUUUGCAAUCAAAGAAAACAUGAACGUAUUAGGUUCCACCUAAUCUGAACCCCACUCCCACCUACUGGAGGAGAUGGCAUCGCUCACUUUUUGCUGAUGAUAUGUUUAAUUAAUUCGUUGAACUACAAUUAUCACAACCUUGAUUUCAUAUGUAUGUACAAAGAGCUUUCAAAGUAGGUUAUAAGUAACUAAUACAAUGCAAAUUGAGAAAGAGUAAGGCUAUAAAAGUAGUCCGAAUAUUAAGCCUUUAUGUCGUUUGUCUCGCUUAAGCCUUUAAUUUAGGCUUGAUAAUUUCUUGCACAAUCUGUUAACACUAAAAUAAACGACAAGAAAAUAAUAGAUUUUAAGUCAACCAUUAACAAAUCAGAGUCAUUAUCAGGUUACCCAAUAAGAUAUUGUUUGCCAUAUAUCAGCAUUAUAAAUGAUAAUUUUUUGCAUGACCUGAUAAUGAGUUUGACAUGAUAUGACCCGUUAAGAUAAUGAGUAUAACACAAAAAUGAUACGAACACGACAAAUACAAUUCGUUUGUCAAGACUAUUUCAACCUAACCUGAAUCUUUAAGAUUUCACUUCAUUGUACUCGUUCUAUGUUUAACACAAAUUGAGAAUCUAGACAAGGAAACUAAUAUAGAGUACAUUUGGUUGAUGUAGUUAUAAAAUGACAGAGGCAUGUCGCACCAAUGGCAUUCAAAUGUGUAAACAAAUAUAUAUGUAGGCAUUAAUGUUUGAAUUUGAUGAUCCAUCCAUACCAUCCAUCUUCCACUAGUACUAUUUAUCAAAUUUGGUUUUAUAUUUAUGGUUGAAUUCAACGAAUAUGACAUCACACGUUAUUUUUAUUAACUUUUGGAUAGAUUUUUCAGUGUGUCGAGAAUGCGACUCGAUACACUAAAUAUCAUAAUACAAUUGGUUGAAAUAUUUUUUUUUCAAGUGUCCAACUAACUGUAUUACUACACUUAAUGUGUUAGGUGUACUAAAAAAUCUCUCUAGCUUUUGGAAUAUAAAAGAAAGACAUGUUAAAUGUUGUGGUGAAACAUGGUUUUUUAUUUGACCAAAUUGAAAGUGUCGACAAGAUUUUAAUGAGCAUAAUUUAUAAGAAACUUUAACGAAAAACUCUCAGUAUUGUUCAUUUUAAGGAAAAAUCAUAUUUUUAAACUAAAAAGUCAAUCCGGGUACUAUUCACUUUAUCCUUUAUUUUGUCAUUAUUGUUAAAACUCAAAGUUUUCAAUUUUUUUUAUUAAUUUUCCUUAUUUUAUACUCUAUCCUCUUUAGACGAAUUCGCAUUAAAAUUAAUAAGUAUCGUACUUCUCUUAAAACAUGAUAAAUGUUAAACUAGUUGGUCAACCUUACCCAAAGCUUUUAUAGUAAUUAACAACCACAACAAUUCCCCACUAAAAUAAAAAAUAAAAAAUAAAAACAAACAAAAACACAAUGCAGUUGGUUCAUAUGGGCUGGGCCUGAUUUCAUUGUACAUAGGCCGAGGCCUAUCUGAGACUGAAAAGGGCUUGGCCUCCAAAAAUAUGCCCUGCAACCAAAAAGAAACUUAAUUUGAAGACGUCGUUUCAUUUCCAAGACAUGACAUGACUACUUUGGUGAUGUCCUGAAAAGGUUGAAGCUGUGCAACUAGGAAAGUAUUUGUUGGUUGAUUAUCCAUCACGUCUUGUAUUUUUGGAUUAGUUACUUGGUUUUCAAGUUAUUAACAAAAUAUGACCAACUAUCUAAUUUUCUAUGACACAUUAAGUUACUAAACUUGGCAUGAUUAAAGCAAGGACAACCAUGAUGAAACCUUUGUAUCAUUGUGUUAAGGACAUGCCGAUCAAGAUGUAUAAUUUCCUAUAGACAGUUUCUAUAGAACGUAGGAGAAGUCAAUUGAUUCUUCUGAAUAACUAUGCCACAUCGAGGCGGAGAGGCGAGAAAUAAAUGGGAAGAAAGAAAUUGAAGUUAUCAAUACAUUUCGAAUUUAAAACUCCUCAAUUAUCUAAUUUUUAUAAUAGUUUAAACCCUUCAUUCUCUACUUAUCUAUUCUAUUAAGAGAAUAGGGCUAGUCAACUUUUAUCCCUUUUUUCCAAUUUUGCCCUCACUUUUGAAUACACAAUAUUGACACGAAGAGGGCAAAAUAGUAAUUUUGUAUAUUUUGACAAAAUGACAAUUAUAUACUUAUUUUUCCAAUUUUACCCUCACUUUUGAUACACAAUAUUUACAUAAGGAGGACAAAACAAUAAUUAUGUAAUAUUAAGAGAAAUUGUUUACACACAUAGUAUGUGCUAUCUGAUAGUAAGUGGUAAGGAAUUAGAAAGAGGAUAAUUCAAUCUUAACCCUAAAAUAUGUUAAAUGACCAAAGUACCCUUAGUUCGAUAUGAUCAAGAAGAAUGUGAUUGGGCGAAAGAGAGGAAAAGGGCACAGAAUUUCACAAACAAGGGCAGCCCAAGGAAUUCAAAACCAAACCAAAUCAAAUCGAAACCCGAACCAAAAACCCCUAUCUCUCUCUAUCUCUCCUCCUCGACCCAAUUUUUCUCUCUCUCUCUCUUUCUCUCUCCUCAAAUUGGACACAAGACUUCCUUCUCCUCCACCUGAAGUACCAGUCUUCCAGACCUACAAUUUUCCAAUUUCGCCCUUCGGUUUCAAAUCGUGAUUCCCCCAAAACGAAAAGCCUUGUCUUUUCUAUUCAGACAUGCCCGUCCCGAACCGAUAACGCAGAGGAAGGAACCCAGCCACACCCAAAACGCCGCCGUUUGCCCAAGAUGAUCGUGAGAACGUACGGCCGUCGCAAGGGAGGGGACAUUACCAGAACGUAUUCCGACACAGAGCUAAACGACGCCGUUCACGACGACGACGACGUCAGUAGCGACCCCUUCGGAUUUUCCCUAUCGCAGCCUCAAGAAAGCAGCGGUGACCCUUUCAAUUUCUCGUCUCAGGAGGACUCGUCUUCCGGGUGGGCCCACUUCGAUUCGGACCCUUACGUCACCAAGGACUCCUCCUUGAAGCGCUUUCCCCUGGACGGCGUCGUCUCGGGGAGGUCCAAGAAAGCUAAGACUCGGAAGGAGGCGGUGGGGAAGAACUCCUACAGGCCGCCGCCGACGCCGUCUAUUCUUGCGACGUCGACCUUGAUGGAGGCGCAGGAGUUUGGGGAGAUGAUGGAGCACGUGGACGAGGUCAAUUUCGCGCUGGAUGGACUCCGGAGGGGUCAGCCGGUUCGGAUCAGAAGGGCUAGCUUGCUGUCGUUGCUGUCUAUUUGCGGCACGGCGCAGCAGAGACGGCUUCUCAGGACUCAGGGGUAGGUUAGGCUGACUUUAACUACUUUUUUGAUGGGUUCCUGGAUGUAAAUAUCCGAUUUUUUGAAGUGGGGUUUUGUGAAAUGUCAAGAAUUUCUUGGUGGAUAAUUGGAAAUGUUAGUUUUAAGUCGUUCUUGGUGGAUAUUUGAUUUUUGGGUAUGUGGGGUUUUCGAAUUAUAAGUAGUUUUUGAUAGGUAUGUGAAUUUGGAGAGUGUGGGUGGGUGUAUUUUAAGUAAAUCUUGAUUGUAUGUUGAGUUUAAAUUGAGGUUUUGGAGAUGUGCUGUUAGAGAUUCGAAAUUUUCUUACGGGUAUGUGGAUGCCUUACUAUGUUGAAUGUAUCUGAGGUCAUAUGAUAGUGCUAUUGAAAAUUUGAUUUGAUCUCUAAUUUUUCAUUUCAAAAUUUGCUUACUCCUUCUUUCUACCAAAAUUGUUGUGUGGUUUUUUCUGGGUUAUAAAUUGAUCGGUAGUGCCUUCUUUUCAGGAUGGCAAAAACUAUAAUCGAGGCUAUAUUGGGUCUCAGCUUUGAUGAUUCACCCAGCAAUCUGGCUGCUGCAACUAUUUUCUAUGUUUUGACAAGUGAUGUAAGUCAUUUAGUAUUCGAAAAGUGAUCAUUCUAAUUUGAAGUUUUUAUUUUCAUAGGCACCUUUCAUGAAGUUUUCUUGUGUACUGCUCAUGUCUGCUGUGACUCUUCAAGAGUACAUACAAUUAAUUUUAUUUUAUUUUUUAUUUGACUAAUAAACCUAAGGGGAUUGUCAUCUUUCAAUAUUGCAGGGUCAGGAUGAUCAUCUCCUGGAAUCACCGAACUGUAUUAAUUUUUUGAUUAGGUUUUGCAAACCAAUUGUCUCAAACACCACAGAAGAUAAAGUACCAAAAGUUGGACGUAAGCUUCUAGCAUUGCGGAUUGGUGCUGACAUCUCGCAGUGUACGGCAAAAAGAUUGGACUCCAGCUCUGCCGCUAUUUUUUCCAAAGUUCAAGAAAUUCUUGUAGGUUGCAAGGAAUUGAAACCGAGUUGUGCGGAUGAAGGAGAAAUGGAAAAUCCGGAGUUAUGCCCAAAAUGGAUAGCUUUGCUGACUAUGGAGAAAGCUUGCUUAUCUACCAUCUCUCUUGAAGGUCUGAGUCUGUGUUGAAGCCUAUGGUUUUCUGGUUAUGAUACACAUUUUUAUGCAUUAUUUACUCAGGAUCUCAAGCUUUUGGUCUGUACUUUCAGAAACCACUGGUGCAGUAAGGAAGUCGGGGGGCAACUUUAAGGAAAAAUUACGAGAGCUUGGAGGUCUUGAUGCUGUAUUUGAGGUGACCAUGGGUUGCCAUUCCAAUAUGGAGGUGUGAACCUGUAUGUUUGUUUGAUCUCACUGUGCGUUUCAUUAAAUGUUAAAGAAUACCAAGGGACCUUAAUGCUUUAAAUAGUUAUGAGAGAAAUUUACUUCACUAUCCUACUUCAACAAUAAUUUCUUGGUUCACUAUGUAAAUAAUAAAUUUCUAUGAAAAAAUAAUGCAUGAGAUGGUAAAGAACCAAAAUGAUGGUGUGCAGCCUUAGUUGUAUCUAGAUUCACAAGUUUCUUCUGUUCUGUAACCUAUACAUUUCUUCAGUUUAUGAGCAACACUGUAUACAUUGGUAGUUUUAUAGUAACAAAUGGGCAGUUAUCUAUUUGCCUUUGGAUAGCGUUAUCUUCUUUCUUGUUCAUUGUAGUUCCUGAUUUUCUUCUUGGAGUAACAUGAGUGGUUUUGCAUGCUAACAAUAUCACUUCUCAGUCAUUGAUUUGUUUUCUUUCCUUUCCUUAUUAUGUGCACAUCAUACACAUUGAGUUACGAUAACCAAAAUUCCUUGGACAUAAUAUAACUUUUUCAUUUAUAUACUUACUUUUUUCAUUUUAAUCCUGGGGUCCAUGUGGUACUCAAUUGUUAUUGGGGAAAUUGCUUUACUAAGCACCAGUAAUUAAUAUGCAGGGUUGGCUAAAAGAUAGCUCGCAUACUAUUUGGGAAAAUGAAAACGACAUGGUGCGGAGCCUGGUUCUGCUUUUGAAAUGUUUGAAGAUCAUGGAAAAUGCCACAUUCCUAAGUAAAGAGAAUCAGGUAUUUAAAUGUGGUUUAGCCUCCCUCUCUAAUCCUUCCCUCCUCAGUCCGCUGGUCUGCUCUUUCUCUCUCUCUUACACUUUUCUUCUCCUUUUUAGUUUGUAAAACUCAGACUGCAUUAUGAUGUUUGAUUAUUGUUAACUAUUGAAAGGUGUAAUAAAUCUCCACAUCCAUGUUUUCUGAACAGAGCCAUUUGCUAGGAAUGAAAAGGAAGUUGGAUCCCAUGGCAAAUCCUUUGUCUUUUACAGAACUAGUUAUAAGUGCCAUCAAUAUUCUGUCAGGUAACUUAGUUUUUGGAGUAACUUUUGGUUCCUAAUCUUUUUGGCUUUCUGAUAAUUGAUCGCUUUGUUUUCUAGGUCUUUGUCUACAUAAAAGUUCCUCUUCUGCCUCCAAUGACAGAAAGUCUUAUUGUCUAUCUAAUGGGAGUGAACAUUUUUCUGAGAAGAGCUCCAAUAGAUGUCAGAGCAGUCAGUUAAUGUCAACACGUCGCUCAGUAUAUACUAUAUCCAGUUCGGAAACUACCAGCACCUCCAUGACUGAUACUUAUUCAUUGAACACAAGACUCAAUUCUUCUAGAAAUGGUUCUUCCAAUGGUGCAUCAAGACAUGUCAGCGGUGGAACCAGUAAUUUUAGCAAUCUUUCCCUGAAGAAUGCUGGUCUCAGUCAGCGAUCCUAUAACUUUGAAGACUCCAAAAUUGAUCUUUCAGAGGAGAGUCAAGAUCCUUUUGCAUUUAUUGAUGGUUCCAGGAUGGAUGCUGAUCUCAGUCAGAGAUCCUAUAUUUUUGAAGACACCAAAAUUGAUCUUUCACGGGAGCGUCAAGAUCCUUUUGCAUUUGAUGAAGAUGAUUAUAAACCUUCUAAGUGGGACAUGUUAUCUGGCAAGACAAAUAUGUCUCUAUCACAACAGAAUGCGGCAGCAUACAGAGAAAUUGAUGACAUUUGUCAGUUGCAGCAUAUUAUGAGCCAAGAAGCAUCAAGUAAUGGAGAAAACCAUCAGACACAAGAGACAUCCUGUUCAGGUGCUGUUAGCCGAGAAGGUUCCAGUCUUGUAGCUGACUGCCUUCUUACUGCUGUCAAGGUAAUCCUGAACCCCACUAUAUUAAACUUUUUCCAUAUUGCCUUAAACUUUUGUGGUUCUCCAUGUCAACAUCUAUGCAAUUGUGGGUGGGGCGGUGGUGUUACUGGUGUGCACAAUCUAGUUGUUUUUUGGUCCCUUGGUCAAGUGAAGGGUUUAUUUCUAGAUUCAUGUGACUGUUUACUGUUCUCAUCGUCUACUAUCAUCUCUCAACUAUGAUUUGCUCAACUAUGAUUUAUUCAGUUCUUUGAUACUCAUUAGCUGUUUGAUUAAUUUGGUUACUCAUUAAUAGAAUAGUGCCUUUUUGAUUAAUUGAUAUCCCAUUAUGCAUGCACUGUGUUAGAACACAUAAGAAACAGUUGAACUAUGUGAACUCAUAACAGUCUUCUUGGCAGGUUCUGAUGAACUUAGCAAAUGAUAAUCCUGUUGGGUGUCAGCAAAUUGCUGCAUAUGGAGGACUGGAAACCUUGUCUUCUUUGAUUGCCAACCACUUUCCUUGUUUCAACUCAUCAUCAUCUCCCUUCAGCGAGAGAAGUGAGAAUAUUUCCAGCAUUGAACUUGACCAUCCGAAUAAUAGACAUCUUACUGAUCAAGAGCUGGACUUUCUUGUAGCUAUUUUGGGUCUGCUUGUGAACUUGGUGGAGAAAGAUGGCCAAAACAGGUUACCUUGAUUUGUCAGUUUUUCUCCAUCUGUUUAUGCAUUUUCAUUUUAACAACCGACAUCAUAUUUGGGCUCUGUUUAUAGUUCAACCAAGAGAACAAAUUACCACAGUUGGUUCCAAUGAAGUGGUUACGUUGAGAGUGGAAAAAUUUCUUCCACAUUCUAUGUGGAGGUAAUGGCAGGGUUAUGUGGAUGACUGCUCCCAUUAGACAACUUGUGUCUCAAAAAGAUUUAGACAACAAAAGAUGCUAUAAUUAGAACCGUAGUGCUUGUGCUGCAGAUUAACUAGUCUUAGUUUCUAGUUUUUAAUAAAUCAUUCUUGCAUUAGAAUUUUCAUGCUCAUAAUUUAUCAAACUUGCUUUUCAUCCAGAUCACGGCUUGCAGCAGCUAGCGUUCAAGUAGCUAGUUCGGAAGGGUUUGGAGAGGAGAGUCGCAAGGAUCUAAUUCUGCUAAUUUGCUCUAUCUUUCUUGCGAACCAAGGUGCAGGCGAGGGAGGUGGAGAAGAAAUGGUUUUGCCAGUGAGUGACAUGUUCUCAUUGACUGGAAAAUGCGGUUUGUUGUUUAAGUUGUGAUGUCUUAAAAACACAAGGGCCUGCCUUCUGAUGUCUAGCCAAACAAAAACGAGAAAUUGAAAAUUUAUUUUCCAUAAAUUGGUCUUGUUCUGGUUAAUUGUUUUCAUCUUGUAUCUGAUCCUUGUCGAUGUCUUCUAACUUUGAUUUUGUUGUAUCGGUACAGACGGAUGAGGCAGCUGUCUUACAAGGAGAACAGGAAGCGGAGAAAAUGAUAAUAGAAGCUUAUUCUGCCCUGCUUCUAGCAUUUCUUUCAACCGAAAGGUUUGGCGUGUUUUCUCUCCUUCCUGUGUAUAAAGCAUUAUCGUCGUGCAUAUUCUCAUGCAAAAUUUGUUUGCCGUCCUCAGUAAGAGCAUACGCGAUGCAAUUUCUGACUGUCUUCCAGACCGCAACCUGGCUAUUCUAGUACCUGUGUUGGACAGAUUCGUGGUAUGCGUCUUAACUUCUAAACCGUGAUAUACUUCAGAGCUCGUUGUUAUCAACUGACGGAAAGUUAUAUUGCUCUCAUGUGAUUAUAUGUAUCUUUUAUUUCUUCCUCAGGCCUUUCAUUUGACGCUUAACAUGAUAUCGCCGGAGACUCAUAAAGCUGUGAGUGAAGUAAUCGAAUCAUGUAGGAUACGGUGAGAGCUUCGGAGAUGGACGAGAAUCCUGUACAGAUUUGGGUUUCCUUUUAGAAAAAAAAUUGUUGUUUACCCGACUCCGCGACUCUCGACGGGUCGGGAUUCAGCUGCUCGCCGUAUGCAACUGACUGCAGGCCUGGUUGCUCUGUAUUUUUUUAGGUUUCUUUUUUCCUUCCCUCCCCUCGCGCUAUUCUUUUGUAUCUUUGUUUUUUGUUUUCCCACCAUUUUUGAGCAGGUCAGAGACCAUACUUUGUAUACCAAGAAUUAUAGCUUAAUGGAAAUGUCUUGCUUUCCUUGUAAUUAACAUUUCUUCUUGUCCUUCUAUUAUUUUCUGUUUUUGUCGUAAUAUAAGAGUUAUGUUCGCUUAAGAGUUAUGUUCAAGAAAAUUGUGAUCAAUCAGCGUUCUACGUCACUUAGUAUACAUCAUUAUUUUUUUUUAUUCAAUAGAAAAAGAAUGAAAGAGUUUGCUAUUUUUUGUUUUAUCACCGGAAUAGCAGAUUUGUUCUACUGAAAAGAGAUUUUUCUUUAGAAAGAAACAUAUAAGAUAUUGAUUUUGAAUACCGUCACCUUACUAGAUAGAGCCGAUAACUAUGUGUGUAUAAUGAUAAAAAAAAAACUAAAACUAAAAAAACACUACUUUUUUUUUAAUAUAUAUAUAAAAAAAGUCGGUUUAAAUAGAUGGAGAAAAAGUAGGAGAGAGAUUUGAUUGUUUUAGUUGUUAUAAUUACCAUAUCAUCCUUCAUUUUUAUGUUUUAUUAUUUUAACUUACUAAGAUUAAAAAGGGCGAAAAGGAAAUUUCACCCUCUUUAGUAUUAGAUUAAUUCCCAAACGCUAAUGUCGUUUCCAUGAGGUUAGUAUGGGGUUACAAGAUCCCCGGUGCUUUUGCACAAGGGACAGCUAGCCCAUGACGUCACAUUGUCAUAGUGUGGUUUGGGUCUCCGAGUUGACUCAGCGAGUUUAUAUAUCUAUACAUACACGCAUCUUUUAGGGUUUAUAGCUUUCCUAUAAAAAGGCAGGAUUUCUCGAAUUCUGCAAGAGAAAAAUUAUGGAAUAUUUUGGAUGCGGUCUCUAAUCCUUAACAUUCUUUGAUUAAAAUCUUAAUAGUAUUCAAAGUUUGAUCAAGGUCCUUUGACUUUGUACUCCUCAUUAUAUUACUAUUAAUAUUUAUAGUUUUGACAUUAAUUGUUUGAUAUUUUAUGAGAUUUAUAAUCCUAUAAAUUUAAAAUCCAUCAUUAUAAUACUAUUAGAAACGGUUACAAUAAAAAAAUUCAAACAUUUUAACAUUUUGAUUGAAUAAAUGGAUAAAAACUAUGCAAAAAUAAGAAAUAAUAAAUGGCAAAAGAAUGUAUCCAUAGUGUUAAAAAAAAUUGGUACAUUUUACAAAACAAUCGGUACAUUUCACAUAUAACAAAGUGGUACAUUAAUAAAUAAAAUUGGGUACAUUAGAAAUAAAUUAGGGUAUAGAUAAAAUAUUAAAAAUUAUGAAUACAAAUGAAUUUUUAAAAAUAUAGGCGCUAAAAGAAAUUAAUACAUGGGUACAAAAUAAAACUAAAAAGAAAAUACUAUAAAUUAAAAAAAUGUUGCAAAUUAAAAGUGGGUACAAACUAAAAAUAUAAAUAUAUGAUACAAAGUUUAGGCAUAAAACAUAAUUAUAUCAUAUGUAAUUUUUCUAUCAUUGAUUAAAUAUACAAUGUCACGUGAGGGUAUAUACAUGGGUACAAACACAAAUAAAACUUUAAAAAAUAUGGGCACAAAAAGAAACUAAUAUAUGAGUACAAAUUAAAAAAAAUAUUUGCAAAUUAAAAAUAGGUACAAACUAAAAAUAAAAAUAUAUGAUAAAAAAUUUAGCCAUAAAUAUAAAUAUACUAAUUGUAACAUUUUUAACAUUAAAGGAAUAUAUUUAAAAAUAAAAAUAUUUUAUUAUUCAAAUAAUUAAUGAUGUUAUUAAUACCCAAGGACCUUGAUCAAAAAUUGAAAAUGAAUAGGAUUUUAAUCAAUGGAGUAACAAAAACAAGGAUGCGAACCUAAUUUACCCGAAAAAUUAUCUUCACAGUUCGACGAAUUGGAGCUCCAAAAAUUGAUAUUGAUUGGUAGGUCAAAAUACAAAACCUUAAAUUCAGAUCUUUUCUAAUUCUAUUUUUUUCAUCAAUUUAAGUCAUAUUUAAUCAUUUGUUUACUGAAUACCUAAAUAAAUAUGAUAUGAAGGCUGUAUUUCAUUAACUGCCUUUCUUCCCUUACAAUGUACCAUUUAUGCUAAUGUACAACUCUAACUGUCAUCACAAGAUGAAGCCGUGGGGUAAAAUAUCUUUCAAGGACUCUUCCAACGUCAAGCCCUUUUUGCGAGGGAUAGAACGGGGAUAUGAAAUAUUCCACUCAACUUCGGCUAAAAUAUCUUUCAAGGCCUCUUUGUAAGGGAUAGAACGGGAAUCUGUAACUUGCCAAAAAUCCCUGUCGGCAAUCAUAGCUUUGUCGCAUAGUAAACGUACCCCUAUUUUCUUCACCUCAGUAGAUUUACGAAUUGCAAUAACAUGGACCAAAUCGCCUUCUUCCAAAUUGAACUCAGUUUCCGGAAACGGAAAAUUUCCCAGCCAAAUGUUAUCUCUGUUCUCAACAUCCAACAUAACGUUAACAAAACUAGUACGCUUGGUGUGAUUAAUAACAUAAAUAUAGAACUGAAAAGAAGAACCACGAGGCCUGUCUUUAUCAAAAGGACAAGAAGCCAGGCACACAGCCAACGCUUUUGCAUUACAACCAAUUUCCUUAGGCACUUCAAAACGGACUUGGGUACUCUCGUUGACAUGAUUGAACCAAGUGGGAAUUUGUCUUCCUACAGGCUUCAUCAUUGCACAUUCUGUCCAUCCCUAUACCAUUUUGAACAAGUUUUUGUGAGUAAUGCAUACAUAACACACAUUUGCGAGGGAGGAGAGGGGGGUGGUGUGGAAGAGAGAGAGUACCUGUAGCGUGCUAUCCUUAAGAAUGAAAUCUAUGACAUUGUUGUGUGUUGACAUACGAAGUCUGAGGCCCGAGUUUAACGCGCUAUACAAGCCUGGAAAUUCAACGAGUUUCGGGGAACUGAGAUACACAUCUGGCGACAUGCCUGAUAAAUCUGGCAUUCUUUCAAAUGCAGAGCAGUCGUCCAUGCAUAGCAAAAACAAACUUUUUGGUAAAUCUGUGAUCUCGACAAGGUUUAUGCAACCAUUUAACAAUAGAUCUUGAAGCUUAGAGAGGCCCCUGAGGCUUGGAAGGCUCCGAAAAUUAUUGUUACUUAGAGAUAAGAGCUGUAAACAAGGUAGACUACUCCCAAAAUCAUUAGGCACUUCCUCUAAUUUGCUGUCCGCCAAAUUUAAUUCUGUUAAAGAGCGUAAGCCUCGUAAGGAAGGUAGCUGCAAAGAACACUUCAAGUUCCUCAAAGAUAAGUACAUAAGCGUCUCCAGUCGUCCGAUGGAAGGUGGUACUUUUUCUAUGGCCGUCCCAUCUGCAGAAAGAUUGACCAAUGAUGUCAUAUUUCCCAAGUUAUCAGGCAAGCUUCGCAAUCUUGAACAACCAUCGAGAACAAGAGUUAUGACAGAUUUCAACUUGUCCAAACUCCCCGGGAGAGCCUCAAGCGUUUCACAGUCUUUCAAAUUCACCAACACAAGACUCUUGAGAUCUCCGAUGGACUCGUGAACUUUAGCCAACCUCUUACAGUCUUUGAGUAUCAAUUUCUCAAGAUUUGGGAGUUUUGAAAAGUCUGGCGAUUGUGUUAGAUCGUGGGAGUGGCUGAGAUUUAGAAUCUUCAACUUAUCAAGCAACUGUUAAGAAAAAUAAAAUUGAAAUAAAAAAUUAAAAUCCAAAAAGAAGAUACAGAGAGCAUAAAAAUAAUUCCUAAUUUGGUUCAGGUACGUACCCCAGAAUCCUGACAAAGAACUUGUUUGAGGCUGCUGUACCGCAUGUCGAUAGCGACUAUGUUUGGUUGACACAGUUCUAUUGGUAUGAACUCCAAUGGGAAUCCAUGCCAGCACAGCCAUCUUAAUUUUUUGAAAAGACAUUGGUAUUCCCCAACGAGCCGUACGUAGUUUAGUUGAAGCAAUCUCAGUCUCUUCAUAUUUCUAAGCGCCUCAGUACUGAAACUAGUCUCUUCAAGACUCGGCAAAUUCAAAGCCAGACCUUCAAUUUUUUCAGUUCCCUGCUAUCCCAAAAAACAGACUCCAAAUAAGAGAAGGCUUUGCAUGAAAAAAAGUUAGAUUACUAACUUAUAUAUGCUUACACGUUUACAUAAAGUUCGAUUGGGAAAGUACUUACAGCUUUGUCUAUUAAUACAUCAUUUACAUCUUCAGGAUUCCACAAUCUACUCCGUUCUCCUGGGAAAUCGGGAUUUUCUGCAUGCACGAUAUCUCUGCCCAUGUCCCGAAGCAAAUCAUGCAUCAUAAUCUUGUUUUUUAUACCAAUAGUGAUAAGGCACCGGUCAAGGAGGACCUUGAUUCCUGUUGUUGCAUAGAAGCCACAACCAUCCAAGAUUGGUAUGACAUAGUUCUUGUCCAUUCCGAUAAAAAAACAAGCUAUAUCGAGGAAUAUACCCCUCUCGUAAUCAUCAUUUAGCCCGUCGUAGCUUAUUUUCAACUGUGCCUGAAUUUCUCCAGGAGGAAUCAUUUUCAAUUUACCCAAUUGACUUUUCCAUUCUGCUACACUUCCUUCGAAAAGACUAGAUCCUAAAACUUCAAGAGCCAGCGGCAGUCCUCCACAGUAGUUGACAACUUCUUCUGCGAGCGCAAGAUAUUGACUAGGACAACAACUACUUCUGAAAGCAUGCCUACUUAGGAGCUCAAGAGCAUCUUUUGGGUCCAUUCCUUUCGCCCAAUAUAUCUUAUCAACUGCAAAUUCUUUUAGCACAUGUUCGUUUCUUGUUGUGAUGAUAAUUCUGCUCCCCGGGCCAAAAGAGUGGCGAUUUCUAGCUAAUUCGUGUAGCUGCUUCACAUUGUCUACAUCAUCAAAUAUGACAAGUACCUUUAAGCGUCGAAAUCUUUUCCCUACCAAGUUGGUCCCUGCAGCAACACUGCUUACCUUUAUCUUGGUUUGCAAGAUAUUUGAAAGAAGUUGUCUUUGCAAUUCUUCUAGUUUCUUUUCCCUCACUUUUUCAAGGAAACUUUUACCUUGAAACCUGUCAGAAAAUCGAUUAUAAAAGGCUUUAGCAAGCGUUGUUUUACCUAUUCCACCGAUGCCCAAAAUUCCAAUCACCCGAACAUCAUCUGAAUCUCCAAUGCAUAAAUAUUUACUGAUAUCUUGCACUCGAGAAUGUAUUCCGACUGGGUAGGUAGCUACGUCUAAGUAUGUGUUGUUCAGCUUCCUAGUGACUUCCUCAGUAAUCAUCCUGAUAAACUUUGCUUCAUGCCUGGCAUUAGUCAAGCAGAGAAGCAAAACGAAGAUUGUUAUACAACUACAAGACGAAAUUGAACUAAUACACAAAAUUACUUAUCAUGACUAGAGAUUUUAUUUAAGACAAAUUUCUUUGAGGUGUUGCGUUUAAACUUAGCAAACAUCAAUUAAAAAUUCAAACUAGAAACAUAAACAAACAAAAUCAGCAUCCCCUGCUGUGAUUAGUGUAAGCUUAACAGUUGAAGCUUUAUUGUAUGAUUUUAUUAAACGAGGUCUAAGAAAUUGCUUGCUUCCAAAUUAAUGAGCAAAGGUACGUUAAAGCCUAAAUUCAUAAGAGAAGAAAUUAGUAAGUACCCGUCAAAAGUGUUUUGGAGAUCCCCGCCAGACAAAUUCGAAGCUUCAAAAAGAGCAGUUCUCCACCUCUCUACCUUCUUUUCAUCUAUAUGGUCGAGAAACGAUUGUCCAAAACUGCCAGUCUGUUUCCUGACAUGCGAAGGAUCAACGUCAUAGAAUAUCGGCAAAACUAAUUGCCCCCGAUUUCUUCUACACUCCAUGAUCUUAACCAGCUCCUCGAGGCACCAGCUGGAGUUCGCAUACCGUCUAGAGAAGACGAUGAUAGAGAUCUUAGAACCUUGGAUUGCCCGCUCAAAUGCGGUUGUUAAUUCUUCUCCCUUUUUCAGUUCUUCGUCGUCAAUAAAAGCAUUGAUUCCAGCCUUUGUUAAUGCUUCAUAGAGGUGGCCCGUGAAGUUUUUACGUGUGUCUCCGCCUCUGAAGCUUAUGAACACAUCGUAGAGCGAACCUUUUGAGAAGGAGGACGAGGACAAGGAGGCGGAGAAGGACGAUGAGGAUGAGGAUGAGGGCAAGGAUGUGGAGGAGGUAGAGGAGGAAGAUGAGGAUGAGGAUGAGGGCGAGGAUGCGGAGGAGGACGAUGAGGAUGAGGGCAAGGAGGAGGAGGAUGACGAGGCUUUAUCGGGGACUGAGACAUUCAUUUGGCGAAAGACGAGGCCGAGGGAGCAGAGGAGGAAGAUGAGGACAUCAAAGACAAGACCGGAAUUGCGAGCCGCAAAGUGGUAGGACACUAACACCAGCACCGGAGUUAACAGCUUCCCUAAGCUCGACCAGGGAUCCAUUUCCUUCAUUUUCUUUAGGCAAAUUGAAGGUUUUUGGCGAUAUUGAUUUUCCCAUUUCCCUCAGCCUUUCCCUUUUUCCUUUACUUUUUUCUUCAUUUUUGGCGAGUUUCCUUCGCUUCUGGUCAAUAAUGCGCGUCAAUCAUGUGCGUUUUCAUACAGUACAUGCGUCCAUGUUUUUUUUUUCCUUUUUCUUGGUAGUUGUGCCGAGUGAAAGGCAGAUUUUAUACUAUAUAUUAUUUUCAAUUCUUGAUAUACUUUUAUUAUUAUUUUGAUGAGAUUUAGAUGUUUUGUUAUGUAUUUUUAAUGUAAGACAAUUAUGCACGUUAAUUAUGUGCGUUUUCGUACCUUUUUAAAGGAGUAGGAUUAUCUGGUCUCUUUUUGUCUCUCUACUUCUCUCUCUUUCUAUUUAAACGGUCACGGUUAAAUCUCGUUAACAUCUUAUAUUAAUUUUUUAUAAAAAAAGAUAAGAUAAAAAAUAUGAGAUGAUGGAAUGGAAAGAAGAAAUGAGAGAAUUCUAAUCUAUUUUUACAGUUUACAUGCGUCCGUGAUUUUUUUUUCCUUUUUCUUGGUUGUUGUGCCGAGACUGCCCUCCAGCUGGAAAUAAGGAGGAGACAGAGAAAUAAGAACUGCCACUAGGUUGGUGAAACAGUGUCAAGCAUUUUCGUUGGACGGAGGACUAUGCAUGUCGGGUUGGAUCGCCAAAUGGAAGGGCAAAAUUUAUAACCAAGCGGACAAUUUUUUUUUUCAACAAAUAAUAUUAUCGGGAAAAUCUCAUAAUAAGCUAAUAAUAAUAUGAUUCAAACUUUUAUUCUUACUUUUUGUUCUAAAUACUUAUUACAAUCAUGAAAAAUAAAAUAGUAGUUUAAAUUUGACAUCAGAGAAAGUGCUACGAACAGACAAAAAAACACAAUCAGAGAAAUUGCUACGAACAAACAAAAAAACACAAUCAGAGAAACUGCAACGAACAAACAAAAAAACACAAUUAGAAGGUGGUUUAAAUUUGGCGCAAUUGAUUGAAGACUUUGACUUGUGGUUCUACACCCUAAAUUCUACAAGGCGCCCUUUUUUUCCACUAUAACACCAAAUUGAAGACUUUGACUUGUGGUUCUACACCCUAAAUUCUAGAAGGCGCCCUUUAUUUCCACUAUAACGCCAAAUUCUACGCGGUAAGUUGACUUGUGGUUCUACACCCUAAAUUCUACGAGGCGUCCUUCUUUUUUCCACUUUAACGUUCACACAAUACACAAUGAUAAGAGAUUUUUCAAUUUAUCAGAACAUAGUCUGGGACACCGUACACCACUUAUAAAACAGUUUCAAGAGGGCUAGUUUGAAAAUAUCCUAUUGCAAAAUUUGAUUUAGAUGAAAACCAGCAACAGUGCCUGCGCGUGUUGUUGCGGGUGUCUAAAAUAUUUUGAUAAUAUGUACAUAGAAAACAUAAUUUAUUGAAGCUAGAUUUCUAUACUUAAGAUAGAGGUUGGCAGUGUUCAUAAUUAUCAAAAGAUUGGGAGUGUCCAAUUGCUCACUGUUCAAAAGAUAGAGAUGCUAUAAAAACUAAAUUCAUGUACAUAAGUUCAUAGUAUCAUGUACUCACAAUAAUCAUAGUAUCAAAAUAUUGGCAGUCUUCAACCACUCAUCGUUCAAAUACGAAAAUAUACAUAUAUCCAUAUCAAAAGGUUGGCAUCGCACAUCUGGUUUGUGUUUAUGAUUUUUCCUGUUCAAUCUCUGGUCUUGCUUGUUUGGGAAUGACCAUCCUUUUUCUUGGCCACCAUGUUGUUGAAUUGGUGCCUAUUCUUUUUUGCUUUGCCCAAGAUUUUGCUAUUGCUAUACAUUACGAAUUGGAAUCAGUAAGAAUUCAAUAUAAAAAAGUAAAUUUGUCAAUCUAUUUAACUUAGUGCGAACUUCAUCAAACAACCAACAAGUAUAAUCCAGCAAGGUUAUUUUCAUUUUCUUUUUUUAAUCAAAAUGAAUUCUAUUGUUCCCAUAUAUUUGCAAAUCCCUUUAAAUUAUCCAAAAACACAAAAGAAAUAUAUCUUGAUCCAUACCAAUUAAUGAUUUCCCAUUUACUUUAGUCAAAUGUCAGAGCCAAUGAAGGAACUGAUGAAGGAGCUAAAAAAGAGAGACAAAAAAAAAUCUCUAUUAUUCAAUUAUAUAGAGAAUUACUUGAUUGUACAAAAGGUUUGAAAAUUACUGUAAAAAUAAAAUUUCAAAAAAAAAAAAAAAAGAUGAGAUGAGAUGGAGUAGAAAUCACAUAACAGCAUUAGACUUAAAUUUGUAGUGCUUAUAUGAGAGAGUAGUGAUAGUGCUGAUGAGAAUGUAGGGAGAGAAACAAAAUGCAAAUCGUAAGAGUGAGAGAAAAACCGCUUGAGGGACACUGCAAAUUGAUCGAUGAGAUUUGAGAAACCACUAUUUUAUUUCUUGGUGGAUAAUUGGAAAUGUUAGUUUUAAGUCGUUCUUGGUGGAUGUUUGAUUUUUGGGUGUGUGGAGUUUUCGAAUUAUAAUUAGUUUUUUAUAGGUAUGUGAUUUGAGAAACCUUUAAUAUUUAUUUUCUCAUUCUUAUUUAUUUAAGGGCAAAUUUGAAAGUUUAGUCAAGAAAAUUUGUUAGUUGGGUGUAGAGAUAUAAAGGAUGGGUUCAAAUAAAAUUUCUCUAAAAUAAAUAAUGUGAAAGGAGAUGAUCAAAAAAGAAGUGAGAGAAUCAUAGUCUAUUUUUUACAGUUUACAUGCGUCCGUGACUUUUUUUGCCUUUUUCUUGGUUGUUGUGCCGAGACUGCCCUCCAGCUGGAAAUAAGGAGGAGACAGAUAAAUAAGAACUGCCACUAGGUUGGUGAAACAGUGUCGAGCAUUUUCAUUGGACGGAGGACUAUGCAUGUUGGGUUGGAUCGCCAAAUGGCUGGAAAAUUUUUAUAACCAAGCGGACAUAUUUUUGUUCUUUUCCUCUGAUGUUCAACUGCAAGUAGAAAUUCUGUUAGUUUAAAGGAUUUAAGGAUUAAGUGCAUUUUUUCAAAGAGGAUUAGCUUGGACGGAAUAACUAAGCAUCUGUAAAGGAGGAGUUCAAAUGUCAACAUCAGCAAUAACAAGAAAAAAAUACGGUAUUAGUGUUAGCAACUUCAAAUUUUUUUUUUUACAAUCAAUAUUAUGCCUUACAAUAAGCUAACAAUAAUAUAGUUCAAACUUUUAUUCUUACUUUUUGUUCUAAAUACUUAUUACAAUCAUGAAAAAUAAAUAAUGUAAUAAACAGUGGUUUAAAUUUGACAUAUCAAACAGAGAAUAAAAUUUUAAAAAAAAAUUAAAGUGUUACACUAACUUUCAAAUUUAAAUUUUAUAUUUGAAAUUUGAAAUCUACUUUGGAAAUGAACAAAUCGGUUGUUUUUUAUUAUAGAUUUCUUUAUAGAUAAUGUUGGUGGUCUUAGAAAAUUUUAUUAACAUGAAAAAAAAUAGUAUACUUAAUCUAUGGACAUAAACCUUUAACCCUUAAUUUGGUCCAAGAUAUUAUUAGAGAAUUCCCACUUGGUUUGGUCCCGUAUAAUUUUGUUUUCCCUGCUAGCAAUAUUUUGAAUUCCAACUAUCUAUAGUUUUGUUGGAAUAAUUUCACAAGUCAUAAUCUAAUCUAUUCUAUUAAGAGAAGAGGGCUUAUCAACUUUUUGCUCAUUUUUCUUCUAAUUUUGUCCUCACUUUUGAUAUAUAAUGUUUACAACAAGGAAGGCAAAAUAGUAAUUUUGUAUCUUUUGACAAAAUAACAAUCAUAUGCCUAUUUUACCUUUUUUCUAGAAAAUGACAAUCAUAUACUUAUGUUUUCAAUUUUACCCUCACUUUUUAUACACAAUAUUUACAUAAGAAUGACAAAAUAGGAAAAAAGGGGAAAAAAAGUUGACAAGGAGGCUUCUCUUAAUAACAUUUUUGAUACAUAAGGAGGACAAGCCAUCAUUUUUUCAUACAGGUAAGUUAAAUAAUUAUGUUUUUCGGAUAAUUUGAAUGAACUGAAGCGGUUGCGCUUGAGAAGAAUGUAAGAGGAGGUGUGUGGUUGUUCACACACACAAAGUGUGUACUCUAUGUAGUACAAAAUUAAGAAUACCAACUAUGCUUUUGUUUUAAUUUUUUUGGCUAAAAAAAAUCAAAAAAUCAAAAUCAAAGAAAAUGAUAGGAAAGAGCAACAACUUGCAUAUGUAUAGUUUAUAAGGAAAACUAAUGAAAAUAGCUUGAAAAUUUUGAGUUUUAACAAUAAAGACAAAAUAAAGGGUAAAGUAAAUAAUAUCAGGAUUGACUUUUUAGUGUAAAAAUAUGGUUUUUCGUUAAAAUUAACAAUACUGAAAACUUUUCGUUAAAUUUCCCUAUUUUAUAUGCUUUUAAUUAUUUUUAUGAGUUUGUGUUUGUACCAAGACAACUAUGUAUUUUAGGAAAACUAAUGAAAAUGAUUUGAAAAGCUUGAGUUUUAACGAUAAAGACAAAAUAAAGGGUAAAAUUAAUAGUAUCAGGAUUAACUUUUUAGUGUAAAAAUUGUGGUUUUUCGUUAAAGUGUACAGUACCGAGAGCUUUUCGUUAAAGUUCCCUAGUUUAUAUGCUUUUAAUUAUUUUUAUGAGUUCAUGUUUAUACCAAGACAACUGUCAAUUUAAGAUUUAGUAUUGAAUGGCUCCAUAGUAAAUAUCACAACUUUCCGAAUAUCCAGCAUCAGGUGGGUCUGAAGAAUUGCAUAGCUUGGGGGUAUCAUCUUGAGGACCCAUAUCAUCUGGAUCAGACCAAGGCCGAUGCCCACCGUACAUAUGGCGCAUAUGCCACACUUCGGCUGGAGGGUGGAGUUUUAACACUCAAAGUAACAGACCACUAGCAUCUGCACCUAUAGGCCAAGGCAUAUUCUAUAUAGCCCAUCGAAAAAAGUGAAAUCAAGUUGUAACUAUGAGAUUUCAGGUUGUGAUUGACAUUAACAAAUUAAGUAAAACGAAUGUGUAGAAUUUUAAGCAACCACUUAACAAGAAAGUUAAUCCUUUGAUUGAAUAAAGUUACAACCAUUGAGUUUAGCAUCAUUAUUAACAAGGAAGAAAAUAAACCAUGCAACUCCAUCAUCAUUCAUGAGUGGUAUUUAGGAAAUACAACUAUACUUGCAUAUGAGGGUCCUAAUUGUCAUGAAAAAAUUAGCAUGUACAUGAAAAUCUAUAUGCAUCUUGAAAAAAAAUAUAUUCUCACUCAUAUAUCCGUUUCAAAUUUAUAUAGACAAUAAUUAAAAGGCUUAAUUACUGGUGCACCUUUGAAAGUGGGAAAAAAAAUCUCACUUUGCCUCUUGAAACUUAUUUUGAUCAAAUUUACUUACUUUUUAAAAUAUGUAAACGUAUCUCAUUCUAUUGUAUACCGUUAGCUUCAUUAAAUUUUUCUUCAAUGUCACUCACGUUAACGUGUCAUCCAUGUGUCAAAAGAUAGAGUACCUUUUUGUCUCUUCCCGUUCUCCAACUUAAUACAAGUUAGUUAUUCUCCUUCACUUCUUUAGCUCAUUUCACUCUCCCCCUCUCUCUCUCACUGAUUUCUAUCUCUUGGUCUUAUUGACUUUUGGCUAAAUAAUGUUAAAAAAAUAUGAGUUUUCACCUUUUUUAUAAUUUGUGAUUCUCUUUUCCAUGUGUAGGUGAGAGAGUAAUGUUUAACUCAAAAUUUACCCUCAUUUUUAAUACACAAAAUGGUUGGACACUAACACCUCCACCGAAGUUAACAGCUUCCCUAAGCUCGACCAGGUAUCCAUUUCCUUCAUUUUCUUUAGGCAAAUUGAAGGUUUUUGGCGUUCUCCGAAAAAAAAAAAAAAAUUGAAGGUUUUUGGCGAUAUUUAUUUUCCUUUUUUCCUGCCGGAACUACUUUCUUCUUCUGAUAAUUAAUAAACCUGUCAACUCUAUGCCAAUAAUGCAGUUAGGAUUGCACAUGGGCGACCGACAACUCAUCAGGACCCCAUUUCCCUCAGCCUUUUCCUUUUAUCUUUACAUUUUUCUUCAUUUUUGGCAAGUUUCCUUUAAUUUUGGUCAAUCAUGCGCGUCAAUCAUGUGCAUUUUCCGACCUUUUUUACACUGUAGGAUUAUCUCUCCUCUUUGUUUCUCUAUUCUUUUUUUUCCUGUUAUUUGAACGGUCACGGUUAAACAACGUUAACAUUUUAUAUUAAUUUUUUAUAGAAAAAGAAAGACAAAAUAAAGAAUAUGAGAGAUGAGAAUGAAAAGAUGAAGGAAGAUAAUCCUAAUUUUUUUUACAGUUUACAUGCGUCCAUGAUUUUUUUUUCCUUUUUCUUGGUUGUUGUGCCGAGACUGCUCUUCAGUUGGAAAUGGACAAGGAUUGCCUGUCUUCCCACUUCCUGUGCCAUUCUGUUUUAUGUGGUUACGGUUAAGCCACGUUAAUAUUUUAUAUUUUUUUUUAUAGAGAUAAAAAAAAGGUCGUACUCAGUGCACAAGGCUCCUGCUUUACGCAGGGUCUGAGAGAGGUGAAUGUCGGCGAGCUUUACCCCCAUUUAUGGAGAGGCUGCUCUCAAGUCUCGAACCCGAGACCUACCGUUCAUGGGCGAAGGCAUUUGCCAUCGCACCAAGUGCGACCUGUUUUUUUUUAUAGAGAUAAUAAGAUAAAAAUAAAUAGUAAUAUAAAAUAUUAACGUGAUUUAACCGUGACCAAACAAACAGAAGGGUACGAAAGGGCAGACAAUCCUUGCUGGACAUAAGGAGGAGACAGAUAAAUAAGAACUGCCGAUAGGUUGGUGAAACAGUGUCAAGCAUUUUCAUUGGACGGAGGACUAAUGCAUGUCAGGUUGGACCGCCAAAUGGCUGGGAAAAAUUUAUAACCAAGCGGACAUUUUCUUUUCUCUGAUGUUCAACUGCAAGUAGAAAUUCUGUUAGUUUAAAAAGAUUUAAGGAUUAAGUGCAUUUUUUUAAAGAGGAUUAGCUUGGAAGGUAUAACUAAUCAUCUUUAAAAGAGGAGUUAAAAUGUCCACAUCAGCAAUAACAGUAAAAAAAUUACGCAUUAGUGUCAACAACUUCAUUUUUUUUUUCUUCAACAAACGAUAUUAUCAGAAAUGUCUCACAAUGAGCUAACAAUAAUGUGGUUCAUGUUUAAACUUUUAUUCUUACUUUUUGUUCUAAAUAUUUACUACAAUCAUGAAAAAUAAAUAAUGUAAUAAAUAGUGGUUUAAAUUUAACACAUUGGGUGGAGAAUAAAAUUAAAAAAAAAAAAAUCAAAGUGUCACAAAAGCUUUCAAAUUUAAAAUUUAUGUUUGAAAUUUGAAAUCUACUUUGGAAAUGAACAAUUCAGUUGUUUUUAUUUUAUUUAAUUUUUUUUAUGGAUUUCUUUAUAGAUAAUGUUGGUGGUAUUAGAAAAUUUUAUUAACAUGAAAAAAAAUUAUACUUAAUCUAUAGACAAAAACCUUAACCCUUAAUUUGGUCCAAGAUAUUAUUAGAGCAUUCCCACUUGGUUUGGUCCCGUAUAAUUUCAUUUUCCCUGCUAGCAAUAUGAGUGCAACUUGGGUUGGGCCAACCUGAACUCGUCCAUGUUCAACCCGACUUUAAACCUAAACAAGCGGGUUUUUUUUUAUAGUUAUAACCCUCCCGAACCCAACCUGAUUUCAACCUGUUCAUUGAUUGGGUUGAGUUGAGUUGAUCAUUUGCCCAACCCAACUCAACCCGACCCAACCCAAUUAAACAAACCCGAAUAUGACCUAUAUCAAUUAAUACUCAUAUUACACCUAAAUGGGCCAAGUCCAAAAACCCACAUCCUUUCUAAUAUAUUUUUUAAAUAAAUUACCCCUCUAAACCCUAAAGCUAUAUAUUAAAUUGUUAGUCUCCAAUUUCAUUAUGUGGCUCUGCAACUCAGUCUACCUCUUUCCUCUUAUUAAGAAGUCAAAAACUAAGUCUCAAGGCUACAGGUCUCCAUCUCUAUCUGAAAGCCCAAGAAAAUUUGCAACUGCCCCUCUCUUUUUGGACAAUGAAGUAUUCCUCUCUAUAUGAAAGCCCAAGAAAAUUUGGACAAUGAAGUGUUCUUCUCUUUUUUUUUUUAUUCUUUUCUUUUGGUACUAGCUUUAGUAUUUCUUGUAUUUUAAUUCAAACUUUGCAUGGUUGAAACAUUUAUAUUUAGUUAUUAACUUUAUAACGGAUACAAUUUGCGGAAUUGAAUUUUAAUUUUGAAAAAGUUGGGCCAACCCAAACCCAACCCAAGUAAACCCGAAUCCAAUUAUACCUGGGCCCGAAUGAACUCGAUUAAAACCCAACUCGAACCCGAACCCGAUUUGUAAAAAGUUGGGUUAGAAUUAGGUUGACCUUUCAACCCACCCAAUCCGCCCAAGUUGCACCCCUAGCUAGCAAGGUUGUGAAUUCCAACUAUCUUUAGUUUUGUUGGAAUAAUUUCACAAGUCAUAAUACAUAAUUAAGAAUAGCAACUGUGCUUUUGUUUUUUUUUUGUUUUUGGCUAAAAAAAUCAAAAAAAAAAAAAUCAAAGAAAGUGAUAGGAAAGAGCAACAACUUGCAUAUGUAUAGUUUAUAUGCUUUUGCUUAUUUUUAUGAGUUCAUGUUUGUACCAAGACAACUACCAAUUUAAGAUUUAGAGGGUGUAUUCAUUUGGGAAUUUGAUAUAUUGUAAUAGAUUUAUAAAUCUACGGAUUUUUAUAGAGUUUAACUAAUUUGUAGAGAUUUCAUAUAAAAUUUUGAUAAACUAUCUUAAAAUCUUGAUUGAAUACACAUUGAAUUUCAGAGAAUCACUUAAAAUCUUGAUUGAAUACACCUUGAUUCAUUAAAAGAAUAAAAAUCCCUAAAAAUCCCAAUUGAAUACAGCCCCCUUAGUAUUGAAUGGCUCCAUAAUAAACAGCACAACUUUUCGAAGAUCCAAAAUCAGGUGGCUCUGAAGAAUUGCAUAGCUUGGGGGUAUCAUCUUGGGGACCCAUAUCAUCUGGAUUAGACCAAGCCCGACACCCAUCGUACAUAUGGCACCUAUGCCACUUUUUGGCUAGAGGGUGGAGUUCUAACAUUCGGAGUAACAGACCCCCAACAUCUGCACCUAUAGGCCGGGGCAUAUUCUGUAUAGCCAUCGAAAAAAAGAGAUUGUAACUAUGAGAUUUCAGGUUGUGAUUGACACGAAUUUUAAACAACCAGUUAACAAGAAAGUUAAUCCUCAUACUGAAUAAAGUUGCAAGCAUUGAGUUUAGCAGCAUUAUUAACAAGGAAGAGCAGAAACCAUGCAACUCCAUCAUCAUGCAUGAGUGGUAUUUUUGGAAAUACAACUAUACCUGCAUAUGAGGAUCAUAAUUGUCAUGAAAAAAUUAGCAUGUACAUGAAAAUCUAUAAACAUCUUGAAAAAAAAUAUAUUCUCACUCAUAUAUUCGUUUCAAAUUUAUAUAGACAAUAAUUAAGGGAAUUGUUAUUGGCAUUUUAAAAAUCUCAUUUUACAUUUCAAACUUUCUACAUUUAGAAAGAAAAAUAUACUUGUGAGGAGUGUAGAAUGAGAUUUUUUAAAUGUUAAUAACACUUCCCAUAAUUAAAAGGUUUAAUUACUGGUGCACCCGUGACUCUCAACGGGUCGGGAUUCAGCUGCACGCGAUAUGCAACUGACUGCAGGCCUGGUUGCUCUGUAUUUUUUUAGGUUUCUUUUAUCCUUCCCUCCCGUCGCGCUAUUCUUUUGUAUCUUUGCUUUUGGUUUUCCCACCAUUUUUGAGCAGGUCAGAGACCAUACUUGUAUACCAAGAAUAAUAGCUUAAUGGAAAUAUCUUGCGUUCCUUCCUUGUAAUUAACAUUUCUUCUUCUUGUUCUUCUAUUAUUUUUUGUUUUUGUCGUAAUAUAAGAGUUAUGUUCAAAAUUGUGAUCAAUUAGCAUUCGCCGCCACUUAGUAUACAUCAUUCAUUAUUAUUUUUUAUUCAAUAGAAAAAGAAUGAAGGAGUUCACUAUUUUUUGUUUUAUCAUCGGAAUAGAGGACUUAUUCUAGUGAAAAGAGAUUUUUCUCUAGAAAGAAACAAAUAAGAUAUUGAUUCCAAAUACCGUUACUUUACUAGAUGAAGCCGACAACUAUGCGUGUAUAAGGAUAAAAAAAAAACUAAAAAAACACUAAGAAUUUUUUUUUAAAUAUAUACUAGCAUAUGGGCACACACAAAGUGUGUGAAUUUUUUUUGUUUGUUUUUGAAAUAGAAGGAGAGAGGAAGAGAGUGAUAGAGAAUGUGAGUGGGGAUUUUUUUUUUAAAUUAGAGAUAUGUUAUGAUUACAUGUAGGUGAUGCUUUGAAAAGAAAAACAAAAUUUGGUUGUGUGAAAUUACAUUUUUUCCCCAUAUUUCUUAUUCAUGUUUUGUUUUAGGGUAAAGUACAAAAAACUAUCUCAACUAUUGGUGUCACGACACUUUCAUACUUCAUCUUUUAAAAUUGACAAUGUCAUACCUUAUCUUACGAAUUUGUGUCAAUGUCGGACCUCCAUCAGUUUUUCUGUUAAUUUCUCUGUUAAAUGCUGACGUGACCCGACACGUGUCCCACUCACUAAUCCAAUUGGAUUAAAAAAUAAUAAAAUACAUUUUUAAUAAUUAAAUAUUCAAAAAUUAAAAAAAUAUAUAUUAAAUCUUUCUCUCUCUCUCUCCUCUCUUUUUUAUUUUUAUAUUAAAUCUCUCUCUCUCUCCUCUCUCUCUCUCCCCCUCUCUGUCGCCUUUAUCUCUUCUCUGCAUCCUAGAACCCAUUCUCAUCUCUCCCCUCCCCCCACCGCGACCCCUUCCCGUUCCCCCUCCGUGCAACCCCCCACCCUUCCCCACCCAUGCCAACAUCUCCUUCUCUCUCAGCUCACUCACUCUUUCUCCCCCUCUCUUGCACAUACUAUACCUCUCUCCCAGAUCUACACUCACGCACCCAUUUACACACCCACACCCACCGACGACGGUACCAAAAACCAUCAUUGGCGUCAACCCUUUCUCCUUUCGUCUCCGUGAAGCUCCGAGGCACCCAGAGGACACCCAACCCAGGUCCGGCGAGCCAUGGGUGUGCGAGCCCAAGUCUCGGGUGGGGACAAACUAGGGGAUGGGGUGGGGUGGGGACGAAUUGGGUUUUGAUUUUUUUUUUUCGUUUCGUUUCUGGGCAGAGCAGGGGAAGAAGAUGGGGGAGGAGAGAGAGGGGGUGGGGUGGGGACGAAUUGGGUUUUGGAAAUUUUUUUUUCACUUUUCUUUGUUAUUUUAAUAUUUAAAAUAUAUUAAAUGAUUUUUUUAAAUAUUUUCUUAAUUUUUUUAAUAGAAAGUGGGGUUUGGAUCAAGCCACGUCAGCAAUUAACUGACAAAUUAACGGUUAGGCUAACUGAAGGUAUAAAAUUGACCAAAUUCUAAAGAUGAGGUAUGACAUUGUUAAUUUUAAAAGAUGAGGUAUGAAAGUGUCAUGAGACUAAUAGUUGAGGUAGUUUUUUGUACUUUACCCUUUGUUUUAAUUAGAGGGUUAAACUGGUAAUUUCAUAAGAUUUUGGUUGACAAUAAGUGUUUUAUUAAUUAGUAGAAAUAAAAAAAAAGUAAUUUUAAAUAGAUGCAGAAAAAUAGUAGGAGAGAGAGAGAUUUGAUAGUUUUAGUUGUUAUAAUUACCAUAUCAUCCUUCAUUUUUAUGUUUUAUUAUUUAAACUUACUAAGAUUAAAAAGGGCGAAAAGGAAAUUUCACCCUCUUUAGUAGUAGAUUAAUUCCCAAACGCUAAUGUCGUUUCCAUGAGGUUUGUAUAGAGUUACAAGAUCGCCGGUGCUUUCUUACAAGGGACAGCUAGUCCAUGACGUCAUAUUGUCACUGUGUGGUAUGGGCCUCCGAGUUGACUCCGCGAGUCUAUACAUCUAUAUACAUACACGCAUCUUUUAGGGUUUAUAGCUUUCCUAUAAAAGGACAGGAUUUCUCGAAUUCUACAAGCACUUACAUUUUGCGACUUAUGCAGACCUUGAUUUAACCAAAUUUGUGAGACUUACAUAUGUCGUUAUCUGCACUCAAUUUUGAAUUACCAUUUUUGUACUUUAUAUAAAUUUAGUGUAAUUAUCUUCCUAGUUUAACAAAUUGGAGCCCCCAAAAUUGAUAUUGAUUGGUAGGUCAAAAUACAAAACCCUAAAUUCAGAUCUUUUCUGAUUCUAUUUUUUUCAUAAAUUUAAGUCAUAUUUAAUAAUUUGUUUUCUGAAUACCUAAAUAUGAGAUGAAUGCUGUGUGUCAAGAUAUGCAUUUGUUGGUCAAUUUUUUAUAACCCCCAUGGCUAGGUGUAACUUUUGUUUUCGUUUAAGAACCAUUGAGUUUUGUUUAGGAACUUAUUUACUUAGUUUAUUCAUAUUUUUUGUAACAUCCAUGACUAGGUGUAUCUUUUGUUUUUGCUUAAGAACCGUCGAGUUUUAUUUAGGAUCAUACUUAUUUAGUUUAUUGCUAAUUUUUACGGUUCAGUUUAAUUCUUUACUUCCACGUUAUUGGUACUUUCUAGGUGUUCUUUCUUUCUUUCUAAUUAAGUGAUUUGAAUUCCUUUUCAACUAAAACAUGCAAUUGAAUAAUAUUUUUUUUCUUGUUUCUUUCUUGGCAUCCUGAUCUUAGUCGCUGUAUAUCAUAUGCGGAUUCCUAGUUGCUGUAAAACUUAACAACUCUUAGGGUUUCACGUCAAUUGCAUGCCUUCACAAAGAGAGGCUGCAUGUAUUUAUAGUCACGUUCAGAUUACAUUAGGGAUUGAAAUCCCUAUUUACAAGGCUGUUUCAAAGCCAAAAGUACAACAGAAACUACAAAACGUAUUACAGAAAACAACUAACAUUCGAAAGGAAGUUUGAACUAAGCUAACUCUUCUUGGAUAAGAGUUUAGGUUGAUCACAACCUCCUGAAUUUGAGGAAACCACCACCAGACGCGGACUUGGUCUAACAGCCCCCCGCAAGCUGACAGGAGGAGAAACAAAUGGAAGGUUGGAAACAAGAUGUGUGAACCGGGAAGAUGACAAUCCUUUGGUAAAUAGAUCAGCAAUCUGAUCUUGAGAACAUAUGAAAUUCACAAAUAACUCUUGGCGAACCACUUUCUCACGAACAUAGUGAUAAUCCACCUCCAAGUGCUUUGUACGGGAUGAAAAACGGGAUUUGAAGCGAGGGCAAUGGAGGAAACAUUGUCACACCAGAUGGUUGGGCGAUCAAGAUGCAAGUGGAGGUCACGAAAUAAAGACCGGAACCAUGAUAAUUCUGCAGCAGUAUAAGCAAGCUGCUGAUAUUCAGCUUCUGAACUCGACCUACUGACAGUUUUCUGCUUUUUAGAAAUCCAAGACACGAGAUUGGACCCGAAGUAAAUGCAAAAACCACCUGUGGAAUGCCGUGUAUCAGGAUUCCCAGCGUAAUCAGCAUCAGAAUACGCUGUAAGGUGUGCAGUCCCAGGUUUAUACACAAGACCAUGAUUGAAUGUGGCUUUAACAUAUCGAAGGAUCCGUUUGACUGCCAUCCAGUGAGUAGUCCUGGGAGAAUGCAUGAACUGACAUACCUGGUUGACUGCAUAAGAAAGGUCUGGUCGCGUGAUAGUUAAAUACUGAAGUGCACCGACAACACUUCGAUACAUCUCGUAAUCAUCAUGGGGCUCACCGGUGUAAGCACUAAGUUUCUGUCCACAAGAAACCAGUGUGGAAAUGGGUUUAGCAUCCAAAAACUUAGUACGCUUAAGCAAGUCCACAGCAUACUUGGCCUGAUUCAAAUGCAUUUGAUCACCACAAUAGGUUACUUCGACACCCAGAAAGUAAUGAAGAGGCCCAAAGUCCUUCAUUGAAAACAAAGUUCCCAGUUUAUGGAUUAAGCGAGACAUGUGGCGAAGACUAUUCCCUGUCAACAAUAUAUCAUCCACAUAGAUCAAUAAAAUCAAGUAGAGACCAGAGUGAUUGAAAACAAAUAAACUGUAAUCACACGUGGAUGCUUGAAACCCUAAUUGCAGUAAAAACUCUGAAAAACGUUGAAACCAAGCUCGCGGAGCUUGUUUCAAUCCGUAUAUACUCCUUUGCAAUUUGCAGACAUGUUUGGGAUGCUGCUCAUCAAUGAAACCUGCAGGUUGGCGCAUAUAUACGGUCUCCUUUAGAAAGCCAUGCAAGAAAGCAUUUUGUACAUCCAAUUGCCUGAUAUGCCAUUUGUUUGAAACUGCCAAACUAAGAACAAGGCGUAUGAUGCUAUGCUUGACCACAUGACUAAAGGUCUCGGUGUAAUCAAUCCCAGGCUGUUGAUGAAAACCAUUUGCAACUAACCUCGCCUUGUGCCUUUCUACAGAGCCAUCUGCCCUUUGUUUGAUCUUAAAUACCCAUUUGUUGGGCAGCACAUUCAUUUGGGAAUGAUAAGGAACAAGCUCCCACGUGCCACAUCGCUGCAGGGCAUUAAAUUCUUGAACCAUGGCGUCCCUCCAUUGGGAUUGCUUGACAGCCUGACUGAAACAUGUAGGUUCAACUAAAGAAGGAUCAAUAGAGACAUGUAUAACAUAUUUAGGAUUAGGUUUCUGUAUUCCCGACUGUGAUCGAGUCGUCAUGCGUGGCCUUGGUAUGGAGGAUUGAUGUAUUGAAGCAACAUCGUGGGCUGAAGAUGGCAGGGAGUGAGGCGUGGGGGACUCAACAACUGGGGCUUGCUCAUUUAAAUUUUGGUUUGUGGAACUAGGGUCAGGGAGAGAUAAGGUGGCUGGCGGGUUGGACGGAGAAGAUAACAUGGGAUGGGGAGGAAUAGUAUUGUGGUGAGGAUUUGGCGGAGUGGACGUGGUUAUGGUUGGCUGGGAUGGGGACUCUAAAGGUUGGUUAGGGUUCAGCAAAGGGUUGGACGUAUCUGAUAAAAGGAUAGGAAAUGUGAACAAAAGAUCAGGAGAUGAAAAACUACCUGUGUUAUCAAUGUUUUCCCGCAAGGAUGUGAGUUCCUUAAAUGAAAAUGAGUCCUCAUCGAAUAGGACAUGGCGAGACAAAUAAAUUCGUCUCGUGGACAGGUCCAAACAUUUAUACCCUUGAUGAUUCAGUGAGUAUCCUAAAAAUACACAUGGUUUUGACUUAGGUUGAAGUUUAUUUUGUGCAUAAGGAACAAGCCAAGGAAAACACUUGCAACCAAACACUUUUAACGUCUCAUAGUUUGGAGAUUUUUCAAACAAAGUCUCAUAGGGCGAUUUAUGAGACAAAACCCGAGUUGGCAGUCUAUUAAUUAAAUAAGUGGCUGUAGAACAAGCAUCAAACCAAUAUUUGUUCGGAAUGUGAGAGAGAGACAGCAUGACAAUACUCGUUUCAACAAUAUGGCGAUGUUUGCGUUCUGCAAGGCCAUUUUGCUCGGGAUGUUUUGGACACGAAAACCUUUGAGAAAUGCCAUGUGUUGCAAGAAAUUGUUGAAAACUAUGACUUUUGUACUCACCUCCUUCAUCACAUUGAAGGGUUUUUAUGGAAGUAUUAAACAUAUUCUCGAUCUUAGCUUUAAAUUGAACAAAUAUGGCAAACACUUCAGACUUAUUUUUCAUGGGAAAAAUCCAAGAAUACCUAGAAUAAUCAUCGACAAACAAGACAUAAUAGCAAAAACCUUCAAUUGAAAUAACUGGAGAACACCAAACAUCGGAAUGUAAAAGUUGUAAAGGAAAUUGAGAAACAGACUCUGAAGUACUAAACGGUAACUUAGUACUUUUUCCUAAAGGACACGACUGACAAAACGUUACAUCAACAAUACCAUGAAUCGGUACUUGUUUAUUUGAAAUUAAAAACUUGAUAAUAGAAGACGCAGGAUGACAAAGACGUGAAUGCCAUUUUUGAGCCGAGACUCGAAUGCCUAGACACACAGAAAUAGGGUGAUUGAACUGUCCACUGCCACCAACAAAUGGGUAUAAGCCAUUCUCACAUCUCCCGCGGAAAAGUGUCUUCCGGGUCUUGAGGUCCUUAACAAGAAAAAAAUGAGGAAAGAUGAGUAAAUAACAAUUAUUAUCUAGGGUAAAUCGGUGUGCAGAAAUAAUGUUGGUUGAGGCAGUGGGGCAUCUUAAAAUAUUUUGUAAUUUAAAUGAGCAAGAGAGAGUUGGGAUUUGAUGCGAACCCACAUGAGAGAUAGAAAGGCCAGUAUCAUUACCUACACCACCCACAUUCUGAUUACCAUUAUACUCUUUUGGGUUUACCAAAUUCUGGAUGUCGGGAGUUACAUGCGCAUUAGCACCGGUGUCCAAAAGCCACUGUCCAUUAUUCUGUCGAUUGAGAGAACCCGGAGAUGUUGCCAUGGCAGUGAGCUGUUUGCUGGAAUUCUCCCUUCAUAGGCUGCAUUCAUUCUUUGAUAACAAUCGAGAGCAGGAUGCCCUUGUUUUCCACAUAUCUGGCAGGUGAGACGUUCUCCUGUGGUAGUAAAUUUCUCACCAUUGCAGGCCGAAUUUGGCCUUGGAUUAUUGUUGUGAGGAAAGAACCCUCGCGGAUUGACAGCACCACCACCACGUGCAAACUGAAAACCACCACGUCCAGUGCCACGAAGUCGUCCACCAUGACCUCUGGCAGUGACAAAAGCAUUCACCGGAACAGCCUCCACAUGCUGAAUAGUCUGAGCAGCCAUUCGUCUCUCGGUAGUCAGGAUGAGGGCCUCAAGUAUAGGGUACGCGAUUGGAGUAUCACGUGCUUGAGCAGCACUCACUGUCAUUUCAUAUGCAGGGCCCAAAUUAUUCAAUAUAAUCUGGACAAGUUCAUCAUCAUUCACGGGGUUGCCAGCUAGGGCAAGGUUAUCAGCAAUCGAGUUCAUUCGAUCAAGAUAAUCAGCAAUAGACAUAUCACAUUUCUUAGUUUGCAUCAGUUCAUUGCGAAGGAACAAAAUACGAUUUUGGGACGUAGAAGCAUACCGUUGCUCGAGAGCCUCCCAUGUGUCAUGAGAGGACCGCUUGUUGGCGACAACAGACAACACAGAGGGCGUAAGAGAGCCAUUGAUCCAGCUUAGGAUCAUUUGAUCAUGCUGCACCCAGGUUGUGUAUGCUGGGUUGAGAGCAUCCGCACCAGGAAGAUGUUUGGGUGGGCAUACGAUGGACCCAUCAACAUAUCCCAUCAGGUUACGACUCUUGAGGAUUGGUAGGAUCUGAGCCAACCACAGAGGAUAGUUGGUUCGAUCCAGUUUGAUGUUGACAACUGUGGUCAUGGAUGAGAAAGGGUUCAGGGCAGGGUUUGAAAGAGAGGUGGUGAAGGGUGCAGUGGUGGAGGAUGCAGCGCCGUUUGCGUUAUCAGCCAUGGAAAAAAAAAUAUCAGGAUCUAAGUCGUUAGACUGCUAGGGCUCGUAUACCAUGUAAAACUUAACAACUCUUAGGGUUUCACGUCAAUUGCAUGCCUUCACAAAGAGAGGCUGCAUGUAUUUAUAGUCACAUUCAGAUUACAUCAGGGAUUGAAAUCCCUAUUUACAAGGCUGUUUCAAAGCCAAAAGUACAACAGAAACUACAAAACGUAUUACAGAAAACAACUAAAUUCGAAAGGAAGUUUGAACUAAGCUAACUCUUCUUGGAUAAGAGUUUAGGUUGAUCACAACCUCCUGAAUUUGAGGAAACCACCACCAGACGCGGACUUGGUCUAACAGUUGCUUCUACUACUCAUGGCCCUUACUACCAAAAAUUCUCAGCUCCCGCCGGCAUCAUCACAAGAUUACUUCAAAAUCAACAGCCUCCCUGACGAGUUGUUGGUUGAAAUCCUUUGUCGACUCUCAUGCAACAAGUUGGUUUCACAAUGCAAAUUCUUGUGCAAGCGGUGGUUCCUCCUCCUCUCCAAUCCUGACAUUGUUGGCCGUUUUGUAUGUCUCCAAAAGGAUAAGAAAAAUCCCAGUACCUGCGGUAUGCUGUUUUCACUGUUUUUCGCACAAAAAGAUCGCGUCGCCGCAUUUUUUACACCGAGUUCCCAAUUCCCGGAAUCUUUAAGAAGUAGGUUAUCUACUAUGAGUUUCAUCCCUUCUUUUGAUCCAAAAUGUGGUUGGAUGAAGGAUGUAUUAUCCGUGUACAAUGACCUAGUUUUAUGCUACUGGGGAUAUUCGCCUAAUGACUCGAGCAUUUACUACAUCAUUUGCAAUCCAUACACCAGCCACUGGGUUGCUCUACCUCCUGCCCCAGCAUGGCAUGAUAUUCUACCAGCGGAAUUGAUUUGCGAUCCCUACUAUAAGUUUCCGGAAGAUGAUAACAAAUCUUGUGAACAAAAUAAUAUCGUUAACGCUGAGUAUAGGUGCAAGGUUGUGCGAUUUCAUUUAUAUUUGCCAGAUCCCUUUCGAUGCAAAAUGGACAUGUUCUCUUCUGAGACCGGUGUAUGGAAAGAGCUGGUUGUAGUAUCCCCACGAGAAUUCGGUGUCUACUGCAAUGACUCCUUUCCUCGUGCGGGUUUUCCUUGCAAAGGAAAGUUGUACUGGGCAGGCACUGGUGGCGUUAUGGGGUUGGAUCCGUUGGCGUACAACGACAAUAACUCUAGUAGUGCUUGUGAUGGUCGUGAAGUUUUUGAUAAAUGUUAUUUCGUCUUGAUGAGGUUAAGCUGCCUGUACACCUUGACAAGUUCUUAUGUGAGAGUCGAGGCAUGUUAUGCCUCGUAGCGUUUCAGCACAUUUACGAAGAUGUUCGUAUCUGGGAGAUGAAAGGAGAUGUUGAGGAUGGCUGUUGUUUCACUAUUAGACAGGGGGUUUGCUUAUUGCCAAGGAUGGAACGAUCUGGUCUGUGGCGUCAGUUGUACGAUGAAGGAGAGGCCACGAGAUUGUUGCCUUUGGACUCGUUUGAUGAGGAUAUCAUGUAUCUACAGUCAAGUAGAUCGAUUUUCAUGACAUUUGUGCAAGGAAGAUACUGAAAAUUACAGACGGAGAGGUGAUACGUGUUUUACCAUUUGCGCUCCCAUGGUGGCCGACACCAGUCCCUAAAAUGGUACCACCACCAGAAGCCAUCAGUUCCUAGUAUUUUUAUUUUUUUGGGGCAAGAUAUCAAUUCAUACCAUGAACGUCUUGACAGACCUAAUUUAUUUCCGUUUCACUUCUUUGAUAUUAAUGUUUAUGAUUCUGAGUAAUGUUUGUAGAUUAAUUUCGUGUACAUUGUCGCUUGAAAUAACCGUAUUUGAAUCAUAUGAUGGCAUUGCCAAAUUGUAUGUAUUAUUUGAAAGAGAAACAUUACAUGCCACAACAGAAUUACAAAGUUUGCCUUCUGCAUAAGAUUCGUCACCGCUACACUAUUGGCAGUUUCAUAUCACAUGCUUAUUUCCAAGGGACAAAUCUCACUUCGUCACUGGCAAUCUUCGAGCAAAGCAUUAGCGUUUCAAAUAUGCUUUCCGAGGAAGGUGAGGAUCAGCUGAUUGACCUCUUCAGGCGACUGUUCUUGAACAAAAUGCGUUCCUUCGGGAAGAAAUACAAUCUCCAAAUCAGGGACAAACUCUUUGAUCUUUCCACUGUUUAUGUAAUCCUCUAUCCCUGGAAAUUUGUUAACAUAAUCCUUGCCUCCCAUUAUAAAAAGCGCCGGAGCUUUAACUAUUGGAUCUGCUACAUCGGACUCUUCUCUAAUUGCCCUAUCGAUGUGUAAAAAGAGUUCAACGGUCAUUAACGAGUAUGUGCUUACAACUUGGUCAAAUAUUGCUAGGGGUGAUCGUUCUGUCUACAUUAACAGUUCGAGUAUGUAACAGUAUGAAACCACUUGGUCAACUACAUUACCUGUAUGGAACUUGCAGCGCAGUUCGGAAACCCGAUUUCUCAUACAAAGCUCCAUAUGCGGCAAGAUCUUCCUCACAGAACCAAGGGGGAAGAGGCGUAGAUGGAUCCACUAGGUCCAUGAUCUCCUGGUCUUCUGCAGCUAUUGGUAUUUCGCUUCUGGAAAAAAGGAUGUAAACAUUCCGAACAACCGUUUUCGCAUCGAGGCGCCCAAAAUCAGCCUCUGCACGUCCAGGUUCCUGUAACAUAGGCAACAGUUAGUUGCAAACUCGCAAGAAAUUCAUGCUUGCAAUAGUAUUGAACAUAUAACAAGACCAGGUAAAUGCACACCUGCCAUCUUGAAAUGUAGAAACCUUCUGGGAGGUAGUUGCCCGUUUUACGAGGGCCUGGUGGCAUGAUUGGCAAUCCCAUUGUUACAACGCCUACGACCCUCUCGGGGUGCAGAAGAGAAAAUAAUGUCGCCACCCCAACUCCAAAAUCUUUUGCAAUUAGGAAAACCUAUGCAAAUUUGAAUACAAUUUCCAAAGCCUUAAAUCCUCAUAGCCAUUAACAUCAGAAAGUGUUCAUCCAAAAGUUGAAUACAAUUACCAACUAGCUCUCAAGUUUAGUGAUAUUUCGAAGAGAAAUGCAAAGGGGACUCUUAUCAAAAGUGGGCUCUCCAUAGACUCUUUGCACCUCAUGUUUUUUGCACAAUGUUUUAUAGUGUUGGCAUAAGAAUUGACGUUAAACUGUAAGGUGCUACGGUCUAUAGAGAGUCCCACCUUUGAGAGAGUCCUCUUAGCAUUUCUCUACUUCGAAUCCGCACUCCGAUUAUCCAAAUGAAUUAAUUUUCUUUUAAUCAAAUUAGUACUAAUGACAAGAAAAACUUCAGGGAUGCCAAAACAAAAGGAAAAAGGAGACUUGUAUUUUAUUCACCAUAUGUACCAACCUAAACAAACUGGAGAUUCCAAGAAAUAUCUAUGGAGUUAAAGGAAUUUUUUUUUUGUUAAUUUAAGCAAGUUAAUUAAUUGGAAUUAAUAAUAAUUAAGGAGAAAAAUCCGAUGAUUCUUUCCAAUAAGUACCUUGGGAAUAGCAAGGGAAUCGAGAAUUCCAAGGAUGUCACUGGCGAGGUCACGGUACGAGGUCUUCUCGGAUUGGGGAGGAGGGUCGGAUAGUCCGUAUCCGCGGUAGUCGGGAGCGAUGGCCCGGAAGCCGGCGUUGGCCGCCGCAACCAUCUGGUGCCGCCACGAGUACCAAAUUUCCGGGAAACCGUGCAGGAACACAACCACAUUGGAACCUAUGAUAAACAAAAAAAGACGGCGAUCGAUCGAUUAUGGUUGUGUUCGGUUGUGUUAAGAAUAAUAAAUACGCUACGGUGCCGGACGAGGAAUUGGGGAGGCAAAUAAUCUGACCUGUUCCGAUGUCGGCGACGUGGAGCUUCAGGCCUUGUACGGUUAUGUACUUGUGCUGGAUUUGCUCCAUUUCAGGUGGUUUUUCAGACGACAAUCACAAAGUGUACGAAAAAGAUAGAGAGAGAGAGAGAGAGAGAGAUCACUUCUGGUUCCGACAAGACAAUGUUUGGACUUGCCAAAAAUUGAAGCAGCUAGCAUCAAAUAGGAGGGCAUUUACGUCCAUAACCCAAGUUACAUUUUUAUUUUACUAUUUAUAAUUACUAGUCAUUUUUAUGUUGUUUUCCUUGGGGCUUCUCCUUAUAAUUUUUGUUUCGUUUCAGAAAAAUGAUAUUCUGACUCAUAUUUUAAUUCUAAUUAGAUAUUGUAGCUCGUAUAUCUAAUUAAAAUAUUUAAUAACUUGUGUGCCCUUGAAAAUGUUUGACAGUCUCAUUCUGUUUCUUAAAACUUCUUUUGAUUCAGUUUACUUAUUUUUUAAAAUGUGUAAAUGUGCUUUAUUUUAUCGUAUAUCGUUAGCUUCAUUAAGUUUUUUAUCAAUGUCGCUUAUGAUGACAUGUCAAAAAAGAGGACCUUUUUGUCUUUCCCCUUUUUGUCUGUCCUUUUAGUUGUGGUGUCCUUCCAUGCCCUCUUAUUUUGUACGGUCACGGUUAAAUCACGUCAACAUUUUAUAUUAAUUUUUUAAUAGAGAUAAUAAGACAAAAAUAAUAAAAAUAUAAAAUAUUGACGUGACUUAACCGUGACCGUACAAAUAAAAGAGCAUGGAAGGGCACCACAACUAGGACAACUAGGAGGGCAGACAAUCUGCCUCCCUCUCUCACACUGAUUUCUAUCUCUUGAUGGUAUUGAUUUUUGGCUAAAUAAUCUUUAAAAAAUAUGAGUUUUCAUCUUUUUUUAAUAAUUUAUGGUUCUCAUCUCCCUCCGUGAGUGAGUGGGUAAUGUUUAACUCGUACGAAAAACAGCUUCAAUAUUCAAUUACUACUACUCCAUUGCAUGAUUUUAAUUUUAAACCGCAAAUUCUUAACUAAAAGUUUUAAUGACAUUACUGUUCGUUUGUUCAAAAGUUUUUUUGGUUAAUGUUUUUCAUACAAGCAAUACUGGGGAGGAGAAAUUAAACACACGGCUCGGGAUGUAGGUAAAUCAAGUGCCCCCAGCUCUGAGCAACUCCAUCCUGAAUGAUCAAAUAUGAGCUUGUACUUCAAUUCCUUUUUUUUUCCUUAAAACAAACCUUUAAAAGUGCAUUAAUAAGGAAAAUCAAACCAACACAGAAACAAGAAAGUUCAAACAGAGAGAACAUGUUAAAAACAGAUCAAGCAGGAAGUUUCCUAACCAAAAAGACAAACUGUAUCUGCAAACUAGCUGAUUAAACCAGGAAGUUUCCUAGCUUACAUGGUCAUCGUGGUCGUCGUCAUCAUCUUGGUUGUCAUCACCCUCGUCAUUAGUAUCAUCGUCGUCGUCAUCCUCACUAUCAUCCUCAUCAUCAUUUUCAUAAUCCUCAUGAAAAUCUUCAUCAUUUUCGGUGGGAAUUUCUUCUAAGGCCCUACCGUAAGGGAUAGGAUAGUAACGAUAGUACAAACGACCUUCGAAAGUCUUGUCACACACUAAACGUACCCCUGUUUUCUUCACCAUGAACUCACUACGUAAACGUACCCCUGUUUUCUUCACCAUGAACUGAUCACUACGUAGAAUCUUUGCAAUAACGAGGACCAAAUCGCCUUCUUCGAAAUUGAACUUAUCUUCCCAUAACGGUAUAUGCCCCAGCCAAAGGUACUCUCCACCGCAAGCUGGUGGGCUCAUUAGGUCGACAAAAAAACUAGUACGCUUGGUGUGAUUAAUAACACAAAUGAAACAAGAACCAAAAAACACGCUGUCGACAUCAAUAAAAGAACGAUAAGCCAUGCACACAGCCAACGCUUUUGCAUUACAACCAAUUUCCUUAGGCACUUCGAAAGAGACUUGGGUACCCUCGUUGACAUGAUUGAACCAAGUGGGAAUUUGUCUUCCUACAAGAGUCUCAUGUAUCCAUCUCCUGUCCAUCCCUAUACCAUGUUGAACAAGAUUUGUGUGAGUAAUACAUGCAUAACACACAUAUGCGAGGGAAGGAGGAGAGGGGGUGCUGUGGAAGAGAGAGAGAACCUGUAGCGUGCUAUCCUUAAGAAGGAAAUCCAUGACAUUGUUGUGUGUUAACAUAUCAAGUCUGAGGCCCGAGUUUAACGCACUCUCCAAGCCUGGAAACUCAAUGAGUUUGGGGGAACCGAGAUACACGAUUGUCGACAUGCCUGAAAAAUCUGACAUUCUUUCUAAUGCAGAGCAGUCCUUCAUCUCCAAGAUACCCAAACUUUUUGGUAAAUCUGUGAUCUCGACAAGGUUUCUGCAACUAUCCAAGCGUAGUUCAAUAAGCAUGGACAGGUCACCGAGGCUUGGAAGGCUCCGAAAAUUAUUGUUGCCUAGAAAUAAGUACUCUAAACAAGGUAGACUACUCCCAAUAUCAUUAGGCACUUCCAUUAAAUUGCAGUGUCUCAAAGAUAACUCUGUUAAAGAGCCUAAGCCUCGUAAGGAAGGUAGCUGCAAAGGACACUUCAAGUAACUCAAAGAUAGGCACUCGAGCUUCUCCAGUCGUACGAUGGAAGGUGGUACUUUUUUUAUGGCCGUCCCAUCAGCAAAAAGAGUGACCAAUGAUGCCAUUUUUCCCAAGUGCUCAGACAAGCUUCGGAAUCUUGAACAACCAUCGAGAACAAGAGUUUUGACAGAUUUCGACUUGUAGAAAUUCCUCGGG
rnacentral:lncRNA from 1 species